CUCAUCAACUCGUCUCCCUUAGUUUCCAAAGUCGGAACUUGAAGCUCUCCAGAUCUGACUGAUUUAGCUCAGGACGAGUUGAAGGUUAGAGUUUCUUUGGAGAAAAGCUGGUAGCAAUUGAAGAAAUGCAAUAUUGAGGAGCCGAUUCUCCGGCGGGUGGUGCUCAGAACUCAUCCAUGGCGAAGGAAUCGAUGUGGAGAAAAGUCGACUCUUCAUUUCCCUCUUUGUUUCCUACUUUAGUAUUGUCUUAUCCUUACCUUUUGUUUAUUUUGCUUUGGUUUUGUAUAGAAUUGUAUAUAUUCCUUUCGAAUUUAAUAUAGAUGUUUAUGGGCCUCAAUUUUUAAGUUAGAAUAAAAAUGGAAUGGCAUGUCACAUUUAGGGGUGUUAAAAAUGAGCCCACAUUUAGGGGUGAUUCACAUUGUUCCUGUUUUAUUAAUAAUAUUUUUUUAAUUCUUUAAAUGGAAGCUUGUUUAAUGUCUCUAUAGGAAGCUUCUUUUACAUAUUCGAUUGAAGCAUUUAUCUAUUCUCUAUGAAGAUCUAGUUACUUUAAUUUUCUAGCGGAAAUCUUUAUCCUGGGUUCCAUUCACGAGUAUUUGCCGGUAUAUUCAUACAAAAAUUAAGUCUUGCUAUCGAGGAAAAAAAGUUGAUAAGGAAGAUAAAAUAAAUUUAGUAACAAAUUUUCAUCAUUGUGUUACCAAGAUAUAUAUACAAACAAAUUUGAUCUUCAAGAUAAUUAUUUUUUGCAUUAACGCUUCAAAAAAGCGUAUCAUAAUUUGCUACAAUUUACAAUAGCGAAAUUGAUGACAUAUGGGGAUUUUCUCAAGAUUGUCAAGUUCGGAUUCAAUUUAUGUACAGAGAAGGUAAUUAUUCUUUGGUUGAUGAUUUAGCUAAUCUAGCUUUUAAAAAUCCAGGUAGACUUGUUUAUAAUUCUUUUAUAGAAUUACCAAGACAAGCUAGGCAAAUUGCGAACCUAGACAAGCAACAACUUCCUACGUUAAGAAUCAGAACAAAGAAAAUAGAUCAAGAAAGGGAAGGGGGACAAGAAAAUGCAGUGACAUUCAUCACAUAAUCAUAUUAUUAUAUUUAUAUUUAUAUUUAUCAUAUAUUAUUAAAUCAUCAUAUCAUAUAUCAUCAUCAUAUAUCAUAUUCAUAUUCAUAUAUCAUAUAUCAUAUAUUACUAAAAGUGGGAACAAAAAAAGUUGAAAUAUUAUUUUUUGCCCCUACACUAGAUUAAAAUAUUAUAAAUAUUUAGUUAAUUACAUGUUUGAAUAUUAGUGAUAAUCAAUUAUUACAUUAAGUAAAUGGAGAAUUCAUGUGUUCAAAGGAGGAUUGUUUACUCUUCCAGAUUUUAAUGGAGGUUCAUUGCAUAUAUUUAAUAUUCUUAAAGUUCUUCUCUUUUAUUUAUUUUGGCCCUUUGAAACCUUCAAAUAGUAUUUAAUUAAAACUUUAAGAUGUCUUUUGGUAUUCCUCUAUUUUUAUCUAUAUAAAUUCAUUUUUUUUGUUUCAUGAAACUCACAUCCAAAAUUAUCAUUUUCAUUUUAUAGUUAAAGUAGUGAAGCCAUCAACAUCUAAAGUAUAUGCUAUAUCUACCUUAGCCUGAUUAUAUAUCACUUUAUGAAAAUAAAAUGAUUUUUCUAUUUGAUUCAUUCUUUAAUUUGACUCGAUGGAGAAGACUUUUAAAUUUUGAUUGGAUAUGAGAGAAGUUGUCAACAAAAACUUGGAAAAUUAUGUACCGAUUUUGUAUUUGUUUUUUCAUUUAUAUAAUGUUAUGAUUAAAGUCUUAAGAAGGAUGCGUAUGUUAUUUUAUUUUUCUUUGUUUAUUCUUUUUAAUAUUUCUCUAUUAGUCUUCUUUAAUUUAAUUUUCUAUAAAUUAUUAUCAUAACAUUUAUUUGAGAUUGUUGCAUUUUAGUACUCAUUAUACGCAUAUUUUCAUUGAAUUUUAAUCGUCCUAACGAAUUUAUAACAUAUUGCAUGAGACACACGUGUCCAGAAACUAGUAUUAUUAAAAGUGGGAAGCUCACAUCUUCAAAGUUGGAUGACCACUUUGCCCUUACAACAAAUUAAAAUGUAAUUAAAAUUUUAAUUAAAUAAUAUUAUUCAAUUAAUUUGAAAGUUGAAAAGACUUUAUGACUUAAUUAGGAAAUUUGAAGGGGUGCAUGAAAAAUGAAAAGACUAUUAUCAGUUAUGUGUGAAAUUUUGGCGGGUUACAUCACAAUAAAUAGGCUUAUAUCUUCCAUCGUAUGAAAUUCAAAUGGGUACAUCAGAACCAUGAUAAACAUACACUCAUAUUUAAUUGAGAAAAUAGCACUUGUAAUAAGGAGAUAUUAUUUAGCUAGAGUAAUUGAAAAGAAACUAUUGCGAUCUCAAAAGCUACUAAGUUGGAGGAGGAAGAAUCCAAUGUAAAUAACCUGACUGUGGCACCAAGGAGGGGUACGCAUAUGAGAAUUGUGCAAUAAUGUUGAUGUUUUGAACAAUAUUUGUAACUAUAAAUUAAGAUUUUUCUCUCUGACAUUUUUUGACAUUUAUUUCUAUCAAAUUUGUAAGUAAAUUAUACUGUAAUUAUUAGCAAAAUUAAAAUGGUUUUUUUCUGAGUCGUUAUGAGUUAUACACUUUUUUGUUACUGGUCUUGAUUGCCAAAUAACAAUUAACUUUAGUAUAUAAAGGUUGCUCGUUUUUAUUUAAGUUUGUUUGUAGCUUAUAUAUGCAAAUUAUUUUUAAAUUUAUCUGAAACAAAUAUAAUUUAAUGGACUUAUAAAAAUAGAAAUAUGUUUGAAUAAACAAUAGAGUAAAAUAGUUGAUAUAUGGCGUAUGUUCAUUUUUCUCUGUUACGUUGUAUAAAUUUUUCAUCUAUUUCUUACUAUAAUGAAUAUAUAUGUCAAUGCAAAAUAAAAUUAUUAUUGUGUUAAUGAACGUCAUCAUGUGUAUUGAUAAUUUUCCACUCAUGGUCAUAUAUUCGAAUUUAUUUAAACUAUGGAUUAAGAUUUUUCUCUCUUAACAUUUUUUGACAUUUAUUUUUAUCAAAUUUGUAAGUAAAAUUAUAAUGUAAUUAUUGACAAAAUUAAAAUGUUUUUUUUUGAAUUGCUAUGAGUUAUAAACUUUUUUGUUACUAUCUUGAUUACCAAAUAACAAUUAACUUUAGUAAAUAAAGGUUGUUCGUUUUUGUUAAAGUUUGUUUACAACUUAUAUGUAAAUUGUUUUUUAAUUUGUACCAAAAGAAAUUAAGAAGACAGUGAAAUUAUUUUAGUAAUUAGCCGCCAAAGGUAGAAAUUCAAAUAAGGCAUCACGGCAAAAACCAAAGUUACAAAAAGGUAUUUGAGGGUUUUCAUGGGACAAGAACUUUUUCUUCAUUGAACUAUCUGAAUAGGAUCAACAUUAAUUAUUUUCAUAACUCAAAUAUAGAACAUAAAAAUAUUCAUAUGAAUUCUUAAACUUAUAUACUCAAUGAUAUGGGAUAUACACGCAAAGUGCGUGCCCAAAAACUAGUUCAAUAUAUACCUAAUCGGAUAACAUCAAUACUCAUUUUUUAUUUUUUAUUUUUUAUUUUAGUGAGAGUUAAGUUAUUUUGACUUUUAGUUUGUGAUAUUACUUGAUUAUUCUUGAAAUCAAGUCAUGGACAAUAUGGAUAUGCAUAGUAGGGAAAUUUUCAUAUAUGGCAAAGAGAAAAAACUUAAUUAGCUUUCAUAGCUACAGUUUACCUAAUUACGCUUUAUAGGUAUAGUUUUAUUUGUUAUGCGGACCAAGAAGUGAUAGAGUCAUUUGGUGAUUCCGCCAAUCAUUUUGUAGCUUCACCCAUCAAAGAGAACGGGAAUAACCUCAACCUCGUGGACGCUUGUGAGAUGUUUUUAAACACAAAUGAUCUACACACCUCCACAAAUUUUCAAAGGUGUUCAUGGCAGUCCUCAUGAGCUAAACCUCCUAAACAUUCCUCUUAGUUGGAGCAAUUGUAGCUACAAUCCAGUUACAUGAAACACUGUCCACUCGGUUGUGGGAGGUAUUUGGUUGGCUCCCGUAGUCCGAACAAUAUUGACGUGCAUAUCAUUCAAAUCACCCAUGUCAUUUUGACCGUAGUGACUAUCAUUUUCAUUACCAUAGUAACUCAUUGUACUAGACCUGCAAAUCAACCAACAAUAACCCAAAGCAACAAUUUACUACAACUAAACAAAUUUACAAUUGAAUUUCUCAAAUAGAAUUCUCAACCACCAGUACCCGACAACGGCGCCAUUUUUUGUAAUGCUCAAAUGUACUAUAUAAAACAAAUUAAAAGAGACAGCGUUCGUUGUCAAUAAAAAUACCUAAUUAAGAGUCGGGAUCGUGGUUUUUUUCUCUUUUAAGUAAAUCUACCACUCAUCAUGUCUUUAAUAGAGGUGUUACAAGGUGGUUAUUAUCGUAGCCUGUACUCAUAAGUUGCUUGAAGUUAUUGGAUUUUGAGAAAUCUUGUGUGGCAGAGCGUGACUUUUUUCUCUUAUAAGCAAGGAGGUUUUCACAUAAGCAUUUGUGUUCUUUACUUUAAGCAUUCAUUGCUUUUGCUAUUAUUAAUACAAUCAAGGGACCUGAUCUUUUAACUCGUGGUGGAUUCAUAAAAGUCAACAAAUAUAAAGUCUGUCAUUUCAAGGAGAAUCAGGUGAACUUUUUUAAUAUAAAAUUUUACGUCCUCGGUGGUGCAAACCUUUUAUUUCUUCCAAGAUCUAUACAGAGAACAAGCAGAGGGGGACGACAACCUAAACCUCCGUUAAUAAGCAUUAAUAUACAGUCUUGAAAGCAGGUCAUGUACAACAAAAACUAAAGAAAGACAAAUCAUAGAUAGUGACUCUGAAUAUAUUUUAUCUUAGGGAGGGCAUCCAAAUAAUAUCAAUGGAGUACAUACCAGCUUCAUCUUUUGGCAAAUCUAUAGGAUCAAAAAUCAAGACGUCCUUGCUAUAUAAAUAAUAUUUAGCUAGUACGUCUGCCACUUGAAUCGCCUCUUUGAAGCAAUGUCGAACUAUCACAUUGGCCUGCAAAUUAAUUCUUCUAGUCUCCAUAAUAGUAUCCUGCAGUUUCCAGGCCAUUUGAGAUUUAUCCUUAAUCAUAUUGGCUAUAACAAGGGAAUCACAUUCUAAAAUAAAGCUUGGAUAGCCAUUUUCCACGCACCAUUUGGCUCCAAAAUAGGCUGCUUUGGCUUCUCCUAUAUUGCUCGUACCUCUCCCAAUAUGUUUUGCGAAGGCUACUAUUAAAUUUCCCAUUGAAUCCCUUAUAAUACCACCUACACCAAUCGAUCCUUCAGAGUUGCAACUGCAAUCAAUAUUGACUUUUACCCAAUUAUAUUGUGGUUUUUCCAUGGAACAACAAUGCUAUUAAUUUUAGGCCUAAGAGACAUAAUAGUAGAACAUAGAACUGGCCACUGACAAGGCCAAUCUCUAUCACCUACCAGUUUGUUUAUCGACCAUCUAAUAUGGGAAAUAAUUUUAUGCUUCGACCUAGCAUAGGAAAUUCUCUUAGAGCCAUACUUGACCGCACAUCUCGCUUUCCAUAGUUCCCAACGAAUAAGGAUAGGAGCAUUUUAAGAAUUUGUUGAUGCGAUGAAUUCAGAGGUUUCAUAGACCACCAUCAACCAAAGAAACAUACAAUAGAUCCAUGACCCCAAGGAAUACCAAAAGGAUCACCAAAAAAUUUCCAUUUUCUAGUAGCUAAUUCACCGGUACAAAAGGAAUGAUGGCUUGUCUCAUCAACAGGGAUUCGAUAACAACUUAGUCAACUCAGCCCCAUUGAAAUAACUCUGAACAAAAUCAACCACUUCCUGUUUAAUAAUUCUCCAACAGGUGCUAACAUUCAAAUUACCCUCAAAAUAAGUUAAAACAGUAAUCGGUUGUUAGCAAUAAAAAUACCCAACAAGAGUCGGGGUCGAAUCCCACAAGAAACAAUUUGUCGGCUCGGCAAUUGAAAAGACAAUUUUUUGGUAACAAAACGAUGGAUUUGGGCAAAGACAUUAUCAAACAAGGGAUACAUGGGAAUUCAAAAUUUUGGAAUUCAAUCCACACUCGAACGAUCCAUUGCAAUUCAACACCUGCUAAAGUAAUCAUAGAUAGUCUAUAUCAUCAUCAAUCAACAUUAAUCUCCUUUCGGUCUCGAAGUAUUACAUCACGAAAUCUCCUUUCGGUCUCAACCAUAGUUCAAUGACAAAACAAUCUAAUACUUUAGUCUAAACCCCUAUUUCUAGCAAGUUUAGCAUUCAAUAAAGUAAACCCAAAUCUUUUCCUUUCGGUCUCAAACUUAGGACACAAAGCUGAAAUGUGAUUAUUAAUCUAUUCACCGACUUCACGAAUUCUCUUUCAAGCAACCCACAAAUUCCUAAAGUAGAUUCGAGUGUGCACUCUCAAAUCAUAGAUUAAAACAUGGUGAAUAGAGUUGUUGGAUUUUUAGUCGUUAUUCUUUUAUCAGUUGACCUAGUCUUUAGGAGUUUUGAUUCCUUUUUUGAUUGUAGUAGUUUGCAGGUUGUUCUGUUUUUAAGGAAUUAGUGCAGUAAAGUGUUAUAGUUGCUUUAGGAGUCAUGUGCUCUAUUUUAGGAGUAAGUUGAUAAUGGGACUGAUAUGUGUCCUAUUUAAUUGAUUAUUCUGUUAAGUAUUUGCCUAUUUAUAGGCUUGAAGUCAUGAAUAAAAGGAUUAAGUGUUUUCAGCAAAUUACUUUCUCUCCUUACGUAUCUUUUUAUUUCUCCUUCUUAAGUUUCCAUCAGUGGUAUCAGCGCCAGGUUAUUCAAAGAGUGAAAACAAGUGAGGCAGCCACAAAUUUCUUUUCAUAUUAUCUAAUGGCUACUGAAAAUAAUUUUGUGCAAGCAACAAUUCCUCGCUUUGAUGGUCAUUAUGACCAUUGGAGCAUGUUGAUGGAGAAUUUCUUACGGUCAAAAGAGUAUUGGCCAAUUAUUGAGGACGACAUCGACACUCCGGCGGAAGGCGAAGUUUUGUCGAAUGCUCAAAAGGCAGAGUUGGAAGCAAAAAAGCUGAAAGAUCUGAAAGCGAAGAAUUAUCUCUUUCAGGUAAUUAAUCGUCCCAUCCUGGAAACUAUUCUUUGCAAAGAAACUUCCAAGGAUAUUUGGGAUUCCAUGAAGAAGAAGUAUCAAGGCUCAAGCAGGGUGAAGCGUGCACAGCUUCAAGCUUUGAGAAAGGAUUUUGAAACACUGGAGAUGAAGGAAGGAGAAUCUGUGACAAACUAUUGUGCUAGAACCAUGGAAAUAACCAACAAGAUGCGCUUCCAUGGUGAGAAGAUAGGUGAUGUAGCCAUUGUGGAGAAGAUUUUACGAUCUCUGACAUCAAAAUAUAAUUAUGUUGUCUGCUCAAUUGAAGAAUCAAAGGAUAUAGAUGAACUAUCUCUUGAUGAACUGCAAAGUUCUUUAUUGGUUCAUGAACAGAAGAUGAACAAAAGUUCUGGAGUGCAGGAGCAAGCGUUGAAGGCUUCUACUAAUACUUAUUCCAGCAACUAUAGAGGUAGAGGUAGAGGCCGAGGAAGAGGAGAUCGUGGAGGAAGAGAUUUCAGCAGAAAUUACAAAACCAGCACUGAUCAGUCUCAAGGCAGAGGUCAAGAUCAUGAAAAAUCGAAGGUAGAGUGUUAUAGAUGUCACAAAUUUGGUCACUAUGCAUCAGAUUGUUACACUAGACUUCCUAAUGACAAGAAAAAUGUGAAAGUGCCAAUUUUGUCGAAAAUAAGGAAGUAGAAACAUUGUUAAUGGCUGUCCAUGGUGGAAAAAAAUAUGAGUCUAAUAUUUGGUAUGUAGAUACUGGAUGCAGUAAUCACAUGUGUGGAAGUAAAUUUUCUUUUUCAUCUCUAGACGAAAAUUUCCACUCUACUGUAGCGUUUGGUGAUUGUUCAAUUGUGGAAGUGAUGGGGAAAGGUGACAUCAAGAUUAAAACCAACAAUGGUUUUGUGGAAACAUUUACUAAUGUAUUGUAUGAUCCUGACUUGAAAAGUAAUUUACUUAGUGCUGGUCAGUUGCAAGAAAAGGGUUAUGUCAUCACUAUCAAGAAGGGCGAGUGUGAAAUUUAUGAUCCUGUGAGAGGAGCUAUUGCAGUAGUUCAAAUGAGCUCCAACAGAUUAUUUCCACUAAGGAUUGAUAGCAUCCAAUCCUGUUUGAUGGCUGAAGUAAAGGAUUCAUCCUUGUUGUGGCACUUCCGUUAUGGUCACUUGAGUUUUGGAGGUUUGAAAACACUCCAACAGAAAAACAUGGUUACUGGUCUUCCUCAAAUUACUGCACCUUCCAAAAUUUGUGAAGAAUGUGUUGUUGGCAAACAACAUCGCUCUCAAUUUCCCAAAGGAAAGUCAUGGAGAGCAAAGGAUGUUUUGGAGCUAGUACACUCAGAUCUUUGUGGUCCGAUAAACCCAACGUCUAAUGGAGGUAAACGGUAUUUAAUUACUUUUACUGAUGAUUUUUCAAGAAAAACUUGGGUUUAUUUUCUGGAAGAAAAAUUUGAAGCUUUUUCAAUAUUUAAAAACUUCAAAGUUCGUGUGGAAAAUGAAGUAGGGAAAACCAUUAAGGCUCUCCGAGAUCGUGGUGGCGAAUACUGCUCAAAAGAAUUUGAAGAGUUUUGUGCAAAGCAUGGCAUUCGGAGAGAGCUUACAGCUGCGUAUACACCACAACAAAAUGGUGUGUCGAAAAGGAAAAACAGAACCAUCCUCAACAUGGUGAGAAGUAUGUUAUUGAGAGGAAGCAUUCCAAAAACUUUCUGGCCAGAAUCAGUGAAUUGGAGUGUUCAUAUUCUAAACAGAAGUCCAACUUUUUCUGUUAAAAAUAUGACACCCGAGGAGGCAUGGAAUGGGAGAAAACCAACAGUAGAUCAUUUUAGAAUUUUUGGAUGCAUUGCAUAUGCCCAUGUCCCGGAUGAAAGGAGGAAGAAACUUGAUGAUAAGGCUGAAAAAUGUGUUUUUCUUGGUGUGAGUGAGUCUUCCAAAGCAUAUAAGUUGUUUAGUCCGUUGACUAAGAAGAUUGUUAUCAGCAGGGACGUUACUUUUGAUGAGGAAAGCACUUGGGAUUGGAAUAGGCAGCAGCCUGCUACCCAAAUCCUAUGUGACAGUGACGUGGAACAAGAGCAAUUUUCAGCACCUUGUACACUUGAAAAUUCAUCAGAUUCGGCCCCUAUAACUUCCCCACCAGUUGCUGUUGCAAAUGAAGAAGCAACUCAAACUCUUGGGCGUGUUAGAAGAAGGCCUGCUUGGAUGAAGGAUUACAAGGUAACUGGAAUUGAAGAUCCAAUUACUCACUUUGCUUUAUUUUCAGAUUGCGACCCAAUUUUUUAUGAGAGUGCUGUAAAGGAAGAAAAAUGGAGAAAAGCAAUGGAUGAUAAAAUUGAUGCUAUUAAACGAAAUGAUACUUGGGAGUUGUCCGAUCUUCCAAAGGGACAGAAAACCAUUGGACUGAAGUGGGUGUUCAAAACAAAGUUGAAGGAAAAUGGCAAAGUUGACAGGUACAAAGCGCGUUUAGUGGACAAGGGGUAUAAGCAACAAUAUGGGAUCGAUUAUACAAAAGUAUUUUCUCCUGUUGCUAGGCAUGAUACAAUCAGAUUGGUUAUCGCAUUGGCAGCUCAGAAUUCUUGGCCUAUUUUCCAGCUAGAUGUCAAGUCGGCGUUCCUACAUGGGCACUUGGAGGAAACAGGGUAUUUGUUGAACAACCCUGGUUAUGUUGAAAUUGGAAAUGAGCAUAAGGUUUAUAGAUUAAAAAAGGCCCUCUAUGGUCUAAAACAAGCUCCUCGAGCUUGGUAUAGUCGCAUUGAGGGCUAUUUUCUAAAAGUUGGUUUUUCGAAAUGUCCUUAUGAGCAUACACUUUUUGUUAAGAUUGGGGAUAAAGGAAAAAUGCUCAUUAACUGCUUGUAUGUUGAUGAUCUCAUUUUUACUGGAAAUUGUGGUGUCAUGUUUGAGGAAUUCAAGAAGUCAAUGAUGGAUGAGUUUGAAAUGUCUGACCUAGGAUUGAUGCAUUACUUUCUUGGCAUAGAGGUAGUACAAUCUGAAAAGGGGAUCUUUAUUUCUCAGAAGAAGUAUAUAAGGGAAAUUCUAGAAAGAUUUCAGAUGAUGGAUUGCAAUCCAGUUAAUACUCCUGUUGAACUUGGUUUGAAGUUGCACAAAGAUCCUACUGGAAUGAAGGUUGACAACACACUUUACAAGCAAAUCGUGGGAAGCUUGAUGUAUCUCACUGCUACAAGGCCUGGCAUAAUGUACUCAGUGAGUUUAAUCAGCAGGUACAUGGAGAAUCCCACAGAAAUGCACUUGCUGGCAGCCAAGAGAAUUCUCCGUUACUUGCAAGGAACGAGAGACUUUGGACUAGUUUAUAAGAAGAGUGAAAAUUCCAAUCUUCUUGGGUAUACGGAUAGUGAUUAUGCUGGUGAUCGUGAUGACAGGAAAAGCACUUCAGGUUAUGCUUUUAUGCUAGGGUCCGGUGCUAUUUCGUGGUCAGCUAAGAAGCAACCAAUUGUCACUUUGUCUACUACAGAAGCCGAGUUUGUUGCUGCGACUGCUUGUGCUUGUCAAGCUAUUUGGUUGAGGAGACUUUUGGAGGAGUUAAAAUUCAAGCAAGCAGAAGCCACUAAGAUUUUUUGUGACAAUGAUUCAGCAAUUCAGCUAUCCAAGAAUCCAGUGCUACAUGGAAGAAGCAAGCACAUUGAUGUGAAGUUUUAUUUCUUAAGAGAUCUUAGCAAUAAUGGAACUAUUGAUCUGAUUUACUGCAGGAGUGAAGAUCAAGUUGCCGAUAUUUUCACCAAGGCCCUGAAGACGGAGUCAUUCAUGAAACUUAAAAGGCUGCUAGGUGUAUGUACAAUCAAAGAUAUAAACUGACUGUUAGAAAACAUCAGUUUAAGGGGGCAACUGUUGGAUUUUUAGUCGUUAUUCUUUUAUCAGUUGACCUAGUCUUUAGAGUUUUGAUUGUAGUAGUUUGCAGGUUGUUCUGUUUUUAAGGAAUUAGUGCAGUAAAGUGUUAUAGUUGCUUUAGGAGUCAUGUGCUCUAUUUUAGGAGUAAGUUGAUAAUGGGACUGAUAUGUGUCCUAUUUAAUUGAUUAUUCUGUUAAGUAUUUGCCUAAUUAUAGGCUUGAAGUCAUGAAUAAAAGGAUUAAGUGUUUUCAGCAAAUUACUUUCUCUCCUUACGUAUUAUUUCUCCUUCUUAAGUUUCCAUCAAGAGUAAACCCAUUUCAUGAAUUUAAGCAUUGAAUCAAGGAAUCACAAAAACAAUAGAAUGAAAAAUCAACUACUCAAAUAGUUGUCUAUUUCUAGAACAAAACUCCAAUUUCAUAUACAUAAUUACACCUAUAAUUCUAACAAUAUAUAACAAGGAAUGAAGAAGAGAACAAGAGAUUUUACUAUUCAGCACCUAAUCUUCAAAUCCAAAUAUGAAUUGUGAGGCAACUUGCCUUCAAAAUCAUUACCCAAAAAUAUAAACUACAAUAUUCUCUCUACUCUAAGCUAAAGUUUUUCAAAGCUGAAAAUGGUAUGAAAAAGAUCCUCCCUAAAAAUGGCUGCUAAUAAGUGUAAUAGGGGUUUUGGGAAAACUUGGUGAAAUUCAUGUUCUGUCCCAGACGCCUGACAAUUCCUUCAUCGUGGUUGCGACAACUUACUCACGCAAUCACGAUGAGUAGUGUCAUUGAGUCACGCAAUUGCGAACAUUGACCAUGCGAUCGCGAAGUCUUGAGAUUUUGUUGACUGCGAUCACGACCCUUGCUUCACGUGGUAGUGAUGAGUAAUUUGCCGUCAGUUUUACUUUCUUCCAAUUGACCUCUUAUUGCCUCGUUUUCACUUGAUUUCUUCAAAUGUCUUCUAAAUCAACUCUCCAUUAAUUUUCCUACAAAUAUAACGAAAACCACAUUAAAAGCACCAGUUUUAAACUAAAACAAGCCAAAAUAACUAAGAAAAGAGCCUCAAAUGAGUGAAAAUCUCUCACUCAUCAACAUGGUGCAUUUCAAAUAUAGCAUCAUCCUUAUCAUUAUCAAUAUAUUCAUUCUCAAGAUGUUGUAGUUUUUCUUCCCAUUCUUUCACCUUGUCAGGCACAUUACCAAUAGUAGUUUUAGACCACUGACUGAGAGUUCUGCUAAGCGGUUUAAGUUUUUGAUGUAGUUUCCACAUACUAUUACCCUGAAUAUCAACAUUCCAAGCGUCUUGAACCACAUGUUUGAAGUUGGGAUGUUUAAUCCAAACAUUUAAGAAUCUAAAGUAUUUAAUACCCAUGAAUUCAACUUUAGAACAUUUGACUAGCAUAGGUGUGUGAUCAAAACCAGUGCUAAUUAUACGUGUUCUACACUAUUUCUCGAAAAGUUGGAAGCCCACUCAUGAUUAAUGAAAACUCUAUCAAGUUUCUUCCAGGUAAAUCUAGGACCAGAUAAACCUGCAUCUACCAUGCUACAAUCAUCCAUACAAUCUAUGAAGUCCUAUCUUUUUUUGCAUUCUACGAGUAAUUCCACCUUUCUUUUCUUCGGCACUCAUUAAAAUCUCCACUAAUACACUAGGGGACUUGAAUCUCAUCAUUGCAUCUUCUGAUACUAUGCCAACGAGGUACCCUUAGGAUCUCUUUAAUUUUAGCAUAAACAAAGCUCAUCUAGAAGUAAUCAACACUUCCCUGCUUGUUAAACUUGACAGUCAGUAGUUGUUGGUCAUCCAAAGUAAUCUGAGCAUUUAGAGUAUUAGACCAAAAUAUCCAUAGUAUGCCAUUUAUAUUGGAGUAGCAGUGAUCAAGUCCAAUCUUCCUUCUAUAUUUACCAAUAUGAAUAAAAUUCACAAAAGGCUCCUGAAUAGCAAUAAUAUGGAGUUUAUGCAUUUUAACAAGGAAGUUCAAUCUGUCAAAGGCACCCUUUGAGUUCACUCCUCUAAUAUUCAAUUGUCAAUUUCCAAAGGAUCGUUACUAGAUCUAGGAGAUAGAUUACAGUGCAAGAUCAAAGUAUUUCUAUGUUGAGUAACAAUAUUUUCAAGGUCGUGGUCCUUCCAGGAAGUUUUAGGAGUAAUGACUUAACAAAUCGUCUCCUGAUACUCAUCUUCUUCAAUAUAAUCACUGGCAUCAUAUCUCUGGAGUUGUUAUUGGAAUCUUGAUCCCCGCCUUCUCUAAAACCUUGACAAUCACAAACUUGAAGAGGAGUUAGAUUUUUUGAUGUUUACACUUGAAGCAAUAGUCCGGAACAAACUCAUAGACGAUUUUUUGAUCAAAACCUCCAUGUUCUUGUCCCUCCCCGUCAACUACACCAACCCAUACAGAAUCCCUCCUAUUUUUAGCCAAAUCAAUCUCUACCAAGACCUUCGCAAAAUUAGGCCUGGAUUUAGUUUCCGUGGCUUUGUCAAUUUUCAGCAAUGAGCCAAUAAAGGAGGUGAUACGGAUCAAAGGAUUCCAGUUGAAAUAAUGUCAUUUUAAGACCCGACAGCUGAAUCCAUACGGGGUAAGGGAGUUUUCUUCUUCAGGAUUAAAAUCGGGGAUCCAAGUAGCUAAUGCAUCAAGAAUCCCAAGACCAUGUAUUUUUUUACAAGCAUAGAUAUCUAAAUAGUCCUCUCACAGUGAGAAAAAUAAAAAUAUGCUUGGAAUUAAAAUGUCCAAUUUUAACUGACCAUUUGAUGACAAACCUAUCAUCGAAAUCGCGCCCUCAAUCAAAGGUCGUCCAUGAAAGAACUUACCAACAAGAGUCCUUCUCUUCUUGAAUGGCGUUGAUGUUCGUAGUGCUCUCCAAAAUAGAGACUGAAAAAGAGGGAGAUCAAUCAGUGUGUGGGUAAUUUAUAGAGCCAAUUUUUUAAAGAAAAAAACAUGUUUGUCCCUCUGCCCUUGUUGCGUGUAACUUGCUACACUAGUACAACUUGUGUAACGACCCGGAAAACUAGUAAGUGAAACUAGAGCCUAACGAGUGUGUUUUUGAGUUUGUUGAGGGGUUUGAAGUUGUAGAAUGAUGUCCCGAGCUUAGGUUGAGGAGUUUAGGGGUUAAAAGUCAAGGUACCACCCCCGAAGGACCAACCAGGGGUCCUUGAGGGGGACCCUAAAGCCUAACCCCAAGGUUGCCCCAACUAGCCAAAAGCUAUCAAAAUUUUGGGAGCUACGGAUGGGACCUACGCCCUGUAGGUCCAUCCACGCCCCUUGGAUGGCUUCCGUGGGUCAAGACCCCAAAUGGGAAGUCUCAGACCCAAACCACGUACCUGUAGGACGGGGCGUCACCCCACCUACGGUCCGUAGGUCUAGGGCCGUGAGUCCCACCUGUAAAAGUUGUCAAGCUUGGCCAAGGUAAGAGUUAAAUGGUAAAUUCCUUUUUAGGUUAGUUGAGUUAGGGGACUGUUAUUAUUGAUUGAUUAAAGUAUUUUAAGGCUUUUAAAAGUAUUAAAUACCCUUUUUCAAUUCAUUACUUCAAAAACAGAAAAUAGAAACCUCCCACCCUCUCCAAAUAUUCUCUCUCUAAAAACCAUCAUUGGAGAAGAAGGAGUCAAGCUUUGAAGCUCAAGAUUUCAUAUUUUACUCUCAAUUUUCGUGGAGUUUCUUCCUAAAGGUAUGAUAGUCUGCAUCCUUGAUUAAGUUUCAUUCAAGGAGCCCUAUCAAAAGAUGAUUUUAAGUUUCCAAAAUCCCCCCAAAACCUAGGGUUUUCAAUCUAUGCAUGGGUUCAAUUCCAAAAUGUUUUCAAAGGUUUAUAUAUGAUGAAUUAUGAAUGAAUUGUUGAAUUAAUGAUGAAUUAUGGUGAAUUUCUCGUAUGAACCCAUGUUUUCCCCAAAAUCCUAAGUUGUGAAUUGUGAUUGGGAAUUGAUUGAUCAUGAAAGUAUGUUGAAUUGUUUAUGUUUAUAUUGAAUUAGUUAUUGAAUCAUGUUAAUUCCCUUAUCUAAUGUAUUAUUCUAGAUGUUUGGGUUGAGAUUGAUUCAUAGCCUUGGAGGGCAAUUUCAUGAAGGAUUUAUGUAUGAUUAUGAUGUGAAGUGUAUGCGUGUGAUCUUAAGGAAAGUAUUAUGAUCAUGUUUAGAAUGUAAUUGUGCUAUGAUUGUAAGCAUAUUCUCAAUUAACACUCAUGAAUGAUGAUGAUAGAAUGUGAAGGGUUUCUUCUAUGUAAUGUUGUAUCUUGAAUUGGUAGGCUUAGGCAUCCUCUUCUUGUAUAAUGAAAGUAAUGUGAAUGUUGUAUCUUGAAUUGGUAGGCUUAGGCAUCCUCUUCUUGUGUUAUGAAUGUGUCUUGACUUAAUGAACAUGCAUCAGUAGACCUAAUAUUGGUAGCCCUUCAUGAUGAGUCUAGAAACUAAUGUGAUGAUAAACGUCCUUGAAUCGGUAGACCUAAUAUUGGUGGCCCUUUCAUGUCUGAAAUGAUGAACCUUGAAUCGGUAGACCUAAUGGUUGUGGCCUUUCUUGAGGAUUCAAUGAACUAUCCAUGUAAUGUACCUUGAAUCGGUAGACCUAAUGUUGGUGGCCCUUUCAUGUGUAAUGUACUUUGGGUUGGUAGACCUAAUGUUGGUAGCCCUCUCAAGUACAAUAAUGUUAAUGAAAAUGAACUACUCUAUGGGAAUGGAGGCUAAGCACCGAAUGGAUAUGGUAAGAUGGAAACUCUCCCCAUGUUAGGUUAGGGUUUCAAUGAACAUCUUCCUAUCCCAUAACUAUGUGCCCACAUAGGAUAUUAGCUAGUGGAUCCACCUAAGCUAAAAUGUAUCUAGUUCUACCUUAGGCAAGUAGAACACCUUCCUUCGGUUUGGGGUCAUAUGACAUCGGAUUCCAUGGUUUGCUCUCAUGGUCUAUGUCGGUUAAUGCUUAUUCCCAUCAUGUGAGAUGUGCACUAUGGUUGCUUGAGAAGUUCUAUGAAGUGUGGGUGGUAGUAUGGGAUGUCAUUCAUGCAUUGCACAAGUAGACUUUGAGAGGGCUAUAGUGAGUUCUCUAAUGUCUUAAUGACUAAUGAAUGAAAGUGCUCUUAAUGAAGCUAAUGAAGAAUGUUGACUUAUAUGCUUAAUGAGAUGAUGCAUGCUUUCCUUGGAUGGUAUUAUGAGUUACUUUCCUUUUCAUGACUUAUGAAAAGUUUAUGUUCCUUAUGUAUGAGUAUUCUCUAAAGAUGAAAAGGAAGAAUGGUAAGUUCAGUUUUGGUGGCCUUAAUGUGGUACUCAGUGUGGAUGGUGGUAUGGGACGCUAUUCAUACAUUACACAAAGUAUAGCUUGGGGUUACUUAAGGUGAAAGCUUAAUGUGAUGAAAUGGCUUAUAUGUUGAUUAUGUUCUAAUGUGAUGAAAUGGCUUAUAUGUUGGAUGUGAUUGUAUUUUAUGCCUCUUAUACCUACGUUCAUGAAGUUUUCUCAAAAUUGGCAUAUGCAUGGUUUUCAACCAAAUGUCUAUUUUAAGCAUGGUUUUUGCAUGGCUAUCAUACUUGGUACAUUAAAUGUGCUAACCCACAUUUCUUCUAUUUUUCUACAAAGUGUAGGUUCCAGCAAGUGAGUUGAGUUCUUCCAAGACUAGUGGUAUGUCCUCAUGGAUUCAAGGACAAGUACUUUUGAUGUUUCAUGUCUUUCUUUGUAAUAUACUCUUUUUAGACUUUCUAUUGUAAAGGGCUGUGACCCUACUUUUUAUUCGAAGAUUGUUUUUAGAUGGCCAUAUGAGACUAGUAGACUUCCGCUGUUUUAAUGAUGGUUUUCUAUUGUAUGGAUUUAAAGAAAAGUUUUAAUUUCGUACCAUUUUCCUUUUAUCGAAUGUUAUGAAUGCUAUGAGGCUCUUCGGAAUCUUGUAUGCCGUGUGGCAUCUAGGGGGUACCCCUAGGUCAUGACAACUUGCUGUAGAUAUUACCUUUUUUUUUUAAGUUUUUAAUAAUCUAUUUGUAGACAUUAAAAAAUUGUAUGACUCUAUAAGACAAAUUCUAUUUCAGUUAAGAUUUUUGGAUACUACUUUACUUUAAACCAUAUGUUAUGCCGAUAUAAAGGGUAUUAUAUUCCCUUGAAAAAAACAUCUCGAAUAUUUCACAAAUUCACGGAUUAUUCAUAAAGAGAUAAAAUUCAAAUCAUGCUAGUUCGAGAAAUAUGCCACUAACGGUCCUUGAAUCAUGGAGAGAUUCAAAAUAUCCAAAUCAUCCUUAAUUUGAGAAACACACCACUACGACUCUCAGAUCAUAAAUAAAUCUUAUGAGAGAAGAAUCAAGGGAGGAAUAGGUUAUAAAUAAAAUAUUCACAAUAUUGAUUUAUAAAUAAAUAUUCAUGUUUCUUCUUAUUUUUUCUGUGAUUGCAAUUUAUUUUCUAUCACCUUUAAAGUUUGUUGCAAACAAAUUGGCAUGCCCAAUGGGACCAAAUCUGCCCUUAUCUCUUCUCUCACAAAUCAAAUCUCAAAUCUGAAGUCGCAAAACCUCAAAGGGGAAAGCAUACUUCAAGUCUCGUCUAUGAGUUUCAUCAAAUCUACACUCCGACAAGCCUUCAAGAAGGGGACAUUUGUAGACAUUGAAAAUUUGUAGGACUUUACAAGACGAAUUCUAUUGUAGUUAAGGUUCUUAGAGGCUACUCUACUCUAAAUCAUACCUUAUGCCUAUAUAAAGGGUAUUAUAUUCUCUUGCAAGGGCAUCUCAAAUAUUUUGCAAAUCCACGAAAUAUUCAUAAAGAGAUCAAAUUCAAAUCAUCCUAGUUCGAGAAAUACACUACUAAAGGCCCUCGAAUUAUGGAGAAAUUCAAAUUAUCUUUAAUCGAGAAAUGCACCACUACGACCCUCGAAUCAUGAUAAAUCUUAUGAAAGAAGAAUCAAUGGAGGAACAGAUUAGUACCCAUAUUGAUUUAUCAAUAAAAUAAUCAUGUUUGUUCAUAUUUUGUGUGAUUGUAAUUUAUUUUCUAUCUCCUUUAAAAUUUGUUGCAUACGCAAGUGUACGUAGUCGCAAAAAUAAUACAAUGGAUCUUUAAGAAUCGGUUUGUCGAACCCAAAGGACUUAUGAUCAAAUUAUAUUCAAUUCAACUAAAUCCAUAAGUUAAAGACAGCGUUUUCAUGAAACUCAUCUUUUCUAUCUAUACUACGACUGCAAAAAAUUAAAGCUCAAAAUUAACUAAGAAUGAACAACUUCAAUUUUUGUGUUUAAACAAUAUAGUCCUAGUUCUAGUGCUGCAACAUGUUAGGAAUUCAUGUAUCACAUCUCUUUCAUGAUUACUUACGGUCAUCAAAUUACUGAUUUAUAGGGUCGAUAUUAUGAUCAUGAUCUCUAAUUACCUACCUUAGUUGAAUACCUAACUACAUCUAUGAUUGGGUAUAGGCAAACUCAACCAUGGAGCAUUUAUUUUUCAUCCUAUCUCUAAACCAAGCACGAUGUUCAUUCGGGUGUUAAUCCUAAACAUGAAUCUAAACAAGUGGUAUGCAAGAAUGAUCACACUCUCUGUAUUAUUUGGUCUAUCUACAUAUUCAUCUCUCGAGUUCAAGAAUAGACAAUAAAUGUAUCUCAAUGAUGGUCAAUCAUGAAAUACUAAAACAAGAAUACAAGAGUAAUAUUUAUGAUAUAAUUUUUAUGAUAAACAAAUUAAUCCAUAGAAAUCGAUGUUCAACAAUAAGUCAUGGCUACAGUCUCAGAACAAAGGUUUUGAGCCACUCAUCAUAUCAUAUCAUAUCAUCAUCUUCAUCAUCAUCAUCAUUAUAUCUAAUUAACAGUGGGAAGAAUCUAAGUCAAAAGGUGAAUUACAAAAAUACCCUUUAUCGACUAAUUUAUUUUCUUAAAAUCAUUUUAAAAAGGGAAAAUGCACAAGUACCCCCCUCAACUAUACACGAAAUCCCAACAACACACCUUAAUGAUACAUGAGAUCUAUUACUCCCCCUGAAUUAUUUUAAAGUGUAAUAAACGCACCCUUUCGUGCUGAGGUGGCACAGAGAGUGUGUUCACUCUCUUAGAGGCAUGUGAGACACGGAAAAAGGUAUUAAAAUUUGAUUAAUAUGGACAUGUGUUCAAUUUUUGUCACGCCCCGAGCUACCCCCAAGACGUCGACACGGGACCUAGGAUCACAAGUGACCCCAAGCUAACCCUGCUGGCAUAAUCAUUAGCAUACUAAGAUAAAUUGAGAAAGAAAACUGAUGCGGAAGCUAAUCAUAAAUAAAUCUGAAAUGAUAGGGAAUACCCAUAUACUGAAAAUGAUAAUCAAAUAUGAGAGUUUAAUACAAAAGAAAUAUCCAACUCAAAUACUAAGUUGAAUCUAACUAUGUCUGAAAAUAGCCUCUAACUGACUAGAAGUGCUGGGACAUGCCCCGGCUAAGUCUAGCAAAACUGAAACUAAAACAAUGAAAUCUGAAAGAUAACAUAACUAUUGUCCUCGAAGAAUAAGGACUCACCACUGAUGCUGUUGAACUGGAGAUCAGGAACCGAUCUAAGCGUGAUCUGGAUGCCGAGAAUUUGAACCUACAUCACAAGAAGAUGUAGCGCAGAGUAUGCGUCAGUACUUGAAAGGUGCUAAGCAUGCAGGAUAGAGUAAAGCUGAAAUAAACAUAUAACUGAACAAGAAAUGAAGCAAAAGUAUAAUCUAAACAUGAUAUAGAUGCUGAAUACUGAGCUAACAAAAUGCAAUGACCAAAUUUAGACAUGGUGAUGUUGAAUACUAAUUAUACUGAAAUGUGGUCAGUGUAAUGGUAUCUAACUGAAUUGUGGGAGCUACUAAUAACCGAUAAUAAAACCACAUGAGCUAAAUAUGGAGUCUAAUGUAUACGCCCCAUUGAGAGGACCCAAUACACCCGGCCAAAGGUGUAGAGGCAUGCUGGCGUGAUCACUAAAAUGAUGCCCACAUAGGGGACUUAUAACCUACGUGGCUCAUAGUUUUGGGACUAUAUAGGUGACUGACCCUAGUCCAAUUCGGUAUUCUUCUACUCCCAAUAGAUUAAAUGAUUAACACAUUAUGACUGAAUUUCUGUAAUAUACUAGAUAGCUCAAAACUAACAUGAAAAUUGAGAAUGCAUAUUAAUAUACUGAAUAUGACACAUUCAAGACUGAGGCAAGUAUAUCUGAAAUACUAAAAUAAUCUGACCUAGCAUGUGUAAUUCAAGAACUAAAGAAAAUGCAUCGCUAGGGUUCUGAAAUUCAUGCAAGAAAUGAAGUAAUAACAUGAUAAUCUGAUUUGGAACAUGUAAAAUAACUACUUCAUGAUAAUCUGCUGAAGUUCUAGAAACCCUAGGUUUAGUUGAUAAUAGGGAAUCAAGAAUCUGACUGAAUAUAGGGACCUAAUGGGCGAAAGGAACCCACUAGUGAAAUCCCACAUACCUGGUGCCCAUUUCACGGAGAAAUCUUUCGAUUUCGGGGCUGGAACUGAUGGAAUCUUGUUGCGUUCUUGAACUAGGGUUCUUGACCUCUUUUUCUCCUCUUAUGCUCUAAUUUUUCUAAGUUUGAUUAAUGAUUUGACUUAGUUAAGUUCUAGUUAUGUUUCUAGGCUUAAACUGACUAAAACCUCAUAAUUUAGGGUUUAAACAACGUAGUUUAGGGGUCAAACGAAUAAGGAAAAGACCAAAAGACCCCUGACUUAACUGUUGUCGGAGUAACUGACGGACGGGACUAACGGACCGUCGAUCGACUGAUGGUCCGUGCUGGUCAUCCAUCGAUCAGUACUAGAGGCUAAAAUUUGGGGAUCUGACCUACGACCCUGGACCACGGGUCGUGGUCUGACCUACGGUCCGUAGGUCCUGGCGUGGGUCUACCCUUAGCCAAAUUUUUGGGCUGAGUUCUGGGGAAGGUUUUAAGUGUGAACCACGGAUAACCAGCACGGGCCGUGGGUCACCCUACGGUCCAUGAGUGGCGACCGUGAAUCGUACCUGCAACUUCUAGAAAACUGUUUUGAGGUCCAUUACCAGAUAUGGGGUGUUACAUUAUAUCCCACUUGGAAACAUUCGUUCUCGAAUGAAGACUAAACUAGCUGAAAUGUAGCGGAUGAGCUGCAACCCUACCACUAAACACUGGAAGCUGAUUUUUCUAACUGAACUAAGUUCCAAAAACAUGCAAAUACGUUGAAAAUGCAAGUACAAACUGAAGGAACAUGAUACUAAGACUGAUUAUAUGCAUGAAUGACGGAAAAACUGAAGAGGAACUAUUAGCUCAAGCUGGAGUGGAAUUAGAAGGAACAAGGUGAGUAUACUUGGACUUCAUGCCUGCUUCUGCUUCCCAAGUAGCUCCCUCUACGGAUUGACUCCUCCACCAAACCUUGACUGAAGCGACUUUUUUGAUUCUCAACCUUCUAACCUGACGAUCAAGAAUCUCAACUAGUACAUCAUCAUAAGAAAGACUAUGUUUCACAACCACACUCUCUAAUGGCAUUACAGAUGCUGGAUCACCCACACACUUCUUCAAUAGUGAAACGUGGAAGACUGGAUGUAUUGUUGCUAAAUCUGUUGGCAACUCUGACUCAUAAGCCACUUUACCAAUCCUUUUCAAGAUCCGGUAAGGGCCUAUAUAUCUGGGACUGGGCUUUCCUUUCUGAUCAAAUCUCAUCACCCCUUUCAUAGGUGACACUUUCAAGAAAACCCAAUCAUCAACUUGGAACUCUAGUUCCCUUCUCCUUACAUCUGCAUAAGACUUCUGGCGACUCUGGGCUGUCUUAAGUCUAUCUCUAAUGAGUUGCACUUUCUCCGUAGAAUCAAGAACCGAAUCUGGCCCUAUCAAGGUUGCUUCACCUACUUCAAACCAACCAACAUGAGAUCUACAUCUACGCCUAUGCAAAGCCUCAUAAGGGCCCAUCUGAAUACUGGAAUGGUAGCUAUUAUUAUAGGCGAACUAUAUAAGAAGAAGGUGAUCGUCCCAACUACCCUUAAAUUCGAUCACACAAGCUCUCAACAUGUCCUCUAAGGUCUGAAUGGUACGCUCUACCUGACCAUCCGCCUGUGGAUGAAAUGUUAUGCUAAGAUUAACCUGAGUACCAAGACCUUUUUGAAAUGACUUCCAUAAAUGAGAGGUAAAUUGAGGACCUCUAUCUAAGAUGAUAGACAAAGGAACCCCAUGCAACCUGACUAUCUCAUUAAUUUAAAGCUUGGUGUAGUCCUCUCCCGAAUCUGUAGUCUUGACCGCCAAAAAGUGAGAAAACUUAGUGACUCUAUCAACUACCACCCAAAUGGAGUCAUGUUGUCUGCGAGUACGAGGUAAACCUGUGAUGAAAUCCAUGUUUAUCACUUCCCACUUCCAAGUAGGAAUUUCGAUCUCUUAAUUCAUACCCCCUGGUUUCUCAUGUUCUACCUUCACUUGCUGGCAAUUAGGGCACUUAGCCACAAAAUCUGCUAUAUCCCUCUUCAUGCCAUUCCACCAAAAGACUUACCACAGAUUACUGUACAUCUUAGUGGCGCCUGGAUGAAUAGAAUACUUGGAGUUAUGGGCUUCUGCAAGAAUCUACUGUCUCAACUCACCCACAUUAGGAACACAUAGUCGACCCUGAUAGCGAAGCAUACCAUAUCCCCCUUGGGAGAAUACCUCUACUCUCUGUUGAUGGACUGCACCCUUGAGUUCGAGCAAUAUCGAAUCACUGUCUUGCUACUCCUUAACCUCCACUACCAAUGAAGAUUCUGAUCCAUUUUGAACUGUCACACCACCAUCUGAUAUGCUCAUAAGACGAACUCCAAAACGAGCAAGCAUGUGAACAUCCUUUGCUAGCACUUUUUUUUCUUCCUCAACAUGUGCUACACUACCAAUAGAUAGUCUGCUAAGGGCAUCUGCUACUACAUUUGCCUUACCUGGAUGGUAAUGCACACUGAUGUCAUAAUCCUUGAGGAACUCAAGUCAUCUCCUCUGGCAAAGAUUCAACUCUUUCUCGGUGAACACAUACUGAAGGCUCUUAUGGUCUGUGAACACAUCUACAUGCACACCAUACAAGUAGUGUCUCCAAAUCUUGAGUGCAAACACCACCAUGCAAGCUCGCGGUCAUGAGUCAGAUAAUUCUUCUCAUGCACCUUAAGUUGUCUAGAAGCAUAGGCUAUAACCUUACCUCGCUGCAUUAACACACAGCCUAGGCCGACUUUGGAUGCAUCAUAAUAUAUAACAUAACCAUCUGAACCCUCUGGUAGAGUCAAAACAGGAGUUGUAUUCAACCUGGUUUUCAGUUCUGCGAAGGUUUUCUCACAAUCAUCUGACCACUGAAACUUGACCAUCUUCUUAGUCAACCUAGUCAAUGGUGAGGCUAUGGAUGAAAAUCCUUCCACGAACCUUCUGUAGUAACCCGCUAGACCUAAGAAACUUCUGAUAUCUAUAGGAGAGGUAGGUCUAGGUCAUUGUUUCACUGCUUUUAUUUUCUGGGAAUCCCCUCGAAUCCCUUCGCUAGAUACUAUAUGCCCAAGGAAAGAAACUGACUGCAGCCAAAACUCACACUUGCUAAACUUAGCAAAUAACUGGCGAUCUUUGAGAGUUUGCAGAACAACUCUCAAAUGACUCGCAUGUUCCUCCUCAUUCCUAGAGUAAAUGAGGAUAUCAUCAAUAAAGACGAUAACGAACAAGUCCAAGUACUGCUUGAACACUCUGUUCAUCAAGUCCAUAAAAGCUGCAGGAGCAUUGGUUAGUCCAAAUGACAUUACUACAAAUUUCAUAAUGACCAUACCGAGUUUCUGAAAGGCCGUUUUUUAGAAUGUCACUAUCUCUGACUUUUGAGUUUGAUGAUAACCCGAUCUGAGGUCUAUCUUUUGAGAAAUGACUAGCACCCUGAAUUGGUCAAACAAGUCAUCAAUCCUGGGUAUGAGAUACUUAUUCUUGAUUGUGACCUUGUUCAACUGCCUAUAUUCAAUGCACAUUCUGAGAGAACCAUCUUUCUUCUUCACGAACUCUUUCGGUGUACCCCAUGACGAAAUACUAGGUCUGAUGAAACCCUUAUCUAGAAGGUCUUUCAACUUCUCUUUCAAUUUCUUAAGCUCAGCUGGAGCCAUUCUGUAAGGAGGAAUAGAAAUAGCUUGGGUAUCUGCAAGGAGAUCAAUUCUAAAGUCAAUUUCCCUAUCAGGAGGAAUUCUGGGAAGAUCUUCUAGAAACACUUCUGGAAACUCAUUAACCACAGGAACUGACUCAAGAGUUGGGGUUUUGGAGUUUGAAUCCCUAACCCGAACUAGAUGAUAAAGAUAACCCUUAGAGAUCAUCUUUCUGGCCUUAAGGUAAGAAAUGAAUCGACCCAUAGACGCUAAGCUACUACCCUUCCAUUCUAAGAUUGGUUCGUCUGGAAACUGAAAAAGAACAAUCCUAGUUCUACAAUCGACUGAGGCAUAACAAGAAUGUAACCAAUCUAUGCUAGAAUGACAUUGAAGUCUACCAUUUCUAACUCUACAAGAUCUGUUGAGGUGACUUUCUGAGAGACUGUGACGGGGCAAUUGUUGUGUACCCAUUUAGCUAUAACCGGAUCACCGACUGGAAUAGAGACUGAGAAGGGUUCUGAGAGAGUUUCUAGACUAACAUCAAACUUAACUAGCUAUAUAAGGAGUUACAAAGGAAGAGUAGCCCCUGGAUCUAACAAACCAUAAACAUCGAGAUCAAAGACUCGUAACGUACCAGUGACUACAUCAGGAGAAUCUUCCUGAUCCUGGUGAGCCUAGAGAGCAUAGAGUCUGCUCUGGCGCUGUCUGUCACCUGUACUAGAUGAGUUACCCUGCUGAGUUGGGCGACUUGCUAGUGCUUCUGAAGUUGUAGAUUGGGCUCGAUUAGCAUUGCCUUCUUGACCCUGUUUAGAAGGACAAUCCCUCAACUUGUGACCAGACUGACGACACCCAAAUCAUCAUUCCUUUCCUUCAAGGCACUCGGCCGGAUGGUUCUUACCACACUUAGGGAAAGUUGGGUAGGUUUUGGUUCCUGAAACACUUCCCUGAGACUUAGAACUUAAUGCCCUACUUUUUUGAUCUUGUCUGAACUUGGAGGAUGGAACACUAGCUGAUGAAGGUGCUAGAGCUGAAAAGUUCUGCUGACCCUGCGAGCGAUUUCCACCAUAUGAUUUCUGUUGAGAAUACUCACAGUUUCCAGUCCUUGCCUUCUUGUUCUCCUUAGCCUGUUUCUUAAGCUUAUCACCCUCAACCUGUUGAGCAUGAGUCAUGAGCCUAGAAAUGCUCAUAUUUUCCAGCAACAUAGCAUUUCUACACUUUGUCUUCACCAAGUCUGACACUCUAUAUGAGAACUUAUUCAUCUGAGCCCUGGAAUCAGCAACCAUGUGAGGAACAUACUUGGAAAGUUGGGUAAAAUUGAGCCCGUACUCUUGGACUGUUAUGCUACCUUGUCUCAAGUUCAUAAAUUCCUGAGCUUUUGCAUCCGUUAGCUCUCUUGGGAAAACCUGUCCAGAAAGGUCUCACUAAAGCAAUCCCAAGUGAUAGGAGUUGCAUAUGUACCCCUGUUCUCUUUCCACUAAGUAUACCAGAUAUGGGCCACAUCCUUAAGUUGGUAAGAUGCUAACUCAACCCGAUCAUUCCCAGUUACUUGCAUCACAUCAAAAAUCUUCUUGACCUCAUCAAUGAAGUUUUGGGGAUCCUCACCAAUCUGCGAUCCUAAGAACUCUAGCGGAUUCAUCCUAGCCAAAUCUCGCACUCUAGCUGCAGCUGACCCAACAUUUGCAUCUGCCAAAACUGGAACCCACUAAUUGUUCUGGUUGGCAAGGCUCUAAGACAACAUCUGAAUGGCGUUCCGGAACUCUGUAUUCAAAACUUCUUGAUCUGGGACUGGAGGAGCUGCGUUUGCGUUCCUGGCAUUCGCAUUCCUGGCAUUAGCUUUAUGAGGAGGCAUGAUUUGAAACGUAAAACGUUGAGUUAGAACAAAAUUAGAUCAUAUCUUACGCACGAUAAGAGUAACAAGAAAAUGAUGAUUUUUUCCUAAAAACACUCGAUAGCGUCCCUCUCAUUAGAUGUGGUGCGCACUACACACCCAUGAAAAAGACUCUACCUAGUGCGGCUUUUAAGACAUCCUUAGACACUUAAACCUGGCUCUGAUACCAAGUUAGUUUGUCACACCCCGAGCUACCCUGAGACGCGGACACGGGACCUAGGAGCAAAAGUGACACCAAGCAAACCCUGUUCGCAUAGUUAUGAGCAUACUAAAGAUAAACUGAGAAAGAAAACUGAUGCAGAAGCUAAUCAUAAAUAAAUCUAAAAUGAUGGGGAAUACCCAUAUACCAAAACUGAAUAUCAAAUUUGAGAGUUUAACACAAAAGAAAAAUCAAAUUCAAAUACUAAGCUGAAUCUAACUAUGUCUGAAAAUAGCCUCUAAUGGACUAGAAGUGCUGAGACAUGCCCCAACUAAGUCUAGCAAAACUAAAACUAAAACAAUGAAAUCUGAAAGAUAACAUGACUAUUGUCCUCGAAGAAUGAGGACUCACCACUGAUGCUGCUGAACUGGAGAUCGGGAAUCGAUCUAAGCAUGAUCUGGAUGCUGAGAAACUGAACCUACAUCACAAGAAGAUGUAGCACAGAGUAUGCGUCAGUACUUGAAAGGUAUUGAGCAUGCAUGAUAGAGUAAAGCUGAAAUAAACAUAUAAUUGAACAAGCAAUGAAGCAAGAGUAUAAUCUGAACAUGCUAUAGAUGUUGAAUACUGAGAUAACAAAAUGCAAUGACCAAACUUAGACAUGCUGAUGUUGAAUACUGAUUAUACUGAAAUGUGGUUAGUGCAUUGGAGUCUGACUGAAUUGUGAGAGCUACUAAUAACCGAUAAUAAAACCACAUGACCUAAAUGUCGAGUCCGAUGUAUACGCCCCAUCGAGAGGACUCAAUACACCCGGCCAAAGGUGUAGAGGCAUGCUGGCAUGAUCACUAAAAUGAUCCCCACAGAGGGGACUUACUGUUGACACCCAAUUUUGAUCUAACAUUUUCAAAAUUCGUAACUUUUAAGUUUUAUUUAUUUAAUUGUUCAAAAUACAUUUUUUAUAAUUUUAAAUAAGUUUAUCGAUAGCUAUCUUUAUUUGUCAAAAUUUAGGAUUUUUAUCAGUUAAUUUUAAUUACAUUAUUUUUUGUCACAGUCGGUUGAAUACGCUCAAAUAUUUGUUCAUUUUGAUUAAAUCGUUAUAUCUGUUAAGUUGCACAUUUUACAUGUCAUUAGUUACGUUCAUUACUUUUUUUUAAUAUUCAUUUUUAUUCGUUACAUUUGCUAAUAUUAAUUUUGAUAUUUUUCUACAGUCUAGAAAUUCAUUCAAAUAUAAAUAAGAUUUCAUUCAGCCCAUGGUUUUAAGAUAAUAGUAUCGUACUAUUGGUAGUUUUCGAUUUUCUAUAUAAACAAUAGCUUAUUCAUUAAGUCAAGGGGGUGGAUAAUAUUUUAGAAUAAGUGGUGAAUAAUUCCAAAAUGAGUGAAACCCUAAGAGAUUUUUCUAUCAUCUUCUCAAAGCUGCUGCCACCCUCCUUCCUUAUCACUACCCAAACUCCAUUUACGGCCAGCUUCAACCAGCAAAAAAAAAACCCAUCCCUUUUCCGAUAUACAAAGCACUGGAGCAGUAAACUUCAACAACCAGUGAACCUACUCUACCAAACCAUCCAAACACUGCCUCUGCUCCCUUUUUCCGGCGAAAACCCAAACAACACAAAUACAAAAUCCCUCCCUGGUUCUGUUCGUUUCUUCCUCAACAGCUCCAGCGAGGAGCUUUUAACUUCGAUGAACUAGAGCGAAAGCAAUUAAUGGUGAGCUCGGAGUUCGAAGCUCGAAGAUAGAGAAACAAAAACCCUAUUCAUUUCCCUCUUUUUUCGGUGAGACUCAGACUAACCAGGGAACUACCAAGCAACUCUUCUCGCUGUCAUCUCUCUCGUAAGAAACAAACCCUAAACCCUCUUCGUUUUUCACUUUUUCCAGUGAAAAGUCAUCGGAAACGACCCCUAAAGCCAACCUAAAUGACUCCAUUUUUCUAUUAAUUAUUUCUCCGACUAGAACCAACCAACAAUAGUAAGCAAAUCCCACCAGAGUUUAACCCACAUUACGAGACCCCGACUUGAAUCAGUGAGAAUCGCCCCCUUUCCCCUUUCCCAUUUUUUGGUUUUUGAUUUUUUCUUUCAAGUUUCCAGCGAAGAGCUCAGAGCUCCGAGCUCUAGAACACCUCCAUCGAUGCUACCAGCGAGAAACCACCCAAGUUUCAACUCCAGCACAACUGGAAAUUCCAAUCACCAACAACUCCAGAUCUACCGGAAAAUGUUCUCAUCAAGUGACAAUUCAUUUUUUUUUACAUUACAUAUGUGCAUAUAUAAUUUUACUCGUUUGGUUGAGUUUCUGUUGCUACUCUAUUUUUGUCUGUAUUUAUUUUAUCAUUUCCUUAUUUUGCUUUUUGAUUAUUUUUGUUAGUGUCUAGUGGUGUGCUAGUGUUCAUUUCGUUCCCUUGUUGUUGACUUAUUUAUUUUUCAUGUUGUUGCUUUUGAUGCAUAAUUUUUUAUUCUUUCGGAUAUUUGUUAUAUUUUGGUGACAACAACUCAAUUGCUCUUAUUUUAAUUUUCUGUUAUUUGGGUAAUAGUCCAUGUGAAUUUAUUUUAUUUUAUUGAUUUACUUUACUUUACUGACUAUUUAAACUUUACUAUAGUACUACUACAUUUUCAUUUAUUGUUAAUUGUUGUUGCUCAUUAAUUAAUUCAAGAAUUGCUUUUAUAUAUUGUAGUUAGUUUAUUUGCUUGUUAAAUUAUUUGUUUAUUAUAGUUGUAUAUUGUUUUUAUCUCCUCAAUUUGAAAACAUGAACUCAGUCAGAACCCACAAUUGUGGAUUUCAAAGGAUGCCUAACUCCUUUCCUUCGGAAUAACUUGAACCCCUUACCUAGAAUCUAAAGGUUUCGUAGAUUAUUUAAUUGAUUUUCUAGUUUUUCCUAAAAUUAGGUGGCGACUCUUUUAAAAACUCUUUUUUUCUUGAAAUUCUUUUAAAAUUUAAUUAAUUAAUUAUUUUUUGAGUCACCAUGACGUUGCACCCUCUCAAGGGAUGUGAACAGACUGGGGGCAUAGAGGUUCAAACCAUUAUGAGCUCAUUUUUUCAAAUUGAAGAGACUUUUCUUUUGUGUUAUAUCUUGUAUGUUGUAUAUUUUGUUGAUUAUUUGUAUAUUGUACUUGUGGAUUAUUCAUUAUUUUUUUUAAUUAUAUGUAAACUGUCAUUGCAUUCAUGACAUUUCCCAUUGUAUAUAUAGUAUAUUAGGAACGGUUUCUGCAUAAUUUCAGCCGGACUUUUUAUACUCGACUCUUUUUUGGAAUGAUCGGCAAUUUAUUUGUACGUCAGGCAUCUAAUGGUUGUCGUGAAUUCCAGCCUAAGUUGUCCGCUUGGGUUCCCGGUCUUUUCGAAGCCACUCUUAGUCAACUAGUGUAGAGCGAAACCAAUCCCAAAUUUAGCGCAUUUUGAACUAAGUCGACCCAAUAUCCAAGACGUGUUUGGCCCAUUAGAAGCCCACCUUGUGUCUAUUUGGCCCAUUGGUCAACAAAAGACAAUCAUGUGUAUGUGUUUAAAUUUGAAGGAUGUAUACGUCAGUUGGUAAAACAUUGUCUCUUGGGAUUGACAGUUUAAGAGUUUGUUCGAGUCAAAGAAGAUCAAAUUACUAUUGCAUCUAAAGACGUUGACAUUUAGAGAUGGCAAGAAGUUCAAGAACAAAGGAUUGUACCCAUGUGUGGGAUCGUUUAUUUGUAUCCCUUUUCCCUAGUAUGUAUCCCCAUUCAAUUUAUUUACAAAUCUUGUAUAAAUUUUAAUUUUGGGGGGCCAAUGGAAUGUUUCAAAUGACGUAAUACAUCCUUCAGAUCGGCAAGCCUACCCUUGGCACAAAAGGGUCACAUAUUUGUAUAGGACACGUAAUAAAUAUUUGUAUGUUAUGUGUUAUAAUUGAGUUUGUCUUCAAUCAAAGUAGUGCUUAUGUGUUUACUUAAUUCUUUUUGUGAUAUUUUGCAUUAUUUAUUAUGAACCCGAACUAACAUUUUUACUUUUUGAGUAUUUCUUUUUUUUAAAGAGAAAGGUUGAUUUAUGUCAGAAUUUGGAAGUCAUAGUUCGUUCGAAGUUGCAAGGCACAAGAGGACUCACGAAAUUUGAGUCAUUGUAUUUCACAAGACAUUAAUAUCAAAUCAAAAAGAUAAAUCAGGGGAGUCUUUGACUAUAAGGUCGCACUUAAUUAUUUUUUAUUUUUUUGCAUGCUGGCCUUGCUUUCACACAUUUCUCAUAUUUUUGCAGGAAAACCAUCUUCGACGACAGUCGAGGAUGGCAUAUCGAUGUCUGGUUCUCGGGGAUAAUUAGGAGAAGACACAGUUCUAAGAGACAUUAAAAAAAAAGAAUACAACAGGUGGUUACUAUAAGAAAAUUGAGAGACCACAUUCAACAGACAGUACAAAGAUCGAUAGUUAAGAGGAUACAAUGAAUCACUCCGAUUUUGUCAAAAUUUGAAAUUAUUUUAUGCCAUAUCUGAACGAAGUACGCGAACCUGAUUCUCAUCUCGGUGAGAUACGCAGGCAACCCUUCUUGGGUUCGGUAUCCAUUUUUUCAAAUUUCAAAAAUAAAAAGUUAAAUAGUUGUGCAUAUUUUCAAAGUCAUAUCUUCAUGAACAACGCGAACCUGAUUCUCAUCCCGGUGAGAUACGUAGGCAACCCUUCUCGGGUUCGGUAUUCAUUCUUUCAAAAUUUUGAAGAUAAAAAAAAUAAAAAAUUGUGCAUAUUUUCAAUGACAUAUCUGAACAAACUACGCGAACCUGAUUCUCAUCCUGGUGAGAUACGUAGGCAACCCUUCUUGGGUUCGGUAUUCAUUCUUUCAAAAUUUUGAAAAUAAAGUUUAAAUAAAAAAGAAAAGUUUGUGCAUAUUUUCAUUGACAUAUCUGAACGAACUAUGUGAACCUGAUUCUCAUCUCGGUGAGAUAUGUAGGCAGCCCUUCUUGGGUUCGGUAUCCAUUUUUUCAAAUUUUAAAAGAAAAGUAAAAUAAUUUGUGCAUAUUUUCAAACAUACCUGCAUGAACUACGCACACAUGAUUCUCAUCUCGAUGAGAUACGUAGGCAGCCCUUCUCGGAUUCAAUAUUCUUUCUUUAAAAAAAAUAUUGUGUACAUAUUAUAAGAGUUAUGCCUUCAGCUCAAAUGGGACCAAUGCAGUUAGGAGCAUGUAAAAAUAUGUGAUAUGAUGGAGAGGGCUGACUUUGUGGUAAACUAUAGACUCUUUUGGUACCUCUCAUUUGUACUUUUGUGAUGCUUGAAAUUCUCUUGCGGGCAUUCAAGAUAAGAAUAAAACUAACCUCAUGGUUUCAUGUGCAUUAUGUGGUGAGCUUUUAGAUAAAAAAUCAAUUACAUCGCACUGUUGAUCUAUAACUUGGCUUGAAUGUUUAUUGAGGCGAAAUCCUGAGUUAUGUUUUGUUUUGGAAAGGAUUGUAGGCAUUCUUUGACCCGAUUGUGCCUUUCAAAACCUACCAAAUGACAUUAAUCCCUAGUUUUCCCACUUUGAGCCUAAAACCUUUUCUUUGGAGAACCACAUCUUAGUCAUUACCCUUUGAGUGCUUGUAAUGCACUAUUCCUGUCUUGGCCCAACCUUCUUGAGUGUACCAAGGAUGUGCAAAUUAUAAGAGAAGAUCCAUAUGUGGAGUUGCCUUUCAAGAUAUCAAUUCUCCCAAAGUCAAGGAAAUAAAAAAUGACUUCUAGAGAAAGAGUAAAAAAGAAAGAACGAAAAAAAAGCUCCAACAAAUGAGAAUUCAAAAGAAGUAGAAAAAAUGGGGGACAAUGAAGAGGAUCAGACGCCAAAGGUGUAUCAAUCAUCAAAAGCACAAAUUCAUUGUGACGCUCAAGAAAGAACUAAGUCACUCUUAUCCCAAAUAUAUAUUCUACCUGUCCCUAAGCCUAUAUUAUAAGUCAAUGACAAGCCCUACAUGAUCUUAUUCCAAAUGUUCUCACAUUAGUGGAGAUUUAUAUAAGGGCCAAGCAUAUGGUAUCACAGUUGCAUGGGUUAAACAUUCUUGCGAGUGUGAGUGUACUUUUGAAAAAUGUCCUCAAAUCAAACGCUUCAAAUAUGUGUGAAAUAAGACUUUUCUUUUUGUGAGGGCACUUGAAACAGGGGGAUUGGUAUAAUUCAAAACCUCUGUUUGAAGCAAGAUGAACAAAUCUUUUUAAUCCUUAAGUAUGUUUGAGGUACCACUUGAAGCUGUAGGAAUUACCUUGAAUUCAAUCUUAGUUAGAAAAGAAAAAAAAAAGAAAAAAAAAGAGAGAUUUACAUGUGAUCCUAAUUCUUGGUACCAAUUGUAGUCAAGACUUGACUAUCUCUUCACAUUCUUUAUUUUAUGGAGAGAGAAAAAAGAGGUGAGCAAGCACCCACCCUUUAAUAUUUUUCAAAACAUAUUUCUUUUAAUUCUUUCCUUAAAAAAAAAGAAUUUUCAUUUCCUUUUUGGUUUGUUCACAGUAAAACGUGACAGUAGGCUAGUCAUGUUAUUGUGAGACCCCUAUUUUACUUCAUUGGGUCAUUCGUCCCAAAAUAUGUGACAUGUCUAUUGUCUUUAGACUUUGAAUAUCGCAAGGAAUAUCAUUUUUCGAUUUCAUCAUGUUCAUAUUGUACAUUUUCUACUGAUGAACUUGUCUCAGAUUCUUUGCAGUAUUCAUCAUUUACAGGAUUGGAACUACAUUUGACCUGAUUCCUUGCUCAACAGGAUAUGUAGGCACCACAACGGCUCAGUCAUAUACCCAGUGUGAUUUUCUUUCUCCUUGUGCUAAAAACUAGGACAAAAUUUUUGAGAUCUUAGAUCUGAAAAAUUAACAAUAAAGAUGCUAUCUCCAUCAAGUCAAGAAUGGAGCUCAUUUUGUGAUUUGCCAAGAGUUCUAACUGGGACAUAAUUUUUGAGAAAGACCUCAAAAAUUCCAAUAAGUACUAUCAAAAGUUUGGUACUCAACUUCAAAUGAUCCAACAUUGCUUGAAGUUCAAAGUCAACUUGCAAAUCUCCAGCAUUGUCAUGGCGAGCCAACAGCUCCUCGUACAAAUCCCCAAUAAGACAUGAGUUACAAUAAACACAAAAUGGUCAAGAGUAAAAUGUUGGUUGCUCACAUAUGUCAAAGUGAUCAGGAAUUUUGUACACAUUCUCUUUUAAAGAAUUUUUUCUCAGGUUUCUUGACUAAGUCGCUAGCUAAGGCGACAUUGUGUCUACUAAUUGUUUCUUUUCAAGUACAGGUUUGAGGCGAUGACACUUACAAGACAAUCAUCGAGCCAUCCACCUCGUUACAGUUGGACAAUCAUCGAGUCAUCCACCUCGUUACAAUUGGACUAUCAUCGAGUCAACCACCUCGUUACAGUGGACAAUCAUCGAGCCAUCCACCCCAUUACAGUGGAAAAUCAUUGGGUCAUCCAUCAUUUGCAUUUUUCAAAGUAUUUUUAUUUGCCAAGAGGGCCAUUGCAUUUUCAUUUGCCGAGAAGGCCAUUGCAUUUAAGUCAUAUCUAUUCGGAGGUGAAGGACAUGUUCAAGUCGGAGGAAAGUAUUGAAAGAUAUUUACAUCUAAGUCGCAUCUAUUCGGAGGUGAAGGAUGUUUACUCUAUCUAAUCCAUGAUCAAGUCGGAGAAGACUUGCAUUGAAAGAUAUUUGCAUUUAAGUCACAUCUAUUCGGAGGUGAAGGAUGUACACCCUAUCUAUUCCAUGUUCAAGUCGGAGGAGACAUGCGUUUAAAUAUAUUUGCAUUUAAGUCGCAUCUAUUCAGAGGUGAAGGAUGUGCACAGUCUAGAAAUUCAUUCAAAUGUAAAAUAAGAUUUCAUUCAGCCCAUGGUUUUAAGAUAAUGGUAUCGUACUAUAGGUAGUUUUUGAUUUUCUAUAUAAACAAUAGCUUAUUCAUUAAGUCAAGGGGGUGGAUAAUAUUUUAGAUUCAGUGGUGAAAAAUUCCAAAAUCAGUAAAACCCUAAGAGAUUUUUUUGUCAUCUUCUCAAAGCUACCACCACCCUCCUUCCUCAUCACUACCCAAACUCCAUUUCCAGCCAGCUUCAACCAGCAAAUAAACCCCAUCCCUUUUCCGAUAUACAAAUUAAGCACUAGAGCAGUAAACUUCAACAACCAGUGAACCCACUCCACCAAACCAUCCAAACACUGCCUCUGCUCCCUUUUUCCAGCGAAAACCCAAACAACACAAAUACAAAAUCCCUCCCUAGUUUUGUUCGUUUCUUCUUCAACAGCUCCGGCGAGGGCCUUUUAGCUCUGAUAGAUUGGAGCGAAAGCAAUUAAUGGUGAGCUCGAAGCUCGAGUAACGAAAACCCCAUUCAUUUCCCUUUUUUUCGGGCGAGAAUCUCACCAACCAGAGAACCACCAAGCAGCUCUUCUCGCUGUCAUCUCCCUCGCAAGAAACAAACCCUAAACCCUCUUCGUUUUUCACUUUUUUCGGUGAAAAGUCAUCGGAAACGACCCAUAAACCCACCCUAAACGACUCCAUUUUUUUAUUUAUUAUUUCUCCAACCAGAAUCGACCAACAACAGUAAAAAAAUCCCAUCGGAGUUCAACUCACAUUAUGAGACCCCGACGUGAAUCAGUUAGCAUGGCCCCCUUUCCCCUUUCCCAUUUUUUUGAUUUUUGAUUUGUUUUUGCAGGUUUCCGGCGAAGAGCUCAGAGCUCUAGAACACCUCCAUCACUGCUACCAGUGAGAAACCAGCCAAGUUUCAACUCCAGCACAACUGGAAAUCCAAUCACCAAAAUGACUCCAGAUCUACCGGAAAAUGUUCUCCUCCGGUGACAAUUCAUUUUUUUUUACAUUACAUAUGUGCAUAUAUAUUAUUACUCUUUUGGUUGAGUUUCCAUUGCUAAUCUAUUUUUGUCUAUAUUUAUUUUAUCAUUUCCUUAUUUUGCCUUUUGAUUAUUUUUGUUAGUGUCGAGUGGUGUACUAGUGUUCAUUUCGUUCCCUUGUUGUUGACUUAUUUAUUUUUCAUGUUGAUGCUUUUGAUGCAUAAUUUUUUAUUCUUUCGUAUGAUUGUUACAUUUUGGUGACAACAACUCAAUUGCUCUUAUUUUAAUUUUCUGUUAUUUGGGUAAUAGUCCAUGUGAAUUUAUUUUAUUUUAUUGAUUUACUUUAAUUUACUGACUAUUUAAACUUUACUAUAGUACUAUUACAUUUUCAUUUAUUGUUAAUUGUUGUUGUUCAUUCAUUAAUUCAAGAAUUUCUUUUAUAUAUUAUAGUUAGUUUAUUUUCUUGUUAAAUUAUUUGUUUAUGUGGUUGCUUUAUUUUUCCUUUUAGAUAUUGUUGCUUUGCUUAGGUUGGCUUUUGUGUAGUGAGUGUUUUGUUUCAAUAAUUUGUUUGUCAUGAUUUGCUACUGAUCUAUCUUGACGAUUGUUAAAGUUGCCUUUUAUUUUGGAUCAUUUUGUUUUUUCUUAAUUACUUUGUUCUAAUGGUAUUAAAUAGGUACUAGUCAGAUUGGCCAAUGAGAAAAUCUCUCUGUCGAUUUUGGAGGCUUCUCCAUUAUAAAAGACGAAAAUUUAGUUUAAGUUAAUAUAUUUUGUAUGUUAAAAUUGGCCGAUGUUAAGAUUACCGUCGAUUUCCAAGGCCUCCCAUGUUAAUAAGAUGGAUUUUUAUUUUUAAAUUAUUAAUUGUGUUAUUCAUUUUUAUUCAUAUUUACUUAUUACUAACACUUUUACUAAGUGUCUUUACAGGUACCCGGAGUUACUUUCCCAUUGAAGUUGUUCGAAUGGAGUUCGAAUCAUACUCUUUCUUAUUCCUUAGGCCGUUUAUUAUAUUAUUGUUUUAUUUUGUUACUUAUGUAUAUUGCAUAUUUAUUAUAGUUGUAUAUUGUUUAUAUCUCCUCAAUUUGAAAACAUGAACUCAGUCGGAACCCACAAUUAUGGAUUUCAAAGGAUGCCUAACACCUUUCCUUCAGAAUAAGUUGAACCCCUUACCUUGAAUCUAAUGGUUUCGUAGAUUAUUUAAUUGGUUUCCUAGUUUUUCCUAAAAUUAGGUGGCAACUCCUUUAAAAACUCUUUUUUUCUUGAAAUUCUUUUAAAAUUUAAUUAAUUAAUUAUUGUUUGAGUGACGUUGCGCCCUCUCAAGGGAUGUGAACACUUACAAACCACGUGGCUUGUAGUUUUGGGAUUAUAUGGGUGACUGGCCCUAGUCUAACUCGACAUUAUGCUAGUCCCAAUAGAUUAAAUGAUUAACAAAUUAUGACUGAAUUUCUAUAAUAUACCAAAUACCUCAAAACUGACAUGCAAACUGGGAAUGCAUAUUAAUAUACUGAAUAUGACACAUUCAAGAUUGAGGCAAGUAUAUCUGAAAUACUGAAAUAUAUGACCUAGAAUGUGUAAUUCAAGAACUAAAGAAAUACAUAUCUAGGGUUCUGAAAUUCAUGCGAGAAAUGAAGUAAUAACAUGAUAAUCUGAUUUGGAACAUGUAAAUAACUAAUUAAUGAUAAUCUGCUAAAGUUCUAGAAACCCUAGGUUUAGUUGAUAAUAGAGAAUCAAGAAUCUGACUGGAACCUAGGGACGUAAUGGGCGAAAGGAAUCCACUAGUUAAAUCCCACAUACUUGGUGACAAAUUUCAUGGAGAAAUCUUUCGAUUUCGGGGCUGGAACUGAUGGAAUCUUGUUGCGUUCUUGAACGAGGGUUCUUAACCUUUUUCUCCUCUUACGCUCUAAUUUUUCUAAGUUUGAUUAAUGAUUUGACUUAGGUAAGUUCUAGUUAUGUUUCUAGGCUUAAACUGACUAAAACCUCAUAAUUUAUGGUCUAAACGACGUAGUUAGGGGUCAAACGAAUAAGGAAAAGACCAAACGACCCUCGACUUAACUACUGUCGGAGUGACUGACGGACCGUCGAUCGAUUGACGGUCUGUGCUGGUCAUCUGUCGAUCAGUAUUGGAGGCUGAAAUUUGGGGAUUGACCUACGACCCUGGACCACGGACCGUAGUUUGACCUACGGUCCAUAGGUCCUGGCGUGGAUCUAUCCUUAGCCAAAUUUUUGGGCUGAGUUAUGGGGAAGGUUUCUGGUGUGAACCACGGACAACCAGCACGGGCCAUGGGUCACCCUACGAUCCAUGGGUGGCGUUCGUGAGUCGCACCUGCAACUUCUGGAAAACUAUUUUGAGAUCCGUUAUCGGAUACGGGGUGUUACAUUUUUAUUUGGACAUUUUAUAAUUAAUUAGUAGAGAUAGUUAAUUAACUUUAAAACUUAAAUUGAUAUUUUUUUUGAAUUAAAUUUUUUUUCUUUAUAAAAUAGAGUCAAAUUUUAUCAUUUUUCAUAUCAUAUUUAAAUGGUCAGAGAAUUCUUUUCAGUGUUUUUCAUUAAUUUGUAUAGUAUUGAGAGAAUUUUUUUUCUUUCUAAUUUUCUACUCAAAUAAAUUACUUGAAAUUCGCUAAUGAGAAAAAAACUGCAUAUUAGGAAUUUAAUUUAGGCAACAUAUAAAGAGCAUAAUUUAAAUUAGAGUUUUUUAAAAAAAUUUAUAAAUAAAUACCCCUACCCCAACCGAACCUCCAUGCCGCUUCAAUUCUCCAUCAAUAACACCCUCCCUCAUUCUCUGCCCUUCUUUCUUCAAUCGGCCUUUAUCUAAACCCAAAUUCAAUCAGAAAAAAAUGACCCCAAUUUUGAAUUCUUCUCGAAUUAGAGUUCAAAAUUUUGGUAGUUUCUUCAAUGGAGAUUUUAGACCAUGUUUUAUGAAAUUUAUUUUUAUUAUUUGGAUUGAAAGAAAAAUAAAAUUGAUAGUAGAUCGAUAUUGAAUCCAGUGGUAGUGAAGGGAUAAAUUUGGUGAUGGGUUAUAAUUUUCAUGGUGAAUGCUAUGAGUUUUAAUGGUUAAAAUAAAUGGGUUUAGUGGUUUAUGGAGUGGGUGUUGAUAAUGAAGAAGAAGGAAUCAAAUGACAUGGAAUUUUAUUAAUUUUUUUAUAGAUCUGGUCAUUUAUUGUCGUGUAGCUGACAUGAUGAUGGCUUGGAGGCGAGUGUAAAACACCUCCCAUCAUGUCAAUGACUAUAUAGGUUUUAGGCAGUGUUAAGGGUGUGUUUAUUACACUUAAAAAUACUUCAGGGGGUAAUAAGACUCAUAUAUAGUUAAGGUGUAUCGCUGGGAUUUCGCGUAUAGUUGAAGGGGGUACUUGUGCAUUUUUCCUUUUAAAAUAUAAUAUUUUUCCAUUUAAAAUCAACUCCAUAACUACAACUCUUUAUUUUCAUAACUUAUAUUCAUAAUAUUCAUUAAUCUUGUGCCUUUAACUCACACAUUAUCAUCUGAAAUUAAUAUUAUUUUCUACUUCUUUUUACCUUCCAUCCAUUAAAAGAACUAUUCAUAUUUUUUUACCUUCUAUAAAAUCAAUAGUUUCAACCUUUAGGCCAUUAUCAAAUUAUUAUAUGCUUUAUUUUUUAAAAUACUCAAUAUUUGAUGUACUCUUAGGACUUUCUGCAACAAUGGUAUAUUCUUUUUAUAUAAGUUUCUUAGACCUUUGUUUUGCUCUUUAUAUUUUUUAUUCUUUUUUGUUCAUUGUUUGCAUUUUGCAUGUUCAUACUUUGUUGUAUUAUGUGACUUAUUUUGCUUGGUCUUCUUUUUGGAUUUCUUGCAUCUGCGCAAUCUCUUCACUCCCUUCUCUAUUAUUUAAAAAACAAUGUAUCAAUUAGCAUAGAAUACACGUGCAAUCAUCAAAAACAUAAACAAGAUUGUUAAAGUACAAGAUUAAAACUUAAGAUGAACUGUUAUCCCUAGCUCUUGCACUCAAAAAAGAAGAAGUCUCUUACAAAAUAAACCUAGGGUCUUAUAGUGCUUAGGGAACUAAUCCCUUCUCCUAAUUUGAUUUGGAAUCCUCAAAUAUUUGUAAACUCUUCGGGGAAAUUGGGGCAGGGUGUCAUUAACUGGAAGCAGACACUGGGCAGCUGGUGCGGCGCGCUGCCAGUGUGCUAGUGAAGUGCCUCCAUUGUUUUGAAGCUGGGGCGGCGCGCCAAUGCUACCCCAUGGUACAAUUUCUUCAUGCCCUUUUCCCCUUUCUCUCCCCUAAGGUCUUUCCCAACUCCCAUUGUACUCGUACUCCUUUAGGAACCCCUGUAUAUUGCUAAUCAUAUAGGUUAGUGUGCAAUCAUCGCCAUACUCAUUAAAACAUAUCAAUUAACAUCAAGAAUAUCCUUGAAACAUAAGGUACGUGUGGGUAAAUCAUAGUAAUUGGGCAUAUAAAUAUACCCAAGAUCACCACCCUACACGUAAGCCUUUGUUCAUCCUCGAACAAUCUCUAGACUAUCAACUCACCAUUAUACCUAAGGACUUGUCUCUUUAAUUAUGCUUUUGUAGUUCACACUUUCUGCAAUAAAAAAUAUAUUAUUUCAUCAAAUUAGUAUACCAAUUUACACGAUAUAAACUAAAUGAUUGACUCGUCAUCCAUCUUACCAGGCCAACGUAAUAAUGUACAAACACUCCAACAUAAAUACACCCAAGUAUGUGCCAUGAGUGCCCUCACUAUUUUGGCAUAGCCUUUCACUCAUUCAUAAAUCAUGUUCACACAUUUUAAUUUCAAAAAGGCCUAUUUUCAGAAUUUAAGCUCUCGCUCUCACAAAAGAGGUUCUUGCAUAUCACAACAUGCCAUAGGUUUGUCUUUAGUGCACUUUAGCUUUCACGAUGUAUUUAUCACGGGAUCAAGAGGACUUAACUUGGUUGUAAUGUCAUUUUCGAGAUAAGAAGGGUACAUUUAGGAUACAAAUAGUGACUCCUCCUCCUUAAUGCACUUGUUUUAUUAUUCAGAAAUUUUAAUCACUUUUCUCUUCUUUGACUCACACCUCUAAAUCACCCUCUAUUCAUCUUUUAAUCUCUCCCUCUACAAAUUUAAGCACUUGUCCACAAUGUUGCAAUCUUUUUUUUAACAACUCUUUUUUGCCAUAAUAACUGCUAAUGCAAUUUUAUUAUGGGCUCUUUUCACCUCAUUCCUUAUAAUCACCACAUAAGCCAUUCCACCAUUCUUUACUACUUAGUGCAUUAAGGAUCAAUAUUUGGAUCAAACAAUGAAAUGGUAUCAACUAAAAGGGAUUUGGCUCAUCAUGUGGUAAAAAAGGAAUUAUAGGCUCAAAAUCUCAAUGGGGCAUUACUAAGGAUAAUCAUCAUGGAGGCAUAAAGAGAAUUGAAUUGGCUAUGCAAAGAAAUGCCUCAAUCUUAUUUUAUAGUUCAUACAAGUUACUUGUUAAGAACACACAGGAUAAGUUCUAGAUGAAGCUUUAUGCAAGAACAAGGCCAUACUCACCCAACAUGACAUCAUGACAUACACAUAAGGACAUAAACAAAUUAGGAUGCUCAUACCAACCACAUUGAGUGCUUCUAUGACAAUUAAGCCCAAUUUAUAACUUUGGAGUUAAACCAAAGAACCUAUGUGUCUCGCAAGGUUAAUUGUUUCAGUAUAUUGCAUGUUCAAGUGUAAACUACCCAUGACAUCUAGCUAACUUAUAUGCAAGGCUUUAAGGCACCAAAGGUUCGGCUUCACAAUCCACCAACCAAUGACUAAUUUUCCUUUAAGAGUGUCUUCAUCCAUCCAUCCAUGCAUCAUCAGAAACAGUCACUUCUAAGAUGACUCUAAGACUCAACUAUCAAUCUGAGUAAACAAAACAAAGAAAAAAAAAUCCUAUUCGGUUCAAUGGGACUAUCCUCAGGAAAAGAACCAAAAACAAAAGCCGAGUAACCCAACUAAAAACUCAAAAGACUAGAUAAAGCAAUAAAAUAUACACAAGGAAGUCCAUCUCCCACCCCACACUUAAAUAAUGCACUCUCUCCGACACAACAAAUAAAACAUGUGUAUAGAGUGAAAGAAAACUCCAUUUAGCCCUCUAUGCCUUACAAUCUUAAUCAGCAUUAACCAUAUUUUUGGCCUCAUACACGCGAUUAAGGUCAUACCAACAUCACUAACACAAGUAUAAUCAUUAUCAUUAUCAUAGUCCUCAGUCUUAUCCUCUUCAUCUACAUCUUUUGCAUCUUCUGUGGCAUUAUCAUCAUCAACCGACUAUUGAAAUGACGACCCUAUGAGACACAUAUACAUGGCACUAUCUGUCAAAGUGUAGCGUUCAAACCAAUGUGGUCAUUUCCUCCUCAGUGGCCAAAUGACCACCAAUCCACAAUUGCAGUUCAGCCAUACCAAACAUGUUCCCCAUCCAACUAUCAUCCCGACGAUCAGCAGUCAAUAAAAUUGGCACGUGGGAUGUAUUUUGUGCCUUAUUUUUUGUGACAUCCACCAAGUGAGAAAAGCGGGGAGGGAAAAUAUCAUACACUUCUUCCUCAUCCCCCAAAUGAACAUAGAAACCAGGUUAACAAACUAUCAUAACAAAAAUGCCACCUUUUAUUGUUACGAAACUUUAACAUAUUUUGUCGAAGAAUCGAGCCAACAUUAAUUUGUUGCCCUUUCAUUAGGUAGUAAAAUAACACUACUUUAUCCCUUUUAACCUCUGAAGUGUGUUGACAUGGUAACAAAGUCCUACAAAUAAUUCUAGGUCACACAUGCCACCUCUUGAUAUAAUGUGUGUAGUGUAAAGUGGCAUGCCUACUCGUAUCUUUAGUACCUUCCCACCUUUCCAUUGAAUUCACACCACAAAGAGUGUGAUGUAUAUCCCGAUAUGGAGGUUUAUCCUUUAUCUAUUGAUAUUCAUUGUGAUCACACUUAGGAGCCCCCAAGAUAUCAUUCAACGACCGAACAAUAAACUAAAUUAGCCGACCUCUAAUGUUAUUCUCAUUCCUAAAUAAGUUAUUCAUGUUCUAAUUCACAUAGAAUUCACACACAAGACUUAAAUUACACUCACAUUGGUGAAGGAAAAUGUAUUGAAUGCCCAAUGUAUACACCACCACAUGAAUUUAGAGAAACUCCACUUGCAACCGCCCUUCAUUAACGUGUGCAUCAACCAUAUUUGAUGGAGUCAAUUCAGGAAUUUCCCACACGGAGCCCACAAUUCCCGUUUGACUCUAAAAAUUGGUCCGUCUCUAUUUUGGGUGAUUUUGGUGUCUUAAAUUGUAUUGUUAUUGUGAUUAUAUUUUUGAUAGUAUGGCAGCUCUCAGAGGUUGUUCUGAAGGAUAAAUCUCUGGCCUUGUCAUUUGGAGAGUGCACGAUCAUCCUACAAGUAGGGCACGACUUCCUUUCUAAUUAGACUGAGCAUGAAUUUGUAAAUUCAUGAUGAUGAGUGUAAAUUGGGGGUGGGUACCUAUUUAUUUCUUCUUUUCUUCUUGGAAACCAGGAUCUAGAGUUUAUUAAUACUAUUUUGAGGGUAGUACCAUGUUGGUGGAGGGUUGUAUGUGUGUUGUAGUAUGCUAUGUGAUUUACUUGUUUGAUUACUUGUUUUUGGAGCAUGUUUUGGCCGUAGUCUAGGAUAGACUAGUGUUCCCCUACACCCAUGCACCUUGUGACUACGGUAUGUCUCCGAUGUCAUUUUUGAUGGACUAGAACCUUUUAUACUGGAAUAGCAGACUUGGGUCUGAUAGUAUGAGCCUUAGCUUGGGCAUUUGAGCUACUUGUUAGCAUUUUUGUAUGCUCUCCCUAUUUUUGUGCCUCCAAUGUAUUACCAAAGAGUUUGUGCUUUAUCAGGAUUGGAGUGCUUCUGUCUUGGAGCCUUUUCUAAUAUCGUGGGGAGUGGACGUCGAUCAACAGUGGCUUGGAGCAUACUUGAGAUACUCUUCAUAGUCGAUAUUCCCCUAGACACUCUUGCUAACUAGCUGACUGACGCCCUUGGGAGCAGGCUGGGCGGCCUAGAUAUUUGUGAUCCUCUAUGGAGUUGACAUAACCCUGAGGUACUCUUGCUAGUUGGGAGGUUGAUGCCCCUAGACUUGAUUGUAGGGUUGGGUGGCCUGGGUUGAUAGUCACUCUUCCUAGCUGGGCUGGAAAUUGUUUGGUUGAGUUGAUUGUUACUCUUGCUAGUUGGGCUCGGUGUUGAUUGUUACUGAAUUUGGAUCUGGAUUACUCUUCUUUCUUGUAGACUUAGUUAUUUUGUGUACUUAUCGGCCUUAUGGGGGUCCUUUCAGGUUUUAUUUAAACAUGUGCAGGAGUGUACCUUCUAGGGUUAUGGGGUCCAGUUACGUUUAUUUUAGAUGUACUUAGAUUUACUUUUGGUAUGCUCGUGUGCCUUCUUUUCAUAUCCUCUUGGUCUCUGUUUGUGUCUAGAUUCUAUAUUUUCUUAUUGUCUUUACCUUUCUUUCUCGACCUUAUUUUGGUGCUUAUGCUAUAUUCUCAUGAUACAGGUCUUAGUACCAGCUACUAGCGAUGAUAAUUCGUGCCAUCUUUAGCAACUUGGGGAUAUUGGAGACGAGGGUGAGCACUUGACGUCCUGAAUCAUCUUGUCUCAUUCUGUACAUAUGUUAGCUUAUCUUUAUCCUUUGAGACGGACUAUUGUGGUCCACUUUUGGAACUUGUACUUUUUUUAGACAGCUCUGUAUUUAUGACUUCCAAGUUCUAGGAAGGUAUCUAUCCUGUAUAGUUUUGGGUUUGCUUUCCAUUUGUACCUUUUCUUAUUAUUAAUAUUAUUUUUUGUUUAGUUCUAUCGUUGUACUCACUACUUUUGUUUCUGCGUAUGGCUCGACUUACCUACUGGUGGAAUUAAGUAGGUUUCAUCAUGGCAUGGGGAUUCAGGUUGUGAUAAGUUAGUAUCAAAGCCUCAGGUUCACUAGUCUCACUUGUACAGAGCUUAUACCUAGUAGAGUCCUACAGAUUAGUGUAAUAACGUACAUGUUUUAUGUUUAGGAGACUGAACGGUGUCUUUAGAAAUUUUUCUCUUUUGUAUCGCUUCCGUGCACCUUGUGUGUUAUUGGUUUUUUGAAAUCUCACUUGUUUCACUCUUUUCACAGAUGGCUCAUACUCGCCGUGAGGUGGAUCGGGGUAUGGGUCGACCUCUUUUUCCAGAUAGUGGUACAGCACCACCCUAGUUAGAGAGCAGGGUGUGGAGAAACUAGCAGAUUCUUCAUCAGCCCAUGUUCCAGAGUAGUUGGUGGGGCCGGGACUAGCUCAGCCACCACCCAGACCAGUUAUGUCUCCCGAGCUCCAGACAGCUAUUACUCAGCUUUUGAGAGUUCUUGGGGGUAUACAGUAGGCCCUAGCACCGCAACAGGUCAGCAGGAUCAACCUGCAGCAGAGGCACAUGUGGCCCAAGUACCACCUAGGGGUGCCCAUCCAAUGAUUGUAGCAUGAGCUAUACCGCUAGAGAAGUAGAAGAUGCUCGGAGUGUUCUUAAGGCUUUCACCUAUCAGGUUUUCUGGGGUUGUGGGUGAGGAUGCGCACGAGUUUCUAACUACUUUUCGUGAGCGGCUACAUACCUUGGGUCUCGUGGAGUCAAGAGGAGCCGACAUCACUACGUAUCAACUUGAUACGCCAGCCAAACAGUGGUAGCGUACAUUUAUUGAGACUAGGAUAGCUGGGUUUCCUUCGCUCACUGGGACCAAGUCUUAUGAGGUCUUUUUGGCUAGGUUCAUUCCUCGUAGCGUCAGAAAUCACCUUAGGGAUCAUUUCUCUAGGAUGGAGCGUGGUUAUAUAUAGUUUCUAAGAAAUAGGUGAGAUUUCAUGAUCUCUCUUAUCAUGCCACCAUGAUUCUACCUACUGAGAAGGAGAGGGUUCGAUGUUUUAUUUAUUGUUUAAGACUGUAGUUCUGGAUUAAGCCUUAGUUUGUGGUCUAAGUGGGUUGCUCGUUUCUCGAUGUUGUUGAUCAUGCCCGUACUAUUGAGCAGCUCCAUCGUGAGACCUAAGAGGUAAACAUAAAGAGAGCUAGAUAUGAGGGUCGCAAUAGUGGAUCCCAUUCCAGGCCCAGAGAUUCACAUGAUAGUUCCAACAACGGUUUCAGUAGGGUCAACCUAGUCGCUUGUUUAGGCCUCAUCGCAGAGUUCAGAUGGUGGUAUAUCUGGAGUGAGGUUUGCUCUAGCUAGAGUCAUAGGUCCUAGACUAGUACUAUAAGUCGUAGCGUCUAUUCUUCUGGUAGCAUAUCAUCUUUAGGUUGUUUUGAUUGUUGUGAGUUAGGUCACUAGGCUAGAGAUUGCCCUUUGUGUAGACGGAUCACUCCAGUUACAUAGCCAACUCUACCAGCUCCACUAGCAGAAUCUUCGACUAGGGGUCGAUGUCAGGGUCAGGACAGUCACGGUGUAUAAUAGGGUGUAUAGGGAGGUCCCCAGGAAGGAAAGUCAGGUGGUAAGACUAAUGAGUAGGGCAAAAGCGAACAGGGCCAUUUCUAUGCAGCUCCAACAAGGGUGGAGGCCGAGGCGUUGGAUGGUGUGAUCACUAGUACAAUUCUAUUAUGCCAUUAGCCCACAUCAGUUUGUUUGACCCUUCUUCUACAUAUUCCUACGUGUCUUUGCAUUAUGCUUCUCGUAUGGGUAUGAGUUUUGAGCCUAUGUCAGCGUCAUUCUUUGUGUAGACCCCAUGAGUGUGUCUUUAGUAGAGGUGCAGGUGUUUCGAUAUCUUUUAGUUACUAUCAAGGGGGGUGACACCCGGGCUGACCUUAUAUUGUUAGAUAUGCUUUAUUUUGAUGUGAUUUUAGAUUAUUUCUCUAAGAUUGUUAGCCUAGCCAUGCCUAGUGUUCCUGCAGUGGUUCGGCAGGGGUCUAUUAGUAGCACACCGGUUGGUAAUACCUCUUUUGUGCAGGCUAGUGGCUAGUAGGUGGUUGUCUUAUUUAGUCUAUGUGUGUGAUGUAAGUAGGGAGGUCCCUUCAGUUGAGGGCAUUCUAGUCCUCUAUAAUUUUAUAGAUGUGUUUUAGCUAACCUACCUGACCUACCCCAAAGCAUGAUAUGAACUUUCUUAUCGAGCUUGAGACGGGUAAUCGGCCUAUUUCAAUUCUUCCAUAUUAGAUGGCUCCUACAGAACUCAAGGAGCUAAGUGUUCAGCUUCAGGACCUUUAUGUAAGGGGUUCAUCAAGCCUAGAGUCUCGCCCUUGUAGUGUUCUGAUUUUGUUUGUGAAGAAGAAAAACAAUAAGAUGCGCAUGUAUAUUGAUUAUAAGUAGUUGAACAAAGUGACAGUAAAGAGUUGUUACCCCAUGACUAGGAUUGAUGAUUUAUUUGACCAGCUUCAGGGUGCCACAGUUCUUUCGAAGACUAAUUUGAGGUCUAGUUACCAUCAGUUGAGAUUAGGGCAGUGGACAUCCUUAAGACCGCAUUUAGGACUUGAUAUUGCCACUAUGAGUUCCUAGUGGUGUCUUUUGGAUUGACUAACACACCUGCCACCUGCAUGGACUUGAUGGCGCGAGUGUUCAGGUCAUAUCUUGAGUUGUUCAUCAUUAUGUCAGAUGGUAUUCUAGUAUACUCACGGAGCAGGAGUGAUCAUAAGCAGCAUUUGAGGAUUGUGCUCCAGACUUUGAGAGAUCAACGACUUUAUGCCAAGUUCUCAAAGUGUAAGUUUUGGAUCGAGUUUGUAGCAUUCUUGGGGCACAUGGUGUCCAAGGAUACCAUUAUGGUAGAUCCGGUGAAGAUUGAGGCUAUCCGAGGCCCACUUCAGUGAUAAAGGUUCGAAGCUUCGUCACUUUAGUAGGCUACUACAGGUGGUUUGUGGUGGGCUUUUCCACUAUUUCAACACCUUUGACCAAGUUGACCCAUCUUGAUGUUCCUUUUGAGUUGUUUGAGGAGUGUGAUUUGAGCUUUGGGAAGCUCAAGGAGUUGCUGACUACUGCUCUUGUAUUGACUCUUCUAAUUGAAGGAGAGGGCUUCAUGGUCUAUUGCAACAUAUCCAGUGUUUGUUUAGGUUGUUAUUGAUGCAGCGGGGCUGGGCUAUUUCUGUUGCAUCAAGGCAUCUUAGGCUACAUGAGUGCAAAUACCCUACUCUUGACUUGGAGUUGGCGGUGGUAGUUUUUGUGCUUAUGAUCUAGAGGCACUAUAUGUAUGGAGUUCGUUGUGAGAUCUACACUGAUCAUAAGAGUCUUUAGUACAUCAUGAGCUAGAGGGAUGUUAAUUCAAGGCAACGUCGUUGUAUUGAGCUUCUUAAGGACUAUGAUCUCACUAUUCUCUACCAUAUGCGAUAGGCGAAUAUGGUGGCAGAUGUCUUGUGUCACUCCCCGAAGCUACCCCAAAGACGCAGACACGGGACCUAGGAUCACUAGUGACCCCAAACUAACCCUGAUGGCCUAUCAUAAGCAUACUAAAUAAACUGAAGUAAGGUAACACUGUGCGGAAGCUAACUCAUCAUGUAAAUUGAAAUGAUGGGGAAUACCCAUAAAGUAUCGGAGUAUAUGAAAAUUGAGAGUUUAACAAUAACUGAAAGGUCAAACUCAAAUGCUAAAGCUGAAUCUAACUAUGUCUAAAAAUAACCUCUAACUGACUAAAAGUGUUGGGACAUGCCCCAACUAAAUCUAGCAAAAACUGAAACUAAGACUAAAAUAGCAAAGAAAAAUGUCUUCCUCAGAGAAUGAGGACUCACCACUGAUGUUGCUAAGCUGAAGAUCAAGAACUGAUCUUUUCAUGAUCUAGAAGCUGAGAACCUGAACCUACAUCCCGAGAAGAUGUAGCGCAGAGUAUGCAUUAGUACUUGGAAGGUAAUGAGCAUUCAGGAUAGAAUAAAGCUGAACAAUAAACAUAGCUGAACCAAAGCAUAUAUCUGAGCAAUGAUAAGAGAUAAGCAUGAUAAUACAUUGAGAAUACUAAACAUGAACUAACUGAAUGCAAUGACCAAGUUUAUAAUAUGCUGAGGCUGAAAUCUGACCGUAAAUGAUAACAUGGUCAAUGCAAUAAAAACUAAUUGUGGGAGCUACUAAUAACCAACAUAAAACCACAUGAGCUAAAUGUGGAGUCCGAUGUAUACGCCCCAUCAAGAGGACCCAAUAUACCCUGCCAGAGGUAUAGAGGCAUGAUUGGCAUGAUCACUAAAAUGUAAUGCCCACACAGAGGACUUAUAAACCUAUGGGGGCACGUAGUUCUGGGACUAUUCAGGAUGCUAAACCCUAGUCCACUCGGUAUUAAGCUACUCCCAAUUAGAAUGUAUAUAAGCAAUUUUAUGACUGAAAUGUGAAGUACUGGAUAGCUCAAUUACUAAGAUGAAAACUCUGAGAAUACAACAAUUAUGACUGAUAAUAUGACAUUUGUAAACUGCAGCAUGUAUAUAUGUAAUAACUGACCUAGCAUGUGUAAUUCAUGAACUAAAAGAAUAGAUGGCUAGGGUUCUUAAUUUCAUAAAAGAAACUAAGAAACAACAUGAUAAUCUAAUUUGCAUCAUUCUAACAGCUAAAACCCAACAAUCUCUAACAUUCAAGAAACCUUAGGUCUAGAUAAUAUUAGGGGAAUCAAGAUUCUAACUGAAUUCUAGGGACCUAAUGGUGAAAGGAACCCACUAGUAAAAUCCCACGUACCUGGCGACAAAUUUCAUGGAGAAAUCUUUCAAUUUCGGGACUGGAACUAGAGGAAACCUUGUUGCGUUCUUGGAGAGGGUUGGUCGACUCUUUCUCCUUCUUUUCGCUCUAGUUUGAUGAAUUUUUGGUGAAAAAUUGAUUAGGUUAGGUUCUAAUUUGUUUACUAGGCUAAAAUUGACCAAAAUAAUGUAGUUUAGGGGUUAAAUGAUGUAGUUUAAGGGUCCAACGCAUGAGGAAAAGACCAAACAACCCCUGACUUAAAAUCUAUUGAAGCCACCAACGGGACUGAUCGAUGGUCCAUGGACUGACCUACGGCUCGUCCUGUCAGUCUGUCGAUCGACUUCAGAGGAUGGGUUCUAGGGGAUCCUGAGGGUCUCGACCUACAGACGGUUCGACGGUCUGUUAACUGAUCCACGAUCCGUCCUGUCAGUCUGUCAAUUAACUUCAAAGACCAGUUUCUGAGAGGUCCUGAGGGUCUCGACCUAUGGACUGAUCGACGGUCCGUGGACUGAUCCACGAUCUGUCCUGUCAGUUGUUGAUCGACUUAAGAGACCAAGUUCUAGGGCCUCUAUCCACGGACCUGGACCACGGUCCGUGGGUCCGACUGUGGGUCAUGCUUUGGAAUAGUUUAUGUCUAAGUUUCUAUAGAGGGUUGCAGGUGGCCAUCCACGGACCACCUGGAUGGGCCAUGGGUGGUUCCUACGGUCCGUGGGUGGUAACCGUGGGUUGCACCUGCAACAUCUGGAAAUCUAUUGGUUCGGUUUGUUUCCGGAUACGGGGUGUUACACCUUGAGUCGAAAGGCAAUGAGUAUGGGUAGUCUAGCCUCUUGUCUACUAUAGAGCAACCUUUAGCUUUAGACAUUUAGAUCUUAGCUAACCAGAUAGUUCGGUUGGAUAUUUCGAUAUCUAGGAGUUUUCUAGCCUAUGUGGGAGUUCAGUCUUCUCUUCUUGAUCAGAUAUGUAGCCGUCAGUUUGAGGAUGAGCCCUUGGUGGCACUUCAAGAUCGAGUGUUAACGAGUGAUACUGUUUAGGUUACCUUAGAUUCAAAUGAGGGUUUGAGGUUUACAGGUUAUAUUUAUGUCUGGUUGCCCUGAGCUGCGAGGAGGUGAAGGCCAAGCAGUUGAAACCUGAUUAACGUUCCAAAGACACUUCAUCCGGUUCUAAGUGUCGACGAUCAUAAAUCAGUAUAAACCCAACUAAAUGAGUUGCAGUCUAUCCCACAAAGAGUAGCUUUCUUUGAAUUCGAAUAUGAAAAUAUGACAGUGACCUUUUGCAGCCGAACAAAUACCACACUUAACAAUUUUAUAAGUCAAAUUCCAAGAUGCCGUGACCAACCCACUUCAACAAUCAACAAGGAACAAUCAAAUAAUGAGAUAACACUUGCGGAAUUGACUAACCAAUUGUCGAAUUUAACUUAAUGGGUGUACAUCAUUACCAACAAUGUUAAUUUGUUGCGGGUAGAAUGGACUAUAAGUAAAGCAAUUUUCUGUCGAACAAUUACCUUAUUUCCGCUGAAUUCUCUCGAACUUCAACACUAUCCAUAAGACGCCCAUCCCACUUUCUCAUCAAAUAUACUCUUUCGAGCUAGAUACAAAGGCUGAAUCUCAAGUUUCACGUUCUCAAGCUGAAACCGUUAUGACCCACUACUAAGGAUGCCAAAUUACUACAUUGGCUCUAUACUUCUCUCUCGAGCAAGCACAAAACUUUGAAGUAUAUUGCACUAAACAUGCAAUAAUGAAGUUAAACCACAGUUAUAAUUUAGACCCACUUCAAAUUAGCACAAAAAUUUGCUAAUUGAUGACACCCAUUUAGUCAAAUGCAACAAUUGGUCACAUUGUCCAAUCCCCAAGGUUAGGGCUUUAGCCAAUCAUAGAAAAAAGAUGAAAUUUAAUACCUUCCACAUUUUCCAUAGAUGGGUAAAUGAAAUUCGAAAGUCAAAAUUUAAUAAUAUCUUCUCUAUUACAAAACCCAAAUGAAAAACCUUGCUAAAAUCACUUGCAAUCAACAAUAGUAAUGUUUUUGCUCUCUAUCUUUUGUUCCUCACAAUUUCUGAGCUUUCUCUCUUUGCAAAAAUCAAUUUAUACAAGUGUGAUGUGUGGCUUUUAGGACCAAUGGGCAAGGAUAGUCGGGCUUCUCCGACUGUUUGGCAACUCGCCGAUCGACUUUCGUCUCGCCUUAAUUCUUCACAUCUACUUAGUCCAACCACCGUAAUUUUAGGCGAGCCAGAUCGGGAUCGCCAUUGCAUUCCACGAUGCGCCUUUUUGCCUUUUAACUCGCCCAUCAGCACUUAUCUAGAUCUCCAUCAGUACUUCUGGUGACGAGGUCAUCCUUCACCAAUGUGAUCGGCGAUACACCGAGUGGAACUACUUCUCGCCGAAGUUACUCCUAAUCCAAUCUCAGAGCUCUGUAAAUUUAGGCGGUAGAGGAGCAACUUGGCGAUUCACCGAGUGAUCUCGGCGACCAUCAGGCUUGUUUUUCCUCUUCUCUUUUUUAGCUUGCGUUGUCCUUGUUGACCAUUUCUGUCCUAGCUUCGUUCCUCAACCCAUAUAUCUAAAAAUCAAGAGUUUUACAUUAGUUAUUAGCAUAAAUUGAGCAUUUGAGGACAUUAAAUCUAUGCAAACAAAGCCCUAAAUGAGUCCGAAUCUCGGACUCAUCAACACCCCCAACUUAAACUUUUGUUUGUCCUCAAGUAAAACUCAAGUACAGCAGUUCAAAAAGGAUGUUUCAAAUAGUGCUACAGAAGACUCAAUCAUGAAUGCACACAACAAGACUCAACUUACUCAUGCAAGGAUCAAUUGUGCACUCAAAGGUUCAAGUUGUGACUCACCAUUACCAAAGAUUCUCAGGUUCACAAUACUUGCUUCAAAUGCAAGUUCAAGCUGAACGAAGGUACUCAAAUUCCCUUGCAUAAAGAAUGAUUCCAUAUUCACACACUAUUAUUCACCAAUUAAAAGCUCUGAAAUCACAUACAACUCUCACACUCACAAAGAUGAACACAUGCAUGACUUCACCCAUAGGUUUGCCCUUUUUUUCCAACCAACAUUCAUUUCAGCUCACUCAAGAUCAAAAAGGUCUUUUCAAGGCUUGUAACAGGGCUGAGUGUAAAUGUAUGGUCAUUUAGGCUCAGUGGCUGCUAUCCUCAUGAAAUGUGGUAUGAACAACACUUUCUUUCCUUUUCUUCAACAUUUUCACUUAUGCUUAAAAUUCACCCCAUUAUUCACUUCUCAUGGAAUACCGGACACCCCAUUUCUUUUGCAACUUUCACAACUUUAUUUCACGACUUUUUUGUUAUGUUUUUUAUUCUUCUUUUCUUUUUCUCUUUUUUUUUUUUAUGGAAGGGUUCCAUCUUUCUCAAAGCAAUGGAUCAAGGGGGACUUCUUUGCACUUCUUUAUUUACCUUCUCUUUUCACCACACCCCCAACUUAGGCUUUUGGCCUAAGUUGUCUAUUCAAACGAACCACACUUCACGAGGAUUAUGGGUGAAUGGAAAGAGAGGGGUUACAAUUUGAUCAAGUUUCUUCCAAGUAAAGGAUAAGGCUCAAAGGGUGUUCAAGCAAAGUUCACACACUCACAAGGUAGGCCACAAAAGAGGUAUACUGUCAAAUUGUUUCACUCUUCAAAAUUGUUGCCUAAGAUCAUUUCAAGAGUUUGCAUCACUUAGUCAACCGGACCAGCGGGGCAAAUUCUAGGUGUCAUCACAUAAGGUUCACGGUAAGCUCAUCACACAAGGCAUUGGCACCAAUAUCAAACAGGACUCCACACUGUCGCUAGUGUGCAAUGUUCAUCACAAGAGACGCAUUCGAUAACCGGCUAGUCACAACGAGAUGCAAAAAGUUCACAUAUCGUCUAUGCAACUUCAUUUGGCCUCAUUGUAGCCGCACAAUCAUUUUUGUUCGAUUAAGAGUACUAUUCAAGUCAUUGAUAUUGAUCAUGACCGAUACUCAAAUUAAUAACUAUUUCGAAUGAGCAAGAGACUCACUAACCAAACACCCCCCCCCCCCAUCAAAAGCAUUCAACAUUGUCCCCAAUGUGAGUAGAGAACAGAUAAUAACAACAAUGGAAAAUAAAGAUAAACUACUGAUAUGUAAACACACAAAGCAAGGUGACAAGGAAUCUUCACUAGGCGCCCAUUUGGCGAAAAAUUGUAACAGUCGCCGAACUACUCGGUGAUUGAUCCAAUGAUCUAGAUAUCGCUGUUAUUUCCCGUAUGCAACACUUUUAGGAAUGGGUGAAAAGGCGGAAUUGAAAGAGCUGUCGAACUGGUCGGCGCUUCGCCUAAUGGACUUGCAGCCUCGCCGAAUAAUCCAUUAGGUCAGGCCAUCAGAGCAGGGGUAAAAGGGCGAAGAAAGUCGGGUCGCCUAAUUACUUUGGCGAGUCGCCGAGUGAUGAAGUUUCCCUGCCUAAUGUUCCAGUAUCUCAACUCCAUUUUCAAAGUCCAGAAGGCAGACUAGGUUGGGCUCACCGAACAGCUUUGGCGAUCCGCCAAUUGAGUCUUCACCUCGCAAAAUUGCUUGCACUUGCAAAAUCAGCGCACAUUAUUUGAAAUACUAACACUUGGGUUGCCUCCCAAGAAGCGCCUUAUUUAACAUCGUGGCACGAUACAGAAAUUCUCUCAAGCAUCUUCCAGAUACACCACUUCCAUCAGAGAAAUUUCUUGGCAUUUGCCAAAAUACAACUUCAAGUGUUGCCCAUUCACUUUGAAUGUAGGUCCCUCUUUACCUUCGACUACAAUGGCACCAUUUGUGAACAUCUGUGUUACUCUGAAUGGACCUGACCAUUUAGAUUUGAAUUUUACCGAAAAGAGCCUGAGUCGAGAAUUAUAUAGUAAAACUCAAUCUCCUACUUUGAACUCCCUCUUAAGGAUUCUAGAAUCAUGCCAUUUCUUUAUCUUUUCCUUGUGAAGAGUUAAACUUUCAUACGCCCUAAACCUGAAUUCGUCCAACUCAUUUAGCUGAUCUACUCUCUCUUUUGAAGUCUUUGUCCAGUCCAGAUUUAGAGCUUUCAAUGCCCAUAAUGCUUUGUGUUUCAAUUCAACCGGUAAAUGGCAAGAUUUUCCGAAGAGUAGCUGAUAUGGAGACAUACCAAUUGGUGUUUUGUAUGCAGUGUGAUACGCCCAUAGAGCAUCAUCAAGAUUUUGAGACCAAUCAGUCCUAUUUGCAUUCACCGUCUUGGCUAGGAUACUCUUGAUCUCCCGAUUCGACAUUUCAACUUGACCACUCGUUUGGGGAUGAUACGGAGUUGCUACUUUGUGUUUAACUCCAUACUUGCUCAAUAUAGAUGCAAAAUACUUGUUGCAAAAAUGGGAUCCCCCAUCACUAAUUAUAGCCCGAGGAGUACCAAAUCUAGCAAAGAUAUAGAGUUUAAGGAAUUGAAUAACACUUUUCCCUUUAUUGCUCGGAAGUGCAACGGCCUCCACCCAUUUAGAAAUAUAAUCUACCGCCACCAAAAUAUACUUAUUACCAAACGAACUUACAAAUAGGCCCAUGAAAUCUAUUCCCCAAACAUCAAAUACCUCAACUUCUAAAAUGGGCGUGAGAGGCAACUCGUGUCUUUUAGAUACUCCACCUUGUUUCUGAAAAUUUAAUGCACUUCUUAACAAACUCAUGAGCAACUUUGUAGAGGGAUGGCCAGUAGUAGCCACUUUAGAGGACUUUAGCAGUUGUACGCAUGCCACCAUGUUGACCCCCAACCGGUGAAGCGUGACAAGCAUGGAGAAUUUCGAUGGCUUCAUAUGGUCUGCACACUCUCUAAAUAAAUAUGGUUCAUUCCAAAAGUACUUCUUAACAUCGAACAAGAACCUCUUUUGUUGGUAGAAGUUCAAUUCUUCCGGCAUUAAUCCACACACUACGUAAUUGGCAAAAUCAGCAUACCAAGGAGGUUGUUUGAGAGUUACCGUGAAUACCUGUUCAUCGGGAAAGGCAUCAUUUAUGUCGAUCUCCAGCUCGUCAUUUUCCUUGGCUUCCAAUCUUGAUAAGUGGUCAGCCACUUGAUUUUCACAACCUCUCCUAUCUUUGACUUCAAAGUCGAAUUCUUGCAAUAGUAGCACACACCUUAUCAAUCUUGGCUUGGCAUCAUUCUUUGCCAUCAGAUAACGCAGUGCAACAUGAUCAGUGUGAACAGCCACUUUAGUGCCUAGCAAAUAUGCCCAGAAUUUCUCAAACAUAUAUACUACCGCAAGUAAUUCUUGUUUUGUAACUGUAUAGUUACAUUGAGCACUGUUUAGAGUUUUGCUUGCGUAGUAAAUGGGGUGAAAUAGUUUGUUGCGUUUUUGCCCCAAUACGACACCUAAUGUCGUGUCGCUUGCAUCACACAUCACUUUGAAGGGUUUUGACCAAUCGAGACUAAUGAUAAUCGGGGUGGAAACCAAUUUUUCUUUCAAGCACUUGAAGGCCACCAUGCAAGCAUCAUCAAAGUGGAAUGUCACCUCCUUCUCCAAGAGUUUGCCAAGAGGAUGUGCAAGUUUUGAGAAGUCUUUGAUGAACCUCCUGUAAAAACCGGCAUGCCCAUAGAAACUACGAAUACCCUUCACCGAAAUUGGUAGUGGUAGCUUGUCAAUCAAUUCAAUCUUCGCUUUAUCAACCUCCAGCCCUUUUGGCGACACUUUGUGACCAACAACUAUACCUUCCCUAACCAUGAAGUGGCAUUUUUUCCAAUUUAGGACCAAAUUUGCCUCCACACAUCUUUGGAGAACUUGUCCCAAGUCUGCCAAGCAUUCUUCAAAGUGUCACCCACAACCAAGAAGUCAUUCAUAAAGACUUCCAUUGAAUCCUCCACCAUAUCAGCAAAAAUAGACAGCAUGCAACGUUGAAAUGUUAUUGGAGCAUUACAUAACCCGAACGACAUCCAUUUGAAGGUAAAAGUUCCAUAUGGACAGGUGAAGGUGGUUUUCUCUUGGUCUUCCGGAGCAAUGGAGAUUUGGUUAUAACCAGAGUAUCCAUCCAAGAAGCAAUACCAACCUCUCUCAGAAAGUCGAUCAGGCAUUUGAUCCAUGAAAGGCGUGGGGAAGUGAUAUUUGUCGGUCCAAGAGUUUAGCUUCCGGUAAUCCAUGCAUACUUGCCAUCCGGUCACUGGUCUCAUAGAUACAAGCUCCCAUUUUUCAUUUUGGACUACUGUGAUGCCCCUUUUUUUCUAUACACAUUGCAUCGGACUUACCCAUUUGCUAUCUGUAAUAUGGUAGAUCACAUAUGCGUCCAACCACUUUAUUAUCUCUUUUUUCACCACCUCUUGCAUCGGUGGAUUCAAUAUCAGCUGAUGUUCAAUACUCGGUUUACAAUUACUAUCAAGCUAAAUUUUGUGACUGCAAAUGCCGGGAGGAAUGCCCGCUAUGUCAGCGAUAAUCCAACCUAUAGCUUUUAUAUGCCUUUUCAACACCUCAAGGAGCAAUUUUACCUUCCAUUCAAGCAAGUCAGCUGCAAUGAUUACCGGUAAGGUGUUAUUUGCCCCCAAAAAAGCAUAUCGGAGAUAGGAGGGAAGUACUUUCAACUCCAAAUUCGGUGGUUCUUCUAUUGAUGGAUUUUCGGGAGGACUUUCUCAAUUUUUUAGAUCAAUGUCCAACUUCAAUGGGAUCUUUGAAUAUUCCCCAUGCCUGAAAGAGCAGCUACUACCUCUUCGUAGCCUUGAAUUUUGAAUUCAUCAUAGCUAGCAAGCACGACCUCAAGUGGUUCACUAAUACACAUCAAAUGGCUCACACUAGCCACCGCCUCAUAAAUAACACCAACAGUAGAAACCACGUGAAUAUCGUUUGGGUGUUUCAUUCACUUACAAACAUUAAAGGUUACUUCAUCCUCAUUCACCCGGAACUUUAGUUCUCCGCUUUCAACGUCCACCAAUGCUCUCCCGGUUUCCAAGAAUGGUCUUCCCAAAAUAAUGGGAAUUUUAGCAUCUAUUUCACAAUCGAGAAUGACAAAAUCAGCCUAGAAAAUGAAUCGCUCAACCUUUACCAAGAUGUCAUAUAGUAUCACCACAGGAUGUGUAAUUGAUCAGUCAUCCAUCAAGAGUCUCAUUGUUGUGGCUUUCGGUUCACCCAACCCAAGUUGUUUAUAGAUUGCAUAUGGCAUUAAGUUGAUGCUUACCCCCAAAACGCAUAGGGCUUUAGAAAAUUGGAGCAUGUCGAUGGUGCAAGGGAUGGUGAAUGCUCCGGGACCUUCUUUAUUUUUUAUCAGCUCCUUAGUCAUAAUUGCACUGCAGCUAUGAUAAAUUUCAAUUGUUUCAAAAUCCAAGCUCCUUUUUUUGUAACUAAUUCAUAAAAUUGGCAUAACCCGGCAUCUCCAACAAUGCUUCGACUAGAGGGAGAUUAAUCGAUAAUGUCUUGAACACCGAUAAAAACUUUUUGAACUUAUCAUCCUCAUUCUUCUUCUUGAGGUGUUGGGGGAAUGGAGGAGAUAUUUUGGGUAAAGGUUGCACAUUCUUUGGGAUUGGAUUGUGUUUCUCCACAUCUUUUUGUGGCCCUUUGGCAAUGCUUUGAUGGAUGGGUAUUUCUUCUUCCUCCAUACCUAUGUCUUCUUUAUUACCCAUCACAUCACCUAUCCCUACCUUUCCACUACGAGUAACCACAGCCAGGCCUCUCAUCAUCUUCCUUUGUCAUUUUUGGUUCCAAUUGUGCUGAAAGUAAACUCAGCUGACCUUCAAGUAGCUUGAUUACAUCUGCGUGAGAGUUCACUUUAUUGUUCAAUGAUGAAAAAUCGUCUUUCAUCCCUUUUAACAAAUCAUAUGAACUUUCAACUUUGUCAACGAUGUGUGACAACAAAUCAUUCACCCGAGGACUACUUGCACUCCCUUUCGACUUUGGGCUCUCACUCGAUUGAGUGUGGUUCUCUUCAUGGUCAUCCUCCCUUUUCCAAUGAUCACUUUACUCAGCCCAUUCUUGAUAGUCUUCCUUGCUCUUCCUCCUUGUGAUAGUUCCAACCUUGAUUUCCACCAUGCUGUAAAUAGCGUGGGUGAAAACCCUCCUCGUAUUUCUUGGAAUUCCAACCUUAAUUCUCCCCCGGUUUUGAAUAGCCAGAGAAAGAACCCUCCUCAACUCUAAACACUCCAUUUGACUUUCUCACAUUCUCCAACAUAUGCUAUUGUAGUAGUUCCAUUUGGGCCAACAUCUUCUUGAUGCUCUCAUCCCGUUCUCUUUCCUUCUUAAGUUGUUCUUGGGCCAUUCUAAAAAAAAAAUGAGAGACUUGAUUCUCUUGAGUGUACCAAGCUUGAUUUAUUUUCGUCAUGUCAUCAAGAAGAAAUGAAGCCAUCUCAAAUUAUUGCAACAUUAUUCCCCCUCGAACCAAUUGAUUAGCCACUCCUUUAUUAACCGAAUCAAGACUUUGGUAAAAAUAUUGGAGUAGCAAAUCAUUUGAUAGCCCGUGAGUUAGGCAUUGAAGUAGGAGUUUCUUAAACCUCAACCACGUUUCAUGGAUGGGUUCACCCUCCAUUUGCUUAAAACCUUGAAUGUUAUCCCUGAGUUUCAUCAUCCUCAAUGGAGAGAAGAACCUUGCAUUAAAUGCAGUGAUAAGCUCAUCCCACGACGUGAUAGAAUUCUUUGGUAGCUCGGCCAACCACAUGCUAGCCUCCCCCGUCAGAGAUAGAGGAAAUAAUCUGAGUCGGAUUGAUUCUUAUGGAACAUUCUUGAACGAAAAUGGGUUGCAUACAUCUAUAAAAUUCCUCACAUUAUCAUGCGGAUCUUCAUGAGCUAGCGCACCAUAAAGUCCCUUCAUUUGGAGAAGAUGAAGAGUAGUGCUCAUGACCUCAAAUGUUGCAUUCUCAUCAACUGAUGGUAGGAAAAUUGCACCCAUUUCACCCGAUUUGGUUGGAUUGUAUGCACUGUUAACAUCCUCGAUACCAUAUUGGGGGCCUGCUAGGCUACCAUUCACUUCUUCCACACUCAUUUUUACUUCUAUUCAGUCCAACCAAUACUAACACAAUGCAUUCUAAAUCAAUUUAACUACAACUGAUAAAUUCACAAGUUAAAUCUUCUAUAAAAGAACUCUAAACAAAUGCUACUCCCCGACAGCGGCACCAUUUUGAUUAAUGUUUCAAAGACACUUCAUCCGGCUCUAAGUGUCGACGAUCAUAAAUCAGUAUAAACCCAACUGAAUGAGUAGGGGUCGAUCCCACUGAGAGUAGCUUUCUUUGAAUUUGAAUAAGUAAAUAUGACCCUGACCUUUUGCAGCCAAACAAACACCACAUAUGACAAUUUUAUAAGUUAAAUUCCAAGAUGCCAUUACCAACCCACUUUAAUAAUCAACAAGGAACAAUCAAAUAACGAGAUAACAUUUGGGGAAUUGACUAACCAAUUAUUGAAUUUAACUUAACGGGUGUACAUCAUUACCAACAAUGUUAAUUCGUUGCGGGUAGAAUGGACUAUAAGUAAAGCAAUUUUCUCUCGAACAAUUACCUUAUUUCCGCUGAAUUCUCUCGAACUUGAAUACUAUCCAUAAGACGCCCAGUCCACUUUCUCAUCAAAUCUACUCUUUUGAUCUAGAUACAAAGGCUAAAUCUCAAGUUUCACUUUCUCAAGCUGAAACCGUCAUGACCCAUUACUAAGGAUGCCAAAUUACUACGUUAGCUCUAUACUUCUCUCUCGAGCAAGCACAAAACUCUGAAAUAUAUUGCACUAAACAUAUAAUAAUGAAGUUAAACCACAGUAAUAAUUUAGACCCACUUCAAAUUAACACCAAAAUUUGCUAAUUGAUAACACCCAUUUAGUCAAAUGCAACAAUUGGUCAUAUUGUCAAACCCCCAAGGUUAGGGUUUUAGCCAAUCAUAGCAAAAAGAUGAAAUUCAAUACCUGCCACAUUUUCCAUAGCUGGGUAAAUGAAAUUUGAAAGUCAAAAUUUAAUAAUAUCUUCUCUAUUCCAAAACCCAAAUGAAAAACCUUGCUAAAAUAACUUGAAAUCAACAAUAGUAAUGUUUUUGCUCUCUGUCUUUUAUUCCUCACAAUUUCUGAAUGCUUUCUCUCUCUUGCAAAAAUCAAUUAUACAAGUCUGAUGUGUGGCUUUUUGGUACCAAUCGGUGAGGAUAGUCGGGCUUCACCGACUGUUCGGCAACUCACCGAUCGACCUUCAUCUCAUCUUCAUUCUUCACAUCUUCUUAGUCCAACUACUAUAAUUUUAGGCGAGCCAGAUCGGGAUCUUCAUUUCAUUCCUCGAUGCACCGUUUUGCCUUUUAACUCGCCCAUCAUCACUUAUCUGGAUCUCCAUCAGUACUUUUGGCGAUGAGGUCAUCAUUCACCAAUGUGAUCGGCGACAUGCCGAGUGGAACUACUUCUUCGCCGAAGUUAACUCCUAAUCCAAUCUCAGAGCUCUGUAAAUUUAGGCGAUAAAGGAGCAACUUGGUGAUUCGCCCAGUGAUCUCGGCGACCAUCAGGCUUGUUUUUCCUCUUCUUUUUUUCAGCUUGCGUUGUCCUUGUUGACCAUUUAUAUCCUAGCUUCGUUCCUCAACCCAUAUAUUUGAAAAUCAAGGGUUUUACAUCAGUUAUUAACAUAAAUGGAGCAUUUUAGGACAUUAAAUCUAUGAAAACAAAGCCCUAAAUGAGUUCAAAUCUCAAACGCAUCAAGACCUAGUGGUGAGUUCCAGAGACUACCCAUUCCGGAGUAGAAGUAGGAUCGCGUCAUUAUGGACUUUGUGUAGGUUUGCCUUGGAUUUCUAGAGGUAUUUACAACAUUGGGGUCAUCAUUGAUUGAUUGACCAAAUCAGCACACUUCCUCCCUAUUCAGUCUUUAUUCAAUGCCGAGAAGUUAGCCCAUAUCUACAUUAGUGAGGUAGUUCAUCUUCAUGUUAUUCCAAUUUCUAUUAUAUUAGAUCGGGGUGCUCAGUUCACUUCUAGCUUUUGGAGGACUUUCCAGGAUGAGGUGGGCACUCGUGUUGACCUUAGCAUAGCUUUCCACUCGUAGACUGAUUGUUAGUCGGAGUGUACUAUCCAGAUUCUUGAGGAUAUGUUGUGGGCUUAUGUUUUAGAGUUUGGAGGUUAGUGGGACCAGUUCUUUCCUUUGGUGGAGUUUGCAUACAAUAAUAGCUACCAUACUAGAAUUCAUAUGGCCCUGUUUGAGGCCUUAUAUGAUAGGCAUUGUCACUCUUCGGUUGGUUGGUUUGAUUAUACAUAUCCUAGACCGCAUGGUACAUACUUGAUUUAGGAGGCUUUGGAACAAGUGAGGGUGAUUCAGGAUAGACUUCGGACAGCUUAGAGUAGGCACAAGAGUUAUGCUAAUCGUAGGCGGCGACCAUUGAGGUUUUUAGUUGGUGAUAGAGUUUUCCUCAGUAUGUAGCCCAUGAAGGGCAUGAUGAGAUUUUGGAGGUGGGGCAAGCUUAGCCCCAGAUAUAUUGGGCAUUUUGUGAUCCUCAAGACAGUUGGAGAGGUUGCAUAUAAGUUAGCUUUGCCUUCGAUAUUCUCAUCUAUCCACCUAGUCUUUCAUGUUUUGAUGUUGCGCCAAUAUCUUCUCGAUGAAUCACAUGUGCUUCAUUAUGAUGUAGUAGAGUUAGAUGACCGUUUGACCUCGUCGAGGAGCUCGUUGCCAUUCUUGCCAGAGAUAAGCAGGUAUUGUGUUCAAGAGACAGUCAUGUAGUUAAGGUAUGUUAGAGACAUCGAUCAGUUGAGGAGGCUACACUGGAGACCAAGCAUGAUAUGCGGAAGCAAUUUCCAGGCUUGUUUGAACCUUCAGGUACUUCUUCACUCCUAAUUUUAUGGACGAAAGUAGUAAGGGAUGAUGUGAUGAUCUUCAAGUCAUUCUGUGUUUAGGCCUUUUGUUUAUCAUUUAGAGCUUUCAUAUAGCGACCCUAAGUCAUUUAUGACUUUCUAGGAUAGACAAUUCGGUCACCUGGUUGUUCGUUUGGUUUUUAUGUGAGUUUUAGUGUUUUAGGAGCUUUUGAACCUUAAACUGUAAUCUUUUAUUAGAAGUUCUGAAAGAUGACCUCAUAAUCAAUUCUGAUGAUUCCCUCAGCUCCAGAAGGGUCAUUUUAGGCUAGUAGCAUAGUUUGCACGACUCCCAAAGCUUUUAGUAUGAUUAUGUUCAAUUAUGUAUUUUGACUUUCAAGUUGAAGCCUAAGUUUGACUUUAGUCAACAUUUUGAGUAAACGAGCUUAGAUGAGAAUUUCGUCAACACGGUUAGUUCUGGAAUGUCGAGUUUAGCCUAGAACAGCCAUUCAUUUAGGUCUUGAUGCUUCUAGGCUAAUUCCGAGGCCCUUUGUGGAAUUUGGCUUAGAAAAAAUUGGAUGUGGGACCCAAUUUUCAUUGACAGGACCUCGAAUGUAACUUUUGAUGGUUUUGUUGAAUCCAGAAUGUUGAUUUUGAUGGGGUAUCAUAGUUUGUUUGCACUUACGGGGUUUCGAAUGAGUCCCGGGCACCUUGUUGAAGGUUUGGGGCCUUAGCACUUUUUUUGUCAGCUGAGGCAUGCCCACGUUUGGAGACGGCAGGCACCCUGGCAGGCGCGUUCAUGGACAGCAUCUGGCAUGCAAUUUUGCCCGUUAACCCGCGUUCACGCCGGUCAGCCGUCUAGCCUAUUUAAGACUUGUCACGAUCAGCCCGAGUGAUAAAUUUAGAAUUGCGAUUUCUCCUUAAUUUUAAAUCCUAUUUUGGUGAUUCAAAGUUCCACGUGCUCGUUAUUGUUAGGGCUACGCAGUGGAGUGAAUGGAUGGUGUCUGUCACACUCUAUUAGAGGUAAAAAUUGUGUGAAAGCUUCUACAUUCUCUCUUUUAAUUUGAGUUUUUAUUGUGUUUUUGUGUUAGCUGGAUUUCGAGCCUCGAACUUUGUUCUAUUUUAUGAUGUAACUUCAUGGCAUAGAUUAAGACCUUUUGAUGGAGUCAAUUCCAUAAUUUCCAGCAUAUGUCCCACGAUUACCGUUUGUCUCUAAAAGUUGAUUUUUCCCUGUUUUGGGUGAUUUUGGUGUCUAAACAAGCAUAUCGUAUUGUGAUCCUCUUUUUGAUAGUGUGGAAGCAUUCAGAGUUCGUUUAGAAGGGAAAAGCUAUGGCCUUGUGAUUUGGAGCGUGCGUUAUUGGCCUACAAGUAGGCUACUGCUUCCUUUCUAAACUGAGCACGAAUGUUUAAAUUCAUGAUGAUGAUUAUGAAUUGGGGGCGGCUACAUAGUUAUUUUUUAUUUUAUUCUUGGAAACCAUGAUCUAGGAUUGAUUAAUAUUGUUUCGAGGGUAGUACUAUGUUGGUGAAGGGUUGUAUAUGUGCUGUAGCAUGCUAUGUUACUUACUUGUCUGAUUACUUGAUUUUGGAGCAUGUUUUGGCCUUAGUCUAGGAUAGACUAGUGUUGCCUUCGACCCAUGCACCUUGUGACUAUGGUAUUUCUCCAACAUCGUUUAGGAUGGACUAGGUCCUUGUAGACUGGAAUAGCAGACUUGGGCCUGAUCAUGUGAGCCUUAGCUUAGGUAUUUGCAUUGCUUAUUAGCCUUUCAAUCUUUUCUCCCUCUUUUUGUGCCUCCGAUGUAUUACCAAAGAUUGUGUGCUUUCUCUGGAUUGGAGUGCUUCUGGCUUGUAGACUUUUGUGAUAUCUUCGGGAGUAGACAUUGAUCCAUGGUGGCUUUGAGCCUACUUGAGAUCCUCUUCGGAGUCAAUAUUCCCCGUACACUCUUGCUAGUUGGGAGGAUGACACCCUUGGGAGCGGGCUAGCGGACUGGGCGGCCUGGAUGUAUGAGAUCUUCUACGGAGUUGACACGCCCCCAAGGCAGUCUUUCUAGUUGGGUAGUUGACGCCCUUGGAGUGGAUUGUAUAAUUGGGCGGCCUUGGUUUAUAGUCAUUCUUGCUAGUUAGGUAGGGAGUUGACUGGUUGAGUUGAUUGUCACUCUUGCUAUCUGGGCUAGGAUUUGAUUGGUUCUUGAAUUCGAAUCUUGAUUACUCUUCUUUCUUGUAGACUUAGUUAUUUUGUGUACAUCUUGUGCUUAUGGGGAUCCGUUUGGAUUUUAUUUAAACUUGCGCACGAAUGUACCUUCUACCCUUACGGGGUUCAGUUAGGUUUAAUUUAGUUGUACUAAGAUUUACUUUUAGUAUCCUCGUGUGCCUUCUUUUCAUAUUUGUUUGGCCUCUGUUUGUGUAUAGAUUCUAUCUUUUUUAUUGUCUUUACCUUUCUUGUUUGGUCGGCCUAUGAUGCCUACUAUGUACCUUGUUUGGGUACUUAUGCUACACUUUGCAUUUUCUUGUGAUUCAGGUCCUAGUGCCAACUACAAGCGGUGAUCAUUCAUGUCAUUUUUUUCAGCUUAGGGAUAUCGGAGACGAGGGUGAGCACUUGGUGCCCUGGAUCAACCUAUCUCCUUCUGUAUAUAUGUUAGCUUGUCCUUUGCUGUUGAGAUGGCUUGUUGUGGUCCACUUUUUAGACUUGUAUUUAUUCUUGUUCGACAACUUUGUACUCGUGACUUCCAGGUUUUGGGAGGGUAUCUAUUGUAUAUAGUUUUGGGUUUGCUUUCUGUUUCUUCCUUUUAUUAUUGUUAGUAUUAUUUUUCUGUAUAGUUUUACCCUUGUACUCACUACUUGUUGUUUUGAGUACGGGUUGACUUACCUACUGAUGGGUUUUAAUAGGUGUUAUCAUGGAUCAGGGAGUUGCAUCAUGAUAGGGCAUGGUAUGGUAUGGUUUUUGAAAGUUUUUAAACCAUAAUUUCGAUAUUCGGUAUUUAAAACAUUAUAUCAUUACCAUACCAAUUGAAUUUGGUAUGGUUCGAUAUUUUGAAGUUCAGUUUUGUAUGCCACGGUAUGGUAAAUCAGUAACCAUAGUAUGUUCAACUUCGACUAAUAUAUACUCGUAUAAUUGAGUAUUAUGACUUCGACAAUUGAAAAAAGGCCUCAAUUGUAUCAUACUAACACAUUACACAUGUAGAAAUAUAUUUUCAAAACAAAGUACAAAUAACUCUUUUUGUUAAUCAAUAGCAUUUUAAAUACAUUUUAAUCAAAAUAGAGUAGUUAAAGUUUCAACUUCUAAACUUUUAGUUUAUAGUAAUACUAGGUUUCAUAUUUGUUAGUAUUUUAAUAAUAAUAAUAAUAAUAAUAUAUAUAUAUAUAUAUAUAUAUUUGUGUGUGUGUGUUAUUUAUGUAACUAUAUACUUCACUGUGGUAUUCGGUAUUUUGGUAUUGUUAUUUUUAAAUAGCAAAUAUGGUACCGAAUACCAACAAAAAUAAAAUGUAUACCAUUACCAUACCAAAUACCAUAAUACUUAAACCACGAUAUUAAAAUUUUUGGUAUGGUAUGGUAAUUCGGUAUAUUCCAUACUAUGUCCACCCCUAUUAGAACUAGUCUUCUCAUCAUCAAGGACAAUCUUUUUUUCGUUAGCCAGCCGCAUAACUCUAUCCUUGAAAACAAAACAUUUUUCAAGUGAGUGACUCACAAGUCUAUGAUAGUUGCAAUAAUUUGGGUCAAAAGUUUUUCCAACUUCAUCAGGUCACUUUAUCUCUGGAAACUCAAUGAGCUUUAACUCAAACAACUCAUCAAAAAUAUUAGAAACUUCAGAAUCCAAUAAGGGGUAUUCCUUUUCUUACAUCUCCUUUAGGGUCGACUUUUGAUUUGAACGUGCUUGGAAAGUCGCUUUCACACUUUGCUUCUUGCUUUCCUUCGUAGUGAACUUUACAAGGGACACAUUGACAUUCAUGAAUUCUUUGUUGUGAUUCUAGGAACAAAUAUGUUCCAUCUCUUGGGUUCCUACAUGUCCAUUCCUUUGCGAGGAUCAUGGAUAAACAUCGUAUCUUUUCCAACAGAAGACAUGCUCAAUUCCAUAUCAUGAGCACGAGUAGCUAGAUCUUCAACGGAUUUUGGCUUUAUACUAUGUAAGAUAUAGAGAAGCUCCCAAUGCAUUCCUUGGAUACACACUUCUAUUGCAGAAGUUUCACUAAGCCUAUCAUUGCAAUUUCGGCUCACGUUUCUUGUCACGCCCUAAACUAAGGGAGGCGUGACUGGCACUCGAUACCUUAUGCAAUCGAGUUAGCCACUGAAACAUAACAACUGACUCAACUAUGGGCCUAGAAGGUCGGGUAGCAUAACAUCUAAAAUAUUAAGCCUAGACCAUUAGGGUCAUAACUUGAAUAACAACUCAUAUAGACAAAGGUAGACAAGACAAAAAAUAAUAAUAAAAUACUAAAUGGCCUCGAGGCCACAAUUGAGGACAUACACACAUACAAACAUAUCUAUACAUGCCAAGCCUACGUGGCUGGUAACUGGAAGCGGCAGAAAGAAACCCAGAAUAUUAUGUCCAUAAUAGCCUCUAUGAGUGUCAGAAGCACUGGUCGAGACAAGGCCCCGAUUAUACCCGAAAUGUACAUCAAAAGUAAACAUCAUAUGAAAGCUCCAGGAAGAGGUGGAGCUUACCAACUCACAACUAAAUACAAAUCCUAGUGGAGGGGUAAAUUAGAAUCCCUACCUGGACCUGCACGCAUGAAACAAAAAUGCAGUGUCCCCAGGCAAUGGGACGUCAGUACGGAUAAAAAUGUACUGGUAUGUAAGGCGGAAAAUAGAAUCAUAAAUAGCUGUUAUAAAAAGGGUAAUAAAGAUACCACCUGAAACAGAAACUCUGAUAGCCUCCAUUGCUGACAUCCUACCUUAUAUGAAUUAAAUAUGCAUAGUAUGCUCGCAUAAUUGUAUGUCGUGAAUACAUAUAUAUAGAUGCAAAUGCAUGUCAUACCCAACCAAGUGCUAGCAAUGGUGGUUCCUUCCGGUAGCGAACCGGCAUCAUAUUCGCCAACUAGUGGUCAUCCGUGUCUCAUAUGUACAAAUAUAGUCAAUAGGCCUCAUACCUUUCGAUUAUAGCUCGAAAGUAGAAUGCAUAGCAUGUAAUGUCAUGGAUUCGUAAUGCAUUUGUGUUACCGGAAUCAUGUUGCCAAUCUGGGCUCGUUAGUACUCUUGUCCUCAUAAUCUCAUAAUCACUUUCGUAUCACAUGUAAAUAUCUUGUAUAACCAUAUGCUUGUUGAUUAAACUAGAACACUUAAAUAAAAUUAAGAAAGGUAACUUAAACCCGAGAAUGUUCAUAAAGAUCUUAAGGUGCUUCACCUAGUUUUUAUAUAUGUUUCCUUAGUAAUUUCUAAAAGAAAGUAAUUCCAAAAAAAAAAACAUGUUCUUUAGUAGUUUAAACAUACGAGUUACAUAUAAAAGUUUUGGAAAUCGACAUAUUAUUUUUAAGUUUUUCAAAAAAGAAGAAAGUAGCGAAGAAGGAGGACUGAUUUCAAACUCUUAAUGUUCCUCCCUAAUAUUUCUAAGUUACAACACCUAAAGAUGAAUAAUAAUAUAUACAGUCAAGGGAAUCGACAAAAUGGCACAUAGAUGUCGAGUAACCUAUAUAACCGAACGAGUGGAAUAUCAACAUAAUUGAGUCAGAAAAAUACGCCAGCUGCAAUCCCAAUGCUUUUCACAGAAGGUCUUUCUAACAGUAGAAUAGAAAAACAACCUUUCACGAUUUAGGAUUCUAAAAUUCAUGCUCAAAGAAAGUAACACUUAGCUUUAACAUACCUCAAUUCUGGGUCUUGUAGUAUUAAUGAGGACUGCACCCCUUCCUUGGAGUAUGUAAUCUACAUGAAAUCAUGUCACAUAACCGUUACAUGCAGAAUAUUAACACGUCAGUGUCAAAGUAGCAAUUUAGAGCUUACUAGAAGAGUAAUUAGCUCACCAGCCCCAUUUUAAAUGUAUGCUUAAUUACCUUUUCUUCUACAAAGUAAAACCCCAAAUUAAUGACGUAACAUACAUUUUUGCAGAAGCUAUUAACAAGUAGAGGCCUACGCAAUAGUCAACAACAACCAAAUAGAGUAUGCUUGCACAAUAAUAAGAACUCCGCGUAUCGCCACACCCCUCAUUUCCAACCACAAAAUAACCACAACCAAAUCCAAACCAUGAGUCUUCAAACCAUUAAAGCGAGAAAAAAAUAUAUGUAAUAUAGUCCUACAAUUGUCCAAUAUAACAAUAAUAACUCGAACUUACGGCUUCCAAUCACCAUCUUGUGAGUUCGUCCAAUAAUUACAUUGGGAAUCAUGUCUUUCUCUUAAUAAGCAAUAAGAGAAUAAAAGGAAAGAACCUUAACUUAAAAUUGAUGGAGUUUAUAGUAUUGUAGCAUGCCUCCUCAAUUACAAAGAGUCUCCUCAAACACAAGAUGUUGAACCAAAAAGAAGUCAUUUGAAAAUCGCAAUGCAAUUAUAGAACCAACGCUACACUUAUUUAUCUUACAAUUGAUUACCCAUCUAUACUUCUUCUCUUCCAGACUCAUAUCAACAACAAUUACACACAAAAAAAUAAUUUUCAAAAAUUCCAGCAACAACAUCAGAAAAUACUUCAAAAGAGGCCCAACAUCACAUAACUAUCAAAAUACAAUUUUCCAGCCGUCUAUUUGUCUUCUUGCUUAUAUAGCAUAGCUAUAACUUGGACUCACUCAAUAAAAUGAAAAGUGAGAAUUAUUACCUCCAAACAGCAGCAACACCACCUAAGAACAAGACUCUUUCACCAUGAAGAAUCCUGCAAAUCACAACCAACGAGGACGAAAGAGUAACAUAAUCUCUAUGAACAAUCUGAGAGUUAAACCACAUUGAAAUCUUGUAAACAUUUGCUUGGGUGAUAGGGGAACCUCUAGAGAGGAUUUAGGACUGUUUUUCUUAUUACUUGGUCGAAAAAAUUGAGUUUAAACGAAGUGAAACCAAAUCUUAUAAAGCUAAACCGACAAAGGGGUGAGGGACCCACCUUCACGUGCCUGCUUGUGCAGUCUCACUAAAAUCUUAAUAUCUCUCAAUUCUAAAGUCAUAUGGACAAAUGGUUCAGUGCGUUGAAAAGUAGACUCAUAGAUCUUUGAUUUAGUAUAUUGGGGUUCUUCUAAAGCUUUAUAGAAUGGGAGAAAAGCUCCGAGACAUUUAACCCAAAUUUCAGAAAAUUUAUCAAAGAAACUUACUCUAACUUUGCCGACUUUUUAUUUCCCAACUUGCUUGACUUCAAAACUUAAGUUACGAUCAUUGGGCGACUAUAUUACCUUAUAAAACAUCCUUAUUAGCAUAUAAUACAAUCUUUGUCUUACCCCAAAGGUACUGGAUAACUUGAACUUCCCGAACGGGUGGGGUGUUAGAAGAGACAUUCUUUAACUCGAACUUGUUUAAGGGCAUCCUUGACCCAUAACGUUAGGUCUAAUUCUUUUGAUUUCUUUCUCUCCCUUUGCAACCUUAUUCUCAUGAAAUUAUACACCAAGUCAUAUAAACCUCAUACAUUUAUGCAAUGAUACGCAUAUUAUGCGAAAAAACCACGGGGUCUCACAUUCUCCCCUCCUUAAGAACAUUCAUCCGCGAAUGGAUUCAAUAAAUUUAUUAGUUGUAUUCUUUGCUGCUACUGUGCUAUUUGCAAGGCUAUAUUUGAUACGUCCGCAAAUCUUAAAUCCAGUUUUUAAAAUCCACUUACAAGGCUUCGUAUAUCUAGCUCGCGACAAGUCAUAUAAACUGCAAUUUUGAGGUAUUUAAAAUCAAAUUAAGUUUGUGUACACGAAUAAUUGUCAAUUAUUAAAAUGCAACUCAGCUUAAGUUGUCAAUAGUUGGGGGUACUUCUUCCUUAUUUCCUCUUCGAAUUCUCAAGUUAUUUCCUCAACGUUAUUAUUUCGCCGUAACACUUUCACAGAAACCACUUCUUUAGUCCAAAUCUUUCUUACCUGCCAAUCCAACAUAGCCACUAACACCUCAGCAUAUGACGAGUCCUUAGAGAAACAAAUAUAUUCAACGGGCAUAAUCCAUGGAGCAUUUCCAAUGCACUUCUAUAACAUAGAUACAUGGAACACUAGAUGGACCACUUUCAAUUCUGAAGGCAUAUCAAGCUUGUAUGCCACACUGCCAAUCCUCCAAAUAAUCUUAUAUGGCCUUACAUACCUUGGAAUCAACUUAACUUGACUUCCUGUUCGUGAAGAAUCAUAUGAUACACUUCCUAGGCAAUACUUUCAAGAAAACACAAUCUUCUAUAUCAAACUCUAAGUCUCGUAAUCAAGCCAGGGAACUGAAAUCUAACAGUCUUCUCUCGGUCGUCGACAUUGGCAUAACAAGUCUUCCACCAAUCCAUGCACAUAUCAAUAACAGAGUCGAGCAUCAAUAGUUCUAUCACGUUUACAAAUUUUUGAUGACCAACAAUCUCUAAUGUAAAGCCUCGAUAAAUCCUCUUGAGAAUAAAAGAAACACAAAGCACGAUUUAGAUUUCAUACGUACUUAUAACUCAGUCCUAUAGCACGAUCUAUAAAUUGAAAGAAAUGUAACCAAUCCAAAAUGCCCUAUAACCUCUUGAUUAUAAGUGUGGUGCGAUACCGAGUUUGUCACGCCCUGAACUAGGGGAGGCGUGACUGACACUCUACCUUAUGCAAUCGAUUGAGCCUCGGAAACAUACCAACUGACUCAACUGUGGGACUAGAAGGUUGGGGAGCAUAACAUCUAAAAUAUUAAGCCUGGACCAUUAGGGUCAUAACUUGAAUAACAACUCAUAUAGACAAAGGUAGACAAGCCAAAAAAAAAAAAUACUAGCUGGCCGACGAGGCCGCAAUUGAGGACUUACACAGAUACAAACAUAUCUAUACAUGCCAAGCCUAUAUGGCUGGAAACUGGAAGCGGCAAAAAGAAACCCAGAAUAUUGUGUCCACAAUAGCCUCUCUGAGUAUCAUAAGCACUAGUCGAGACAAGGCCCCGACUAUACCCGAAAUGUACAUCAAAAGUAAGCAUCCUAUGAAAGCUCUAGGAAGAGAUGGAGCUUACCAGCUCACAAUCGAAUCAUGAAUCUUAGUGGAGGGGUCAAUUAGAAUCCCUACGUGGACUUGCAUGCAUGAAACAAAAAUGCAGCGUCCCCAGGCAAUGGGACGUCAGUACGGAUAAAAAUUUACUGGUAUGUAAGGCCGAAAAUAGAAUCAUAAAUAGCUGCUAUAAAAAGGAUAAUAAAGAUACCACCUGAAACAGAAACUCAGAUAGCCUCCAUGGCUGACAUCCUACCUUAUAUGAAUUAAAUAUGCAUGGUAUGCUUGCAUAAUCGUAUGUCAUGAAUACAUAUAUAUAGAUGCAAAUGCAUGUCAUACCCAACCAAGUUCUAGCAAUGGUGGUGCCUUUCGGUAGCGAACUGACAUCAUAUUCACCAAUUUGUGGCCAUCUGUGUGUCAUACGUAUAAAUAUAGGCAAUAGGCCCCAUACCUUCCGAUUAUAGCUCGAAAGUAGAAUUCAUAGCAUGUAAUGUCAUGGAUUCGUAACACAUUUAUGUUACCUGAAUCAUGUUGCCAAUCUUGGCUCGUUCGUACUCUUGUCCUCAUAAUCUUGUAAUCACUUUCGUAUCACAUGUAAAUAUCUCAUAUAACCAUAUGCUUGUAGAUUAAACUAGAACACUUAAAUAAAAUUAAGAAAGGUAAUUUAAACCUGAGAAUGCUCAUAAAGAUCUUAAGCUGUUUCACCUAGUUUUUAUAUAUGUUCCCUUAGUAAUUUCUAAAAGAAAGUAUUUCAAAAAAAACAUGUCCUUUAGUAGUUUAAACAUAUGAGUUACAUUUAAGAGUUUUGGAAAUCGACAUAUUAUUUUUAAGUUUUUCAAAAAACAAGAAAGUAGCGAGGAAGGAGGACUGAUUUCAAACUCUUAAUGUUCAUCCCUAAUAUUUCUAAGUUACAACACCUAAAGAAGAAGAAGAAUAUAUACACACGGACCUACAGUCAAGGGAAUCGACAAAAUGGCACAUAGACGCCGAGUAACCUAUAUAACCGAACGAGUGGAAUAUCAACAUAAUUGAGUCACAAAAAUACGCCAGCUGCAAUCCGAAUGCCUUUCACAGAAGGUCUUUCUAACAAUAGAAUAGUUAAACAACCUUUCACGAUUUAGGAUUCUAAAAUUCAUGCUCAAAUGAAGUAACGGUUAGCCUUAACAUACCUCAAUUCUGGGUCUUGUAGUAUUAAUGCGGACUGCACCCUUUCCUUAGAGUAUGUAUGUAACACCCAAAAAACUAGUAGGUGAAACUAGAGCCUUACGUGAGAGUUUUAGAGUUUGAUGUGUGAGUUAAUGUUGUAAAAUGGCUUUCUGAAAUUAGGGUGAGGGUUUUAUGGGUUAAACGUCAAGGUACGACUCCCCAAGGACCAACCAAGGGGUCCUUGAGGAGGACCCUAAAGUCUAACCCCAAAGCUGCCCCAAAUCUACCCAAGCUGUCUAAAUUAGGUGACCUACGGAUGGGACUUACGAGGCGUAGGUCCAUCCAUGCCUCAUGGGGGAGGCUCGUAGAUCAAGACCCCAAGUUAGGGGUUUCAUACCACCACCCACAACCUGCAGGACGGGGUGUAGACCCACCCACUGUCCGUGGGUCAUGGGCGUAGGUGUUGCCUGUACUUUUGCCCAGGUUCGGCCAAGGUAAGUUGGUUUUAGGUAAUUUCUAAUUUAAUUAUUUAAUGUAGAGUCGUUUUAAUUCAUUUUAAUAGAAUUAAAUAAGUACUUUUAAACCAUUGAAUAACCUAUUUACUUCAUAAUUCCCAAGACCCCAAAACAUAACCAACUUUACCCCCAAAAAUAUUCUCUCAAAAACCUCCAUUGGAGAAGGAGAAGAAGAAGAAGUUGAAGUGUAAGACUCAAAAACUCAUCUUUUCUACCCAAAUUCGUGAGGAAUCUUCAUCUAAGGAAUGGUAAUUUUGAUUCAUGGUUAGCUUUUAAUCCAUGAUGUCCUCAAACUCUCAAUUUCAAAGUAGAAAAGUCUCCAAAACCUAGGGUUUUCACUCCAAGCCAUGGAUUCUUUCUAAAAACGUUUUUAUGAUUUAAUUAUCUUAUAUUAUUGUUUAGUUUCUGUUUUAUGGUGGUUUUAUGAUAAAAUAUUUAUUGAAUCCAUGAAUUACCCUAAUUUCCCAAAUUGGAUCUUAAAGUGUGGGUGUUGAUGGUAUUAGUAGAAUGUUAUAGAAUCAUGAAUAUAAUGAAUUGAUUACUUGAAUUAUGUAUUUAUUAAGGAAUUUAUAUAGUUUUGAUGUUGAAUUUCCUCCAAGAUCGCAUGAACCCCCAUGUCCCCAAUGUGUGACUAUGUGAUAUGGGUGAGUUAUGGUGAGAUGAAUAUUAUGAGAUUAUCUUGUACUAGCUUAGUUAUUUGAAUCAUAUUACCAUCUAUAUCUAAUGUAGCAAUUCUAGAUAGAUUGGUUGAAUGUGAUCUAUAGUCCUUGAAGGGUGAAACUUGAGAAUUUGCUAUGUGUAUGAGACUUGCGUGUAUACAAUUAGAUUGCUUUGAGAGUGAAGUGCUUAUAUUAUGAUCUAAUUGUGGUGUUGAUUGGAUGAUUAUCCUCAUGUACACACUUAGGUAUGAAUGUCAUAUAAUGUGAAAGGUUUGUCACAUAUAGUGAUUCUAAGGGUUGAAGACUAGUCUCCCCUAAUGAAUUUAAGAGCUUUAGCAUGAUUUGUUGGAUUGAGUGUCAAGACAUUCUUCCUUAAUUAUCAAUUUAAGUAAAGACUUAAUAUAAACACAAUGAGAAUUAUGCUUAGCACCGAGCAAAUAUGAAUAUGAGAUGGAAGCUUAUACGAUAGUUGAGUCUGGCUUCCCCUUGAAAGUUUUUACACUAGUUGAGUCCGGCUUUCUAAAUGGGUUCCUUUUACACUAGUUGAGUCCGGGUUCCUAAAGUAGUUAUCUCAUGAGAUGGAAACCUUAUACAUUAGUUGAGUCUAGGGUUUUAGUAGCAAUCUCCUUAUCCCAUAACUAUGUGCCCACAUAGGUUACUUAUAAAUUGGUUUCACCCAAGCUAAGAGUAUAGUUCUACCCUUGGCAAGUAGACCAACCCCUUUUCGGUGUGGGGGAGACACUUUAUUCCAUGAAUAAUCUCUCAUGGUCUAUGCCGGUUACACCUAACUCCCACAAGAUCAAGUUAAUUAGGAUGAACUAUGGCUAUUCAAGAAGCACUACUUAGUGUGGGUGGGGGUAUAGGACUUUAUCCAUGCAUUGCACGAGUAGGCUUUGAGAGUAGUUAUGGUAGAUUCCUCUUUUGGCAUGAUUAUUCAUGUAGUGAAUAUGUGUGUGACUAGAUGGCAAUUGCAUUAGAUGUUAAUGCUACUUGUAAUGGUGUAUGGUAACUUGCAUUGUUGCCAUGGGUUGCUUUCCUUGAUAUGGUUGACUAAAGAUGAAUGUUUCCUUGUCUAUGAGAAAUAGGCUAAAGGUGAGAUUAAAUGUUGGUAAACAUGAAUGAGGAUCUAAAGUGACUUGGCUUGGUAUGGGUGGGAUUAUGGGGUCUUAUCCAUGCAUUUCACAAGCCUACCUUGAGGUAGCUCAUGAAGUGUAUCUCUCAUGUCAUACUAAAACUAGAUUGUAUUGGCUAUGUAUAUGUUCCUAAUGAUAUUUCUUAUACUCAUUAGUUGGGAUUGUUAUCUAUCAUGCUAUAGUCUAUGCCUUAUUAUGAUGUCUCUUAUGCUUAUUACUUGUGUUUUGACACUACUUUCUAAAUGAUGGUUUAAAUUAGCAAAGUGCAUGCAUUCAACUAAAUUGUCCCUUUUAGCAUGUUUUCAAAGGUUUUUAUGCAUGGAUAUCAUACUUGGUGCAUUUUUUUACUAACCCAUAUUCUUCUACAUUUUUCACAAAGUGUAGGAUUUGGCGACAUUGACUUCCAUCUUCGUGGCUAGGAUCAUAGUAGAUCAAGAAGAAAAAGUUUGGUGAGUCCUCAUAGUAUUCGAGGGCUUGACCAUUAUGUCCUUUGAGUCUUUUCUUAUGUUUUAGACUUUUGUAAGGGUUGUGUCCCGAAGAUUGUAUUCAAAUGUUAUAGAUGGUUUGAGACAUAGUGUUGUAGACUCCCACUUAUUUUUAUAAAAGACUUCGACUGUAAAGAAAAGUUUUAAAUUUCCGCACUAUUUCCUAUGUUCUAAUGUUAUGAGGCUUGUAUGAGGCUUUUCGGAGUCUUGUACAUCAUGUCACAUCUAGGGGAUAGCCUUGGGCCGUGACAAUGGAAUCUACAUGAAAUCAUGUCACACAACCAUUAUAGGCAGAAUAUUAACACGUCAGUGUCAAAGUAGCAAUUUUAGAGCUUACUAGCAGAGUAAUUAGCUCACCAGACCCAUUGUAAAUGUAUGCUUCAUUACCUUUUCUUCUCCAAAUUAAUGACGUAACAUACAUUUUUGCAGCAGCUAUUAACAAGUGGAGGCCUACACAGUAGUCAACAACAACCAAAUAGAGUAUGCCUGCACAAUAAUAAAAACUCUGCGUAUCGCCAUACCCCUCCUUACCAACCACAAAAUAACCACAACCAAAUACAAACUAUGAGUCUUCAAACCAUUAAAGCCAGAAAAAAUAUAUGUAAUACAGUCCUAUAAUUGUCCAAUAUAACCAUAAUAACUCAAACUUACGGCUUCCAAUCACCAUCCUGUGAGUUCAUCCAAUAAUUACGUUUGGAAUCAUGUAUUUCUCUUAAUAAGCAAUAAGAGAAUAAAAGGGAAGAACCUUAACUUAAAAUUGAUGGAGUUUAUAGUAUUGUAGCAGCCUCCUCAAUUACAAAGAGUCUCCUCAAACACAAGACGUUGAACCAAGAAGAAGUCAUUUGAAAAUCGCAAUGCAAUAAUAGAACCAACGUUACACUUAUUUAACUUACAAUUAAUUACCAUCUAUACUUCUUCUUGUCUUCCAGACUCAUAUCAACAACAACCACACACAAACAAAUAAUUUCUGAAAACUCCAGCAACAACAACAUCAAAAAAUACUUCAAAAAUAGCCCAACAUCACAUAACUAUCAAAAUAUGAUUUUCCAGCAGUUUAUUCGUUUUCUUGCUUAUAUAGCAUAGCUAUAACUUGGACUCACUCAAUAAAAUGAAGGGUGAGAAUUAUUACCUCCAAACAGCAGCAGCAACACCUAAAAACGAGACUCCUUCACCACGAAUAAUCCUUCAAAUCACAAACAAUGAGGAGGAAAGAGUAACAUAAUCUCUAUGAACAUUUCAAGAGUGAAACCACGUUGAAAUCUUGUAGAUAUUUGCUUAGAUGAUAGGGGAACCUUUAGAGAGGAUUUAUGACUGUUUUUCUUAUUAUUUGGUCGAAAAUAUUGAGUUUAAACGAAGUGAAACCAAAUCUUAUAAAACUAAACCAACAUAGGGGUGAGGGACCCACCUUCACGUUCCUUCUUGUGCAGUCUCACUAAAAUCUGAAUAUCUCUCAAUUCUAAAGUCAUAUGGACAAAUGGUUCAGUGCGUUGAAAAGUAGACUCAUAGAUCUUUGAUUUAGUAUAUUGGGGUUCUUCUAAAGCUUUAUAGAAUGGGAGAAAAGCUCCGAGACAUUUAACCCAAAUUUCAGAAAAUUUAUCAAAGAAACUUACUCUAACUUUUGCCGACUUUUUAUUUCCCAACUUGCUUGACUUCAAAACUUAAGUUACGAUCAUUGGGCGACUAUAUUACCUUAUAAAACAUCCUUAUUAGCAUAUAAUACACUCUUUGUCUUACCCCAAAGGUACUGGAUAACUUGAACUUCCCGAACGGGUGGGGUGUUAGAAGAGACAUUCUUUAACUCGAACUUGUUUAAGGGCAUCCUUGACCCAUAACGUUAGUCUAAUUCUUUGAUUUCUUUCUCUCCCUUUGCAACCUUAUUCUCAUGAAAUUAUACACCAAGUCAUAUAAACCUCAUACAUUUAUGCAAUGAUACGCAUAUUAUGCGAAAAAACCACGGGGUCUCACAUUUCUCCAUCAAUUUAUGAAAUCUAUAAUUGGCUCAUCCUUCCUUUGGUAAGUAUUUGUGAGUUCUACCAUGCUCACUGUAUGCCUUGUGUUAUAGAAGUGAUUGGGAAACUCAUUCUCUAGCUGCUCCAAACUAUCAAUAGAAUUAGGCUCGAGAACUGUGUGCCAAUCAAAGGUAUUUCCUUUUACAGAGUGGAUGAACUACUUGGAAAGAUGGUCCCCAUAGGUUCCAGCAUUAUUACAUGUCUCCACAAAGUGUGCAACAUGUUGCUUCAGAUUUCCUUUCACCCUCGAACUGUUGAAAUUUGGAAGGUUGAAAAUCAACAGACAUUUUGAAGUUAUCAAUUCUUGCAGUGUAUGGCUUGCAUACAUAUGAGAACACUUGGUGGAGACUUCAUAAUUAUCUUUUAUUGUCCCAUUUGAUGAACUCCUUCAAGUGAUCAAGUGGGAUAAUUCCUUUGCAGGAUUUUCGAUCUCUUGAACUUCAACACUCUUUCCAGGCGCAUGGCUGGUUCUCCAUCUAAAAAUCCUUCCAUCAUAUCCAUCAACUUAUCAAUUUGAGACUCUUAGUUGUAUAGAUGCUUUCUCAAUCCUUCAACCAACUUCGUCAAAUUUGCAAGUUAUUCCUCCGUGGAUGAAGCAACAGUUACCAUUGCUUGCAUGAACAUUGGGGACGUAGGAGAGUAACAAGGAUUGUUACGCAAGUUGAUACUCAACGAACUCAUAUUAUGUGAUGCUUGUGGAUAGGAUUCAUUGGUUGAACCGUAUUUCUCCUUUGUGGAAAGGGUUCCUGGAACCAGAUUGCUCAAGUAGAGUUAAGGUCUUCUUGAUCAUUUCAGCAACACUUGCUUUCUCCUUCUAAAGCAUUUGUGGAGGACCUUUACCAUUUUUGAGUCGAAGAUCCAAAUAUAGGAGUUUUGUGGAUGAGACUUAGUUUUUUUUGUCCCAACAUAGUGGACUAACUCUUCGUAAUAGCUCUAAAACUUCCGAAGGUAGCACCAAAGAUUCCUUCAACUUCAGUAGGGAACUUGGAGUUAGCAGCCUUAGAGGCAGUUGAUUGAGGUUAAAGGAAAACAGGACAGUGAUCUUAUAUUAUUUUAGUCAGAAGGUGCAGUUCAACAAUUGAAUGAAGAGGUUUUCUCCUAAGGGAGAGAUUAUCGCAUAUGUGUUCCUAAGGUGAAUGAGUAGGUGAAGCAGCCUUGAUUAGGUCAGAUUCGAUUUAUGAAACUAUAGGGAAAAGUUCAAGUCAUCAAAAAUAGACUCAAGACAGAAAUCUUAUGCAAAUGUAGGGAGAAGGAACUUAGAGUUUGAGAUAGAUGAUUGGAUUUUCCUGAAAGUAUCACCUAUGAAGAGGGUGAUGAGAUUUAACAAAGUUGGAGGAGUCAGUCCGUAAAAGGAGCUACUUGGGAAGCAGAAGCAGCCAUGAAGGCAAAGUAUCCUCAUCUCUUUCCUUCCGAUUUCAAUACAACUUUAGAUAAUAGUUUCCUUCCAGUAUUUCAGUUUACUCGUGCGUAAAUUCAGUCUUAGUACCUUAUUCCUUUAGUUGUUCUUGCAUUUUCAGCAUAUUUGCAUGUUCUUGGAACUCAGUUCAGUCAAAUAUUAGUUUUUAGUACUUAGUGGUAGGGAUUGUAGCUCCUUCCCUCCAUACCCAGCUAGCUUAGACUUCAUUCAAGGAUGAAUGUUCCUAAGGGGGAGAUAUUGUAACACCUCAGAUAUCAAAACGAAGAAAAUCCUAGUUUUUAGAAAAUCUGGUGCCAGUACCAACAGAAUCACCCACAGACUGUAGGUGGGGUUCCGUCGUUAAGGCCCAAGUUUUAAUAGUCUCUGAUCCCACCCAAGGUCGACCAGUACGGUCCGUGGUUGGACCUACGAACCGUAGGUCUAACCAUAGGUAAGGGCCAGUAGCCAGUUAGAGGGAAAUUAUUGUUAGGUCAAAUUCAAAUGGUCAUAACCCUUAGAACAAAAGGAAUUUAGGUGACCCAUGACCUACAAAAUGAUAUAUAAUUGAAUCCUCUUUCCAACACCACCGAGUUUGCUAAAAUCCCAUCUCCGAGUAAACAGUUAUGCUCGUUUUAGUGAAGCCUUGUUAGGCAGACUUGACCGACGAACCCAAAUGACGGUCAAACGACUAACCGUCAUUCCCACUGUGGAUGAACGUCACAUUAUCAGUAUAUUUCAACAUGAACCCUAUUUUGAGUUAUAAAUCUUGAGAAGCUUUUUAAAGCAAACACAUGAGUUUUAAACUGAGUUUUAGAGAAAGUUAAGAUGAGUUUUGAGAAAGAUCUUCUACAACAUGAUUAGUAUGACAAUCGAGUAGGCCAUUAAUGUAUGAGCAGUAUGAUAUCUAGAUAUACCAUCAAUGUUUAUGCAGUAUGACUUCCUGAGUCAUCAAUGAUCAUAGUAUACUAUGAUUUUGAAUUGUUGUUUAGAAAGAGUUUUCAAGUAUGAGUGUCUAUAUGUCAGUAUUUUGAGUUGUUCAGUAUUUCAGUAUUUCAAUAUUUCAGUCAUAAUGUAUCAUAUACAUACUCCAGUUGGGAGUACAUGCAUCAAUUAAGAAUGUUUUAUUAUCAAUACUUAAUGUUGUAUUUUCAGUUAACAUGUCAGAAUCUCGAGCUAUCUUAUUUACUUCAGUAAUGUUAUAAUUUACAUAUAUUCAGUUGGGAGUAGGCUUAAUAUCGAGUGGACUAGGGUCAGUCACCCUCAAAGUCCUAAAACUACGCGCCCCCGUAGGUUAUAAGUCCCCUCAGUGGGAAUCAAUUUAGUGAUCAAGCCAGUCAUGCCUCUAUACCUCUGGCAGGGUAUAUUGAGUCCUCUCAAUGGCGCGUAUACAUCAGACUCCACAUUUAGCUCAUGUGGUUUUAUGUCGGUUAUUAGUAGGUCUCAUAGUCAGAUUCUAGUGCAUUAACCAAGGUACCAGUUACAGUUCAGUAUUUAGUUUCAGCAGGUAUAAACUUGGUCAUUGCAUUCAGUUUAGUUCAUAUUCAGUAUCUUCAGUAUAUUCAUCAUGUUCAUCUUAUAUCAUUGCUCAGUUAUUUGCUUAGUUUAGUUAUGUAUAUUAUUCAUCUUUACUCUAUCCUGCAUGCUCAGUACCUAUCAAGUACUGACGAAUACUCUGCGUUACAUCUUCGCGUGAUGUAGGUUCAGGUCCUCAGCAUUUAGAUCACGCAUAGAUCGAUUGACGAUAUCCAGUUCAGCAGCAUCAGUGGUGAGUCCUCAUUCUUCGAGGACGAUGGACAUGAUUAUCUUUCUACUUUCAUUUUUUAGUUUCAGUUUUGCUAGAUUUGGCUGGGGCAUGUCCCAGCAUCUCUAGUUAGUUAGAGGCUUUAUUUCAGACAUAAUACUAGAUUCAGUUUUAGUUUUGAGUUUGAUCCUCCAGUUGUUAUUAAACUCAUAGUCAUUUAUAUAUUCAAAUUAGUACAGGGUAUUCCCCACUUUUAAUUAUCACUGUUUUAGUAUGCUUAUGAUAUGAGAGCUCAGGGUUAACUUGGGGUCACUCGUGAUUCUAGGUCCCGUGUCCACGUCCUGGGGGUAGCUUCGGAGUAUGACAAAUCAAGAAGGAGGAAAAAUUCUAUAAUAAAAACAUCUCCUUCUUUAUUUCUCAUUAAAAUCAACUACAAUAAUGUUGAUGUUAUCAUUACUAUUUCAUCUUAUAGCAAUUAAAGUACGUAGCGUUGUUGUUGAUUCACUUAGCAAAAAAACUGUUGCAUCUCCAUGAAGACACACUCUAGCCACCCGACACGCCAUUUUGCUUGAUACAACAUUCCACAAUACAUCACUCGCAAGAAUCAAGCACUCAUCAUCUACAUUAUUUUUUACAAAGGUAAUCUCAUGCUUAGAUAUUACAUAGGGUUUCAAAUAUUUGUAUAUUGUUUGUAAUAAGUAGUUGAAUGUCUAUAACAUUUAGUAGUUGAAUCCCUAUAACUACUAGUAAAUAUUUAUGUUGUUUUUUCUUGUUACAAAGUGGAAACAAUUAUUUGAAGCCCAAUGCCAUAUCUAAGCCUGAGAUUACCUUUGUAAAACGGAUUGUAGAUGAUGAGUGCUUGAUUAUUGCGAGUGAUGGCUUAUAAGAUGUUGUAUCAAGCAAAACGACGUGUUGGGUAGCUAGAGUGUGUCUUCAAGGAGAUGCAAUAUUUUUUUGCAAAGUGAAUCAUUUGCAUCGCUACUUACUAAGGUUUCUAUGGGGUAGAAUAUUCAUGAUAACAUCAGCGUUAUUGUAGUUGAUUUGACGAUAAAUCAGGAAAAAGGAGAACGUUCAUAGUACAAACAUCUACUUCCAAAUUUUUCAUCAAAUCAACUACAAUAAUAUUGAUAUUAUCAUGACAAUUCCGUCCCAUAGAAAUUCUAGUACGUAGUGUUGGUGCUGAUUCACAUUGCAGAAAAAAUAUUGCAUCUCCUUGAAGACACACUCUAGCCACCCAACACGUCAUUUCGCUUGAUACAACAUCCCACAAGCCAUCACUUGCAAGAAUAAAGCACCCAUCAUCUAUCUUCCUUUUUACAACGGUAAUCUUAGGCUUAGAUAUAGACACAUGGCUUCAAAUAAGUGUAUCCUAUUUGUAACAAGUAGUGGAAUCACUAUAUUAUUUAGAUACUAGUAGUUGAAUCUCUAUAACAUUUAGUUACUAAUAUUUGAAUCUCUAUAACUACUAGUAAAUAUAUAGGUUAUUUUUUCUUGUUAGAAAUAGGAAAAAUAAUUUGAAGCCCUAUGUCAUAUCCAAGACUAAGUAUACCUUUAUAAAAACAAAUGUAGAUGAUGAGUUCUUGAUUCUUGCAAGUGAUGGCUUGUGGGAUGUUGUAUCUAACGAAACGGCGUGUCGGGUGGCUAGAGUGUGUCUUCGAGGAGAUGCAAUAUUUUUUUCAAAGUGAAUCAGUAGCAUCACUACUUACUUAGGUUUCUAUGGGACGGAAUAGUCACGAUAAAAUUAGCGUUAUUGUAGUUGAUUUGAUGAGAAAUCAAGAAGGAGGAAAAAGUCCAUAGUAAAAACAUCUCCUUCCGUAUUUCUCAUUAAAAUCAACUACAAUAAUGCUGAUGUUAACAUAGCAAUUAAAGUACAUAGUGUUGUUGCUGAUGCACUUAGUGAAAAAAAUGUUGCAUUUCCCUGAAGACACACUCUAGCCACCUGACACGCCAUUUCACUUGAUACAACAUCCUACAAGACAUCACUUGCGAGAACCAAGCACUCAUCAUCUACAUUAUUUUUCACAAAGGUAAUCUCAGGCUUAGAUAUCACAUAGGGCUUCAAAUAAUUGUAUCUUAUUUGUAACAAGUAGUGUAAUGUCUAUAACAUUUAGUAGUAGAAUCCCUAUAACUACUAGUAAAUAUUUAUGUUAUUUUUUCUUGUUACAAAGAGGAAACAAUUAUUUGAAGCCCUAUGUCGUAUCUAAGCCUGAGAUUACCUUUGUAAAAACGAAUGUAGAUGAAUAGUGCUUGAUUCUUGCGAGUGAAUAGUCAUACUUACUCAUAUUUUUGCAAAGUAUAUCAAUUGCAUCGCUACUUACUCAGGUUUCUAUGGGAUAGAAUAUUCAUGAUAACAUAAACAUUAUUGCAGUUUAUUGGACGAGAAAUUAGGAAGGAGGAGAAAGUCCAUAGUACAAACAUCUACUUCCCAAUUUCUCAUCAAAACAACUACAAUAAUGUUGAUAUAAUCAUGACUAUUCCAUCCCAUAAAAUUGUAUCUUGUUUAAAUCUCAAGCUUAGAUGUCACAUAGGGCUUCAAAUAAUUUUAUCUUGUUUGUAACAAGUAGUUUAAUGGCUAUAACAUUUAGUAGUUGAAUCCCUAUAACUAUGAGUAAAUAUUUAUGUUAUUUUUUCUUGUUACAAAGAGGAAACAAUUAUUUGAAGCCCUAUGUCAAAUCUAAGCUUGAGAUUACCUAUGUAAAAAGGAAUUUAGAUGAUGAGUGCUUGAUUCUUGCGAGUGAUGGCUUAUAGGAUGUUGUAUCAAGCGAAACGUUGUGUUGGGUGGCUGGGGUGUGUCUUCAAGGAGAUGCAAUAUUAUUUUGCAAAGUGAAUCAGUUGCAUCGCUACUUACUAUGGUUUCUAUGGGAUAGAAUAUUCAUGAUAACAUCAGUGUUAUUGUAGUAGAUUUGACGAGAAAUCAGGAAGUAGGAGAAAGCCCAUAGUACAAACAUUUACUUCCCAAUUUCUCAUCAAAUCAACUACAAGAAUGUUGAUAUUAUCAUGACUAUUCCAUCCCAUAGAAAUUCGAGUACAUAAUAUUGGUGUUGAUUCACAUUGCGGAAAAAAUAUUGCAUCUCCUUGAAGACACACCCUAGCCACCCAACACAACGUUUCGCUUGAUACAACAUCCUAUAAGCCAUCACUCGCAAGAAUCAAGCACUCAUCAUCUAAAUUCCUUUUUACAUAGGUAAUCUCAAGCUUAGAUUUGACAUAGGGCUUCAAAUAAUUGUUUCCUCUUUGUAACAAGAAAAAAUAACAUAAAUAUUUACUCAUAGUUAUAGGGAUUCAACUACUAAAUGUUAUAGCCAUUAAACUACUUGUUACAAACAAGAUAAAAUUAUUUGAAGCCCUAUGUGACAUCUAAGCACAAACAUCUACUUCCCAAUUUCUCAUCAAAUCAACUACAAUAAUGUUGAUAUUAUCAUGACUAUUCCAUCCCAUAGAAUUGUAUCUUGUUUAGAUCUCAGGCUUAGAUGUCACAUAGGGCUUCAAAUAAUUGUAUCUCGUUUGUAACGACUAGCUGAAUGUCAAUAACAUUUAGUAGUUGAAUUCAUAUAACUACUAGUAAAUAUUUAUGGUAUUUUUUCUUGUUACAAAGAAGAAACAAUUAUUCAAAGCCCUAUGUCAUAUCUAAGCCUGAGUUUACCUUUGUAAAAAGGAAUGUAGAUGAUGAGUGCUUGAUUCUUGCGAGUGAUGGCUCAUAGAAUGUUGUAUCAAGCGAAACGGCGUGUUGGGUGGCUAGAGUUUGUCUUCAAGGAGAUGUAAUAUUAUUUUGCAAAAUGAAUCAGUUGCAUCGCUACUUACUCGGGUUUCUAUGGGAUAGAAUAUUCAUGAUAACAUCAGCGUUAUUGUAGUUAAUUUGACGAGAAAUCAGAAAGGAGGAGAAAGUCUGUAGUACAAACAUCUACUUCCCAAUUUCUCAUCAAAUCAACUACAAUAAUGCUGAUAUUAUCAUGACUAUUUUGUCCCAUAGAAAUUCAAGUAUGUAGUGCUGCUGCUGAUUCAGUUUGCGGAAAAAAUAUUGCAUUUCCUUGAAGACACACACUAGACACCCAACACGUCAUUUUGCUUGAUACAACAUCCCACAAGACAUCACUUGCAAGAAUAAAGCACUCAUCAUCUACCUUCCUUUUUACAAAGGUAAUCUCAGGCUUAGAUAUAGACACAGGGCUUCAAAUAAGUGUAUCCUAUUUGUAACAACUAGUGGAAUCUCUAUAUUAUUUAGAUAUUAACGGUUGACUCUCUAUAACAUUUAGUUACUAGUAUUUGAAUAUUUAUAACUACGAGUAAAUAUUUAUUAUAUUUUUUCUUGUUAGUAACAGGAAAAAAUAAUUUGGAGCCCUCUUUCAUAUCCAAGACUAAGAUUACCUUUGUAAAAAGAAAUGUAGAUAAUUAGUUCUUGAUUCUUGUGAGUGAUGGCUUGUGGGAUGUUGUAUCUAGCGAAACGGCGUGUCGGGUGGCUAGAUUGUUUCUUCAAGCAAAUGCAAUAUUUUUUUGCAAAGUGAAUCAGUAGCAUCACUACUUAAUUAGGUUUCUAUGUUACAUAAUAGUCACGAUAACGUUAGCAUUAUUGUAGUUGAUUUGAUAAGAAAUCGAGAAGGAGGAAAAAUUCCAUAUUAAAAACAUCUCCUUCCUUAUUUCUCAUUAAAAUCAACUACAAUAAUGCUGAUAUUAUCAUGAAUAUUCUGUCUUAUAUCAAUUCAAGUACGUAUUGUUGUUGCUGAUUCACUUAGCGAAAAAAAUGUUUCAUCUCCUUGAAGGCACACUCUAGCCACCCGACAUGCCAUUUUAUUGGAUACAACAUCCCACAGGUCAUCACUCGAUCACAAUAAUCAAGAACUCAUCUUCUACAUUAUUUUUUACAAAGGUAAUCUCAGGCUUAGAUGUCACAUAGGGCUUCAAAUAAUUGUAUCUUGUUUGUAACAAGUAGUUCAAUGUCUAUAACAUUUAGUAGUUGAAUCCCUAUAGCUACGAUUAAAUAUUUAUGUUAUUUUUUCUUGUUACGAAGAGGAAACAAUUAUUUGAAGCCAUAUGUCAAAUCUAAGCUUGAGAUUACCUUUGUAAAAAGGAAUUUAGAUGAUGAGCGCUUGAUUCUUACGAGUGAUGGCUUAUAGGACGUUGUAUCAAGCGAAACGUUGUGUUGGGUGGCUAGGGUGUGUCUUCAAGGAGAUGCAAUAUUAUUUUGCAAAGUGAAUCAGUUGCAUCGCUACUUACUCUGCUUUCCAUGGGAUAGAAUAUUAUGAUAACAUCAGUGUUAUUGUAGUAGAUUUGACGAGAAAUCAGGAAGUAGGAGAAAGCCCAUAGUACAAACAUUUACUUCCCAAUUUCUCAUCAAAUCAACUACAAGAAUGUUGAUAUUAUCAUGACUAUUCCAUCCCAUAGAAAUUCGAGUACAUAAUAUUGGUGUUGAUUCACAUUGCGGAAAAAAUAUUGCAUCUCCUUGAAGACACACUCUAGCCAUCCAACACGUUGUUUUGCUUGAUACAACAUCCCACAAGCCAUCACUUGCAAGAAUAAAGCAUUCAUCAUCUACCUUCAUUUUUACAAAGGUAAUCUCGGGCUUAGAUAUAGACGCAGGGAUUCAAAUUAGUGAAUCCUAUUUGUAACAAGUAGUGGAAUCUCUAUAUUAUUUAGAUACUAGUGGUUGAAUCUCUAUAACAUUUAGUUACUAGUACUUGAAUCUAUAUAACUACUAGUAAAUAUAUAGGUUAUUUUUUCUUGUUAGAAAUAGGGAACAAUUAUUUGAUGCCCUAUGUCAUAUCCAAGACUAAGAUUACCUUUCUAAAAAGAAAUGUAGAUGAUGAGUGCUUGAUUCUUGCAAGUGAUGGCUUGUGGGAUGUUGUAUCAAGUGAAAUGGCGUGUUGGGUGGCUAGAGUGUGUCUUCAAAGAGAUGCAAUAUUUCUUUGCGAAGUGAAUCAGUAGCAUCGCUGCUUACUUAGGUUUCUAUGGGAUGGAAUAGUCACGAUAACAUUAGUGUUAUUGUAGUUUAUUUGACGAGAAAUCAGGAAAAAGGAAAAAGUGCAUAGUAAAAUCAUGUCCUUCCUUAUUUCUCAUUAAAAUCAACUACAAUAAUGCUGAUGUUUUCAUGACUAUUCCGUCCUAUAGAAAUUCAAGUACAUAGUGUUGUUGUUGAUUCCUUUAUCGAAAAAAAUUUGUAUCUCCUUGAGGACACACUCUAGCCACCCGACACGCCAUUUCACUUGAUAAAAUAUCCCACAAGCCAUCACUCACAAGAAUCAAGCACUCAUCAUCUACAUUAUUUUUUACAAAGCUAAUAUCAGUCUUAGAUGUCACAUAGGGCUUCAAAUAAUUGUAUCUCGUUUGUAACGACUAGCUGAAUGUCAAUAACAUUUAGUAGUUGAAUUCAUAUAACUACUAGUAAAUAUUUAUGGUAUUUUUUCUUGUUACAAAGAAGAAACAAUUAUUCAAAGCCCUAUGUCAUAUCUAAGCCUGAGUUUACCUUUGUAAAAAGGAAUGUAGAUGAUGAGUGCUUGAUUCUUGCGAGUGAUGGCUUGUGGGAUAUUUUAUCAAGUGAAAUGGCGUGUCGGGUGGCUAGAGUGUGUCUUCAAGGAAAUGCAAUAUAUUUUUGCAAAGUUAAUCGUAAGCAUCGCUACUGAUGUUAUCAUGACUAUCUUGUCCCAUAGCAGUUCGAGUACGUAACGUUGUUGUUGAUUCACUUUGCGGAAAAAAUAUUGCAUCUCUAUGAAGACACACUCUAACAACCCGACACGUCGUUUCACUUGAUACAACAUCCCACAGGCCAUCACUCGCAAAAAUCAAGCACUCAUCAUCUACAUUACUUUUUUACAAACGUAAUCUCAGGCUUAGAUAUGACAUAGGGCUUCAAAUAAUUGUAUCAUGUUAGUAAUAAGUAGUUGAUUCUCUAUAACAUUUAGUUACUAGUGGUUGAAUCUAUAUAACAUUUUGUUACCAGUAGUUGAAUCUCUAUAACUACAAGUAAAUAUUUUUGUUAUUUUUUCCUGUUACAAAGAGGAAACAUUUAUUUGAAGCUCUAUGUCAUAUCUAAGCCUAAGAUUACCUUUGUAAAAAGUAAUGUAGAUUGUGAGUGCUAGAUUCUUGCGAGUGAUGGAUUGUGGGAGGUUGUAUCAAGCGAAACGGCGUGUCGGGUGGCUAGAGUGUGUCUUCAAGGAGAAGCAAUAGUUUUUCGCAAAGUGAAUCACUAGCAUCGCUAAUUACUUAGGUUUCUAUGGGACGGAAUAGUCAUGAUAACGUCAGCGUUAUUAUUGUUGAUUUGACGAUAAAUCAUGAAGGAUGAGAAAGUCCAUAGUAAAAAUAUCUCCUUCCCGAUUUCUCAUCAAAUCAACUACAAUAAUGUUGAUGUUAUCAUGACUAUUCCGUCCCAUAGCAAUUCGACUACGUAGUGUUGUUGUUGAUCCACUUUGCGAAAAAAAUAUUGCAUCUCCUUGAUGACACAGUCUAGCCACCUGACACGUUGUUUCGCUUGAAACAAAAUCCCACAAGCCAUCACUCGCAAGAAUUAAGAACUUAUCAUCUACUUUUUUUUACAAAGGUAAUCUCAGGCUUAGAUAUGACACAGGGCUUCAAAUAAGUGUAUCCUAUUUGUAACAAGUAGUUGAAUCACUAUAACAUUUAGUUACUAGUAAUUAAAUCUCUAUAAAAUUUAGUUACUAGUAAUUGAAUCUCUAUAACUACUAGUAAAUAUUUAUAUUAUUUUUUGUUGUGGAAAACAAGAAACAAUUAUUUGAAUCCCUAUGUCAUAUCUAAGCCUGAGAUUACCAUUGUAAAAAGGAAUGCAGAUGAUGGGUACUUGAUUCUUGCGAGUGGUGACUUAUGGGAUGUGGUAUCAAGUGAAACAGCGUGUCUAGUGGCUAGAGAGUGUCUUGAAGGAGAUGCAAUAUUUUAUUCCAAAGUGAAUCAGAAGUAUCGCUACUUACUCAGGUUGCUAUGUGACGGAAUAGUCAUGAUAACAUCAGCGUUAUUGUAGUUGAUUUGACGAGAAAUCAGGAAGGAGGAGAAAUUCCAUAGUAAAAACAUCUCAUUUUUUAUUUCUCAUCUAAUCAACUACAAUAAUGCUGAUAUUAUCAUUACUAUUCCUUCCCAUAACAAUUCGAGCACGUAACGUUGUUGCUGAUUCACUUUGCGGGAAAAUAUAUUGCAUCUUCUUGAAGACACACUCUAACCACCCGACACGUCGUUUCACUUGAUACAACAUCCCACAAGCCAUCACUCGCAAAAAUCAAGCACUCAUUAUCUACCUUGCACUUUCAAAGGCAAUUUCAUGCUUAGAUAUGACAUAGGGCAUAAAUAAUUUUUUCUCUCCUUAGGCACAUUCCACAGGUCCUUUCAGUUGAGGAUAAUGCAUCUCUCGGCAUUAUGCCGACAAAGGAAGAGGUAAAAAUAUUUUAUUUAAGCUUAGUGGGGGAUAGUGCAAGUGGACAUGAUGGUUUCACAUGUCUUUUUUAUCAGAAUUGUUGGGACAUAGUGGGUGAUGACUUAUGAAAGUUUGUUACUACUUUCUUUGAAGGAAGAACACUUCCCAAAUUCAUAAUACAUACCAACCUUGUGUUGUUACCUAAAAAGAAUGACAUUCAAUCCUUUUCAGAUCUGAGACCUAGCAAUUUCAGUAACUUUGUUAAUAAGGUUAUUUCUAGGGCAAUGCAAGGAAAAUUGGAGAUGGUGCUUCUAAGGCUAAUCUAAUCCAAUCAAUCAGGUUUUGUAAAAGGAAGGAACAUUAUUGAAAAUGUUUUACUCACAAAAUAGAUUGAUUCAGAUAUCACUAAAAGGAGAAAACCAGCUAAUAUCAUUAUCAAAAGCUUAUGAUAGGGUUUCUUGGUUCUAUUUGAUGAAAGUCCUAAGAAAAAUAGGAUUUUCAGAGGUGAUUAUUGAUAUCAUUUGUAGAAUCAUAGCUAAUAAUUGGUAUUUUAUGUUGGUGAAUGGAUAGGCACAAGGCUUUUUUCACUCUACUAGAGGGGUAAAACGGGGAGACCCCUUAUCUCCUACUUUGUUUAUUAUUAGUGCUGAAGUUCUGUCAAGGGCUUUGAAUUCUUUAUUUGAUGAUGGAAACUAUAUGGGAUAUGGUAUGCCUAAACGGAGUGCAAAUCUUAAUCAUCUUGCUUAUGCAGAUGACACAACUAUUUUUGCAGAUACACAUGAAAAGUCCCUUAAAAUAAUAAUGAAGGUGCUAGGCAAAUAUGAGUCUCAAUCUGGACAAUUAAUCAACAAAGGAAAGAGUGCUUUGUACAUGCAUCGGAACACCAACGCUCAAUUAGGAGGUUUGGUUGAUAGAUGUACAUGUAUCUCAAGAGGUCAAUUCCCAAUUACUUAACUAGGGUGUCCUAUCACUCAUGCUAAGAAGAGAAAGAGUGGUUAUAAUGAUCUAAUUAAGAAGGAUGAAGUCAAGCUUCAAACAUGAAAGGGAAGAUGCUCUCUUUUGGUGGUAAGGUAACUUUGAUAAGUAGUGUGCUACAAAGUAUUCCUAUCCACAUUCUUUCAGUAAUUGUUCCCCCAAAAUGUGUAAUCAAUGAACCACAUAAUAUUUUUGCGAAGUUUUUUUUUUGGAACAAUAAAGAGAUAGGGAGAAGUAAGAAUUGGGUUGCUUGGUAAAAUAUUUGCUUACCCAGAGCAGAAGGGGGUCUUGGUUUUAGAUCUUUAUUUGAUAUUUCCAAAGCUAUGUUUGCAAAGCUAUGGUGAAAAUUUAGAAGUGGUAAUUCUUUAUGGGCAAACUUUAUGUGGAAUAUAUAUUACAAAAAUGAAAUUUCAACUUUGGUGUAAGGGAAAGGUGGCUCUCAGAUGUGGAAGAUGAUGCUAGAAAAUAGAGAAAAAAUGGAGAACAAUAUGUGGUGGGGAAGAUGAUGCUAGAAAAUAGAGAGAAAAAAAUGGAGAACAAUAUGUGGUGGGAACCUAGAGAGGCUCUACAUAUAUUUGGUAUGAAAAUUGGAUGAAACUUGAUCCUUUAAUUCUGGAGCCAGAUUGUAUCAUUAGACCUGAAAUGAAGGAUAUGAGGGAGAUGAUGAAUGAAUAAAGAUGGGAUUCAGGAAAACUCCAACAAGCACUGCCAGAAAGAAUUAUCAAUCAUAUCUAAGAACAUUUGAGAAAUUUUAAGAAGAAGAUCCCCAAUACAAGUAUAUUUGGGUGCAGAGAUUGCCCUUUAAGUUUUGUUUCCUAGUUUGGAGAAUCUGGUGUAAUAAAAUUCUUGUGGCUACUUUAAUUGCUAAAUGAAACAGCAAUGUAAGUACAGAUUGCUUGUGUUGUAUAGUACCUUCCCCUGAACCGUACAACACUUUUUCUUAACAGGUGAAAUAGAAAGAGAGGUUUGGACUUAUUUUGCAAAUGUUGUUGGUGUACAUGGUCCUUGGAUUCAAAUUAAACAAACAAUACCGAAGUGGAGAAAUGCUCCUGGCAAUGAGAAGUUUAAGAUAUUAAGAAUGUAGUCCCUAUAAUUAUUUUAUUGUCUCUAUGAAAAAGAAGAAAUAUCAUUUUACAUGGAGGUUUUUAUCCAGUUGAGAAGAUUAUCCAUCGGAUAAAUGAGAAUAUUCAUAAAUUCACCAUUUUCAAAUUUCCUUUCUUUUUAAACCUACCAAUGAAUCAGCCCUCAAUUGCAGAGGUUCUAGAAAGUUGGGAACAAAGGUGCAGACUCAAGAUUGUGAGCUGGAUACACCCUCUUGAUAGAUGGUAUAAAUGCAACGUUGAUGAUGCUUCAAAGGGUAAUCCUGACCGUAAUUCAGUUGCCUUUUGUGUAAUAAAUUAUUUUGGAGAUAUUGUAGUGGUCAAAGGGUUAAGACUUCUAGUUUCUACCAAUCUCUUUGUUUUGGAGAUAUUGUAGAAUAGACCGUAAUUCUGCGAAGUAUUUGAAAUUUUUUCGAGGUAUUCAAGUUUAUUCAAGAUCAACUAAUUCUACUUCAAUCAAUCUUUUUAAACGAGAGGAUUUAUACAAGUUGAUGAAGAGAAACAGAUUGUUCUACUUCAAUAGAGUUAUGUAUUCAAGAUAUUAAAGUUCAAGGAAGGAAGUUUACCUCAUCAACUCAUCUCCCUUAGUUUCCAAAGUAGGAACUUGAAGCUCUCUAGAUCUGACUAAUUUAGCUCAGGACGAGUUGAAGGUUAGAGUUUCAUUAAUUGGAGAAGAGCUGGUAUCAAUUGAAGAAAUGCAAUAUUGAGGAGCCUAUUCUCCGGUGAUUGGUGCUCGGAACUCAUCCAUGGCGGAGGAAUCGAUGUGGAGAGAAGUCGACUCUCCAUUUCCCUCUUUGUUUCCUACUUCAAUAGAGCUACUUCAAUAGAUUGUUCUACUUUAACAGAGCUAUGUAUUCGAGAUAUUAAAGUUCAAGGAAGGAAGUUUACCUCAUCAACUCGUCUCUCUUAGUUUCCUAAGUCGGAACUUGAAGCUCUCCAAAUCUGACUAAUUUAGCUCAGGACGAGUUGAAGGUUAGAGUUUCUUUGGAGAAGAGCUGGUAGCAAUUGAAGAAAUGCAAUAUUGAGGAGUUGAUUCUCCGACGGCUGGUGCUCAGAACUCAUCCAUGGCGGAGGAAUCGAUAAGGAAAGAAGUCGACUCUCCAUUUUCCUCCUUGUUUCCUACUUCAAUAGAUCUACUUCAACAGAUUGUUCUACUUCAAUAGAGCUAUGUAUUCGAGAUAUUAAAGUUAAAGGAAGGAAGUUUACCUCAUCAACUCGUCUCCCUUAUUUUCCUAAGUCAGAACUUGAAGCUCUCCAGAUCUGACUUAUUUAGCUAAGGAUGAGUUCAAGGUUAGAGUUUCUUUUGAGAAGAGUUGGAAGCUAGCAAUUGAAGAAAUGCAAUAUUGAGGAGCCGAUUCUCUGGCGGCUAGUGCUCAAAACUCAUCCAUGGCGGAGGAAUCGAUGUGGAGAGCAGUCGACUCUCCAUUUCCCUCUUUGUUUCCUACUUCAAUAGAGCUACUUCAAUAGAUUGUUCUACUUCAAUAGAGCUAUGUAUUCGAGAUAUUAAAGUUCAAAGAAGUAAGUUUACCUCAUCAACUCAUCUCCCUUAGUUUUCAAAGUCGGAACUUGAAGCUGUCCAGAUCUGACUGAUUUAGCUCAGGACAAGUUGAAGGUUAUAGUUUCUUUGGAGAAGAGCUGGUAGAAAUUGAAGAAAUGCAAUAUUGAGGAGCCGAUUCUCCGGCGGCUGGUGCUCAGAACUCAUCCAUGGCGGAGGAAUCGAUGUGGAGAGAAGCCGACUCUUCAUUUCCAUCUUU
rnacentral:lncRNA from 1 species